rnacentral:lncRNA from 1 species
AUUUUGGAUGCAGACUAUCAAGAUUUGGAUGCUGAAAAUUGUAAAGAACUUUUUGAUUCCAAAUUACCGAACAAUUUUGAGAAAAAUGAUAUGGAAAAGCUUAUUUAUUCUGCUGCUGCUUGUAUAUAUAAACCUGCAAAGUUACGCCCACAUAUGUGCGAGGUAAAUUGACAAAACCAAACCAGUUAUUUUUGGAUUAUGCUUUGCAUGUGAUUAUCAGUAAAAAUAUAUGAAAUAUAAUUUAAAAAGUACGUAAAAAUUAUUUGAUAAUUUUGCAUAUGUUAUUAAAAAUUGGGAGGGUGACUGCAUGUGAUUUUUUGAUGCAGAUAGUUAAAGUACUAAAUGGAGAUAUGGAACCCAAAACUAUAUGGGUGAGAAGUGAUUGCAAGUACCUAUACAAUGGGUCACCUUACGCUCCAUUUCCUCAAGCUCAGGGAACCUCCAGCUCUUGAUCUCUAUCCAAUACAUGAAUUAACCUCCGCCUUGUAAUAAAAGAGUAUGUGUUCUUGCUAAAUGCACGUGCUUUUCUAAGGGAUCAAUUAGUUAAUAAGAAUGUGUUCCUUGCUGAAUUUUUUUUUUUUCAAUAUUAAUAAUGAUUGAUAUUGAAUAAUUUUUCAUGUAUAUAUAUAUAUAUAUAUAUAUAUAUAUAUAUGCAGAAUAUAUAAUAUCCAUUAAGUAUUAUUUUAAAACAAAGAGAUAAUAAUUUUUUUUAGUGAGGGUUCCUUCGAAGUGCAACAUAUAUAUGUAUAUAUAUACACAUAGGUAUGAUUGGUAAACGUAUGGAAAAUUUUUUUGGAUAAAUCAUAAGUCGAAUCCAACAAAAUAAUUAAAGAUUUAAUAGCUUUUGAUAAUUUCAAAUUCAACAUUUAUAUUUAAUAGCAUCGAUCUUGAUAUUAAUAUAUAUAUAUAUAUAUAUAUUAAAAUAAUGAAUACGUACAUAUUAAUAUAAAAUUAUUCAAUUAAUAUCAAGAUCAGAGCCACCAAAAAUAAUCUAUUAACGGGUGUCGAAUCUAUCAAUUUAAUUUUACUUCCCUUUUCUUGAUUUAGAUGACUAGUUGAGAUAGAAGAAUAGUUUGAAACAAAAAGUAAGAAGAAAAGUUUUUUUUUUUCUAUAAAAGUGAUUUUGCGUAAGUUAAGAAAAAAAAUUUAAAAGAAAAAAUAAUAAAUAGUGCAAUUGAAAAUUGAGAAACAAGUUAUUGAUUAAAAAUUCCAGUUGAAAGUAAUCAAAUUGAGGUUUUUUGCAGUUGAUAAUUGAUUAAAAAAAAAUAUUUCAUGUUAUUAUUUAUUGUUUGGUUACAGUGGUCAAACAAGCGAAUCUCACCGAUUCUUCUUUAUGAAUAAAUUAAUCCGCUUAGCGCUUAAAUUAAUUCCUAGUUAACUAACUGUAACGGUCAUCUGCCUGCUUGCGGCAAUUCCGUCCCACAUCGACGGAAUAUGAUAAAUUGGAAUUGUAUAUAAUAGCUAGCACGAAACUACUAAUUAACUUGAUUAACUAUUUUGGGCUGAGUGGAAAGUGGGUCCAAAAGUUAUUUAGGUCAGUUCCGGCCGGGCUGCUUCAAUUAGUAUCAGAGCCACCUUGGGUCAGACAAAUUGUGCAUAGCUAGUGGGCCUGCGAGUAAAGGGCUACCCGUGAGAGACAAGAUGGAGCUGCCCGAGGUACUAGCGAACCACAAUACCCGAGGGUCCAGUCCUGAUUAGCAAUUGUAUUGGAUUCAGUUGUCCUGGUUAGCAAUUGUACUGGAUUCCGUUGCGAUGAGGACGUAGCAAAAAUUUAGCGGAAUCGAUCUGCUUGUGGCAAUUCCGUCCCACAUCGGCGGAAUAUGAUAAAUUGAAAUUGUAUAUAAUAACUAGUACGAAACUACUAAUUAGUCAACUGCAUUAAGAGAGAAGAACCCAAACUUGACCAAUAAAAACAAGCGAUUUAUUUAAAUCAAAUCUACUAAUUUCUUAAUAUAAACUAACAUGUUAACAUGUUAAUUGCUACUUGUUAUUAAUUCAAUUAAACAAUUACGGAUUUAAUUAGCAAUAUGUUGUCUUCCCAAGAUAUUCAAGUGAUGAAAAGAAUUGAAGUACAUAACCUCCCAACUUGAAUAAAACCUCAAUUUAAUUUACCCUUCAACUGAAAAUAAUUAUAUAGGCACACAAGAAUAAAAUUCUAAGAUUGGGAGAGUCUUUAUAUAGGCACACAAGGAUAAAAUUUAAUAGUUUAAAAUAAACUCUACACCCCCUAUCUUAUCUCUAUCCUAAUCCGAUUGACAACUAAUUAUAUAGGCACACAAGAAAACAAUAAUGGGAAAUUAACAAAAAAUAGAAAUAAGAUGAAAAGAAUUGAAGUACAUAACCUCCCAUCUUGCAUAAAAACCUCAAUUUAAUUUACCCUUCAACUGAAAGUAAUUGUUUAGCCUGUAAAGGUCAUAAUAAAAUUGCAACAACUAAGAACAAGAAGAAGGAAAGAAGAAAAAAAAGACAAAAAGAAGAUGGAGAAGAAGAGGGGGUCGGCGGCACCCAGAGGAGAGGAGGGGGGAAGGAGAGAAUAUGAUGUGUAGGUUUAAUUCUAAGAACCUUUAUAGGGUGAAUCUUUGCUAAGGUGGCAAAAUCUGCUGAGGUAGCGCCUUCUGAAGCUCUCCAUUGCCUUGAGUUACAAGUUGAGUCAAGGUUGUAACCUUUCUGUCCAAAAAUCUUUUAAUUCAGUCUCUUUUCGUUCUUUUUCUUAAUUUUCGAUAAAAAACCUAUCCAAAUUUAAAUUCUAAAUAAAAAUUAAAUAUUUAUAUCAAAAUUAUAGUAAAAUCAUGGAAUUAAAUGAGAAAAAAGUUGUGAGUUUUGCAACAUCAUCUAUCUAAUUCAACAAAUAUAAAUUGCGUAUAGGGUGAAUAAGAUCAAAUUCACAAGAAAUUGACACUAAAAAUCUCCAAUUAAUAAGUAGAAAAAAUGAAUAAUAGAAGUAGAAAGAGAAUUUUAAUGAAAAUUCAAUUAAAGUAAUAAAUCAAGAUAAUUUAAUAAAGAUAAUUUAAUAAGGUCGUGAAAAUAUAUAGGGAAGCUAAUAUGGUAGCGGAUUAUCUUGCGAAUAGUGCGCAUGGUGGAGUUUUUGGUAUGAGUUUUAUUGAUUUGCCUUCAUCUAGUAUUAAGCUCCUCUUGAAUGCUGACUGUAUGAAUGUUUUUCAUGAUCGUAUAAUAAACUAAAGGGCUCUAUCCCUCCUUUUCAAAAAAAAUAAUAAUAACAAUAAUUAAGAGAAAAUUAAAUUAAUACAAAUAAAUUAUAGUUGAAGAUUAUAGUCCAUUUCAGUUUUGAAAAUUGAUCAUAAAAACAAAAAAAAAUCUUUAUUUAUUCUAAUAAGUUAGUUUAGUUAUAGAAUACACUCUGUAUAAUUAUGGCACACGAGAUCGUGGACAUGCCGGUCGACGAGCAACAAAAGCAACAAGUUAUGGUUCCUCCAACAUCAUUCCAGAAACUUCAUUUGAUGAGAUGGAUCGUUUUCCCAAACCCAUUGUCUUUAGGAGAAGAUGAACAUGUUACAUUUAAUAAAAACCUUAAACCUUUCUCUUCUUAUUUUUCAUAGACCAGAGUUCUCCUUAUCAUUUUAAGCUUUUCUCUUUUUAUUAUUUUCUUUAACCGAUAACUUAUUGUUUUAUUCUCUAUAUUGAAUAUGACCAAUCUUAAAAAUAACUCUCUUUUAUUUAAUUUCAAUAUCAAAUAUUACAUGAGAUUUCUGAAAUAUUGAUAUAUUUUUUUUUAUUGGUAAUUCAAUAAAAAUUCAUUGGUGAAUAGUAUGAUCUAUUUUUAAAAGUCUCACUGAUAAAUUUGUACCCUGGAAUCUAUUCUGGAAUUCACUAGUAAUUUUUUACCCUGGAACUUUUUUUCAAGCUCACGAGAUCAGUUGGAAAAUUGUUGUCUUUCUUUGCCCCCUAUGAAUAUACAAUGGUUCCACAAAUUAGAUAUAUACACUAACUGCAUGUCAUGGUUUGCUUAGAUGAUGAAUCUAGCUCAUACUUUGAAAAAGGUUGAUUAAAUUGAAGAAUCUGGCUCAUUGCAUGAGAAGAAUUAUAAGGGUUUUGGGCUGAAGCAACUAGCAGUGGCAAGAAGUGCAUCUGACAUUUAUAUAGGCGUAUAAUAAACUAGCAAAUGCAACAGGUCAUUUCUCGCUCAAUAACCAAUUUCGUCAAAUUUCAAGGGAUUCUUAGAGGGCAAGAUUUGUGCUAUUAAUUAAAUAAAAUUUUAGGGAUUAUGUUAUAAUUUAUUGUUAAUAUGUGACAUGACAUAUAGACUAAAAAUUUUUUUUAUCAAAAUUGAUUGAGAUUAAUAGAUAAAAUUAAAAUAAAUGUGAAAAGAUUAAUUUUAUUGUAUAAAAUUUUAAAAUUAGAAUAUAAAUGUGAAAAAUCAUACAUUUUUACAUCUUUUUAUCCAAUAGAUUUUGUUAUUAGAUAAACUAGUUGACACCCACAUGUUGAGUAAAUUUUAAUUAUACAGUUAUUAAUUUUAUUGAUAAAGAAUAAAAAAUAAAGUUUUUAUGGUUAAGUGGUAUCGAAGUUGCAAUACGGAUAAAAAGAUCUCAAUUUUUCUUAUAAAAUUCCAAAUCAAAAUUUUUAGUCAAAGUAUCCCACCAAUUUAUUAAAUUGUUUAAUUACUCUUUUGCAUUUAUUUUGAAUAACAAUACAAAUAAAUUUCAUUAUUAAUUAAAUCAUCAAAAUCCAUAUUAUAUUUUUAAUUUUUAACAUUAUACUAAUUUGUAAAAAUAGGAUCUAUUCAUUAAAGAUAUGUGUAAUAUAAUUAUUUUCAUAACUAUAUAUAGAUAUUACACUAGAACAAGCAAUUUAUUGAGACACCCAUGUAUCCAAAACGUAUAAACUAAUACACUGGGCAAUCAGAGAUAUCUUUAUUGAUUACAGAAUAGGUAUUUAUACAUACAAGUGUGACUUAGUUAACAAGUAUUUAAAAUCUAUACAAACUAGGAAACCGAAAUCUAUACAAAUUAGGAAAAUAGAAUCCUAAUCCUUAUCAGUAUAGUCUCAAUCCUAAUCCUUAUCACUUAUCAGUAUAGUCUCAAUCCUAAUCCUUAUCAUAAACCAUCAAAUACAUGCCAUUUAUCAAUAAUCUUUUUUAUUAUAAGAUUUUAAAAAAAACAGUGAUAAGAGAAAAAAGAAACACAACGGUUUAAAUAUUUAAUAAAUUUAGUCAUAAAAAUUAAAUUAAAUGUAAUAUUAAAUAAAUUUAACAUGGACGAUAAAAUGAUCAAAUGAGUAAACUUAAUCGUUUUAGAACAAUCAAACAUUAUAUUGCGACUUAUAUAGUCUGUCAACCAAGUUGGUUUCCUAGUAGAAGGAGGCUGACCUCUUUCAAUAGGUUGGAUUUCCUGUGAACUUUCACUAGCAAUUUGAUAUUGCAAGUCAGAUUAUGAAAGUUGUACAUGUUUGUUAUUUUGGUUCUCUAUUUCUUCAAAGGAGACUGAUAUAGGUUGCUGUUGUGACUCAUUUUUAGCCUAAUUCCAUAUGUUUUCUUCAUAAAAAAUCACAUCACUACUGAUCACAAUCUUUUUAGUGUUUGAAUUUAACAACUUAUAAGCUUUAGAAACUUCACUUAAGCCAAGAAAGACAUGUUUUUCACCCUUAUCAUCUAACUUUUUCAUUUUCUCAUAAGAUAUAUAUGCAUAUUUGAUGCAACUGAAAAUUGAACAAUGAUCAACAACUGGUUUUCUUCCACUCCAUAUUUCCUCAGGAGUCAUAUUUUGUAUUAAAAGUAUUAGACUUCUAUUUAGUACAUGGAUAUUCCAAUUAACUGUCUCAGGCCAAAAGUUCUUCAGAACAUUGCCUUUAGCCAGCAAUCUUCUCACCAUAUUAAGGAUUGUUCUAUUUUUCCUUUCCAAUAUGUCAUUUUAUUAUGGCAAAUAGGCAGCGAGUUCUCUUCCAAUGCUUUAUUCAUCACAAAAUUGUUCAAAUUCCUUUGAAUAAUAUUUUCCACCAUGAUUGGUAAGGAAAGUUUUAACUACCUUCCUUGACUCAUUUUCAACAUGCGCUUUGAAGCUUUUAAAUGCACAAAAAGCUUCUGAUUUAGCUUGUAAAAAGUAAACCCAAGUCUUCCGAGAAAAAUCAUCAAUGGAAGUGAUUAAAUAUUUCUUACCCCAUUGAAAGUUGGAUUAAUUGGACCAUAUAUAUCGAAUGGACCAGAUCUAAAAAAUCAUUCGCUCUCCAUGAUUUUCCUUGUGGAAAUUGAGAGCAAUGUUGUUUACAAACACACACUCUUCACAAACUUGAGAUGGAAUAGUAAUUUGAGGAAGACCAUUCGCCAUAUUCUUAUGUUGGAGAGUUCUUAAUCCACCGAAAUUCAAGUGACCAUAAUAGAAAUGCCAAAAUUGAGAUGGAUUCUUCAUUUCAGCCAUCAAAUGGGUUUAGGCAAUUUGAAUUUGCAAUGGAAACAACUUGUUUGAGCUCAUUUAAAUAAUUACAAUGGCUUCUCUUGAAGGAUUAUAAAUUUCACAAGCUCCCUUUUGAAUGGUUAUCAUAUAGCCCUUCUCUUGCAAUUGACCCGCACUAAGUAAAUUAUUUUUUAAAUCAGGAACAUAAAGCACACUAGAAAUAGUCUCCAUAAAACCAUUCUUAGUUUUAAUAUCAAUAUCACUUUUUCCCAUCACAUUCACUUUAGAACUAUUACUAAAACUCACAGUUGAAUGAAAAGUUUUAUCUAAGUGGGAAAAGAGAGACUUUACUACCACACAUAUGAUUGCUACAUUCUGUAUCAAUGUAUCAAACUGCAGAGUUAAUUGUCUCAUUGGUUUAAACAGUCAUUAAGAGAGUUUCAGCUUCAUGAUUUUUCUAUAAAGUUUGACUUCUCCCUAUUUUGACAUUUUGGUACGACAUUCCAAAUGAAAUUGACCAAAUUUAUAGCAUAUGUAGCAUUCAAUUUUAGAUUUGUCAAAGUGCUAAAACUAUCAUUUCCUUUUGUGUGAUUGAUCAUCGUCAGAUUUGAAAUUUGGUGCCAAAGAUCGUAGGAUUUUCUUCACAAUGGUGACAUUUUCCAUCUCCUCACCAUGAAAUCACAUUUUAUUGCUCAAUAAAAUAGGAAGUUAAUUAAUUACUGGUACCAAAAAUUUGUAAAGAAAUUAAAAUUGAGUGUAGAAUAAUUUGGGUAAGUAAACACCACAAGCAUAAUUUACAGAUGAGUUGGUAUGAUUAAUAAUGAUUACCAAAUUUUGAUACAACGGAUGACUAUUGUCUUGAUCUAAUAGUAAAAACAAAGGUGUUUAAAAAAUUAUGGUUCAAUCUCACCGUCACUUUUUUUUUUUUUUUUUUUUGCAUUUUUUGGUCAAAGUGCUAACUAACAUUUUUUUUUUGCCAAAGUGAUUACUAUUCUUGUAAUUCAACCUCAUGCUAAACCUACCCUAAAGAAAAUCCAAGUCUGAACGCUAAAGUUACCCACAUCUUUCUUCCAUCCUAUAAUAUAAUUUUAUUAUAAUUGAAAGCAAAAUUCUAUAAAGAAAAAUAAUUAGAAAAGUUUUCAUAAAUUAAAACCGAUUUUUACAAACAAAUUUUUAAAAACAAAAUCUCAUCUCUUUAAAAAGUUGACCAAUUUCCAUAAAAAUUAAUUAAAAAUAAAAUUUUAACUAUUUAAGUUCUCUAUUCUAUAUAUAUAUAUAUAUAGAAAGUAAAAUAUAAUUAAAUUUAUUAUUAUAAAAUUAAUAAUUUUUAGUAACAGAAAUUAAUAAUUUUAUUGUUAAUAAUGUUAUACAUUUAAUUAAUUUAUUAUAUGAUAUUAUAGUUUACUAUUUCAAGUUUAAUUCUAUUAUUUUACUAACAAUAUUAUAUGACAAAUAAAAUUUUGAUGUUUUAAUAGUCUGAAUAUUUAAAAUUAUUUAUGUACCUUUUUUUUCACAUAUAUUAAAAAAUAUAAUUUUUUUAGUUAAUUUUUUAAUUAUAUUCCUCUUAAAUAUAUUAAAUUUUAUUAAAUAUUAAAAAAUAUUUAAAAAUAUUUUAAAAAUAAAAUAAAAUUAAAUACGAUUAUAAUAAUUAAUUUAUAUAUUAUUAUAAUUUAGAAAAAUAAAUAAUAAUUUUAAAACAAUAAAAAAAUAGAUAAAAAUUUAUGGAGCAGAAAAUAGUAUUUUAUUGUAAUAUUUUAAAAGCCUUGGGUCUAGGUCUUAUUUUAUUUUAUUUUAUGGGUCUUGGUCUAUAUAUUAUAAAACGUUAAUUCUAGAAGGCUUAAUAAUCAAUAAUUCAACAUGCUUUUAUCUUAUUGGAUAGAUGUUAUUAAUUAAUUAGAUGGUCAUCACCUAAUUAUCUCAGCUCCACAAUACGGCUUCAACCUCAAUAUCUUUCACACUUGUAAGCUCUACAAAUAUAUUAAUAUUAAUAUUUUUUUAUAAUGUUUAUAUAUUAAUAUUUAAUAGAUUUUAUUAUUAAUAUUUCAAUAAAAAAUUAUUGGUAUUACAUAAUUUCUGAUCAUAAAAUUAAUAUUAUGUUGCAAUUAAAUUUAUAAAAAUAAUUUAAUUAUAUUAUAUAUAUUUAUCUAAUAAUAAAUAUUUUUUAUUAUUUUAAUAGAUUAAUAUAGUAUAAUAAUUUUAUACACUUUUAAUCACAUUAUAAAAUUAUGAAAUAAAGUAUAAGAAAUAAUUAUUAUUAUAUUUUAUAAAAAUAUUUUUAAUAUAUAAAAGUACUAUAAAAAUUAAUAACAAAGAAACUACAUACCAAAAUAUUUAAAAUUAUAAUAUUAUUCUUUUAUUAAACAUAUAUAAGAUUAUUUUAUUAAAUUAAUUACUUAAUUUAUUUGUUUUUUUAUAAAUUAUUAAUAAUUCAAUAAUCGAUAUAAUAUUUAGAAUUAUUAUAUUAUUUUACUAUUAAAUAUUAUAUGAGAAUAUUUAAUUAUUUAUAAUUUAUUAAAUACAAAUUAAUUAAUUAAUUAAUCUAAUAGCAUAAUAAAUUAAUUAAAUCUAUUAUUUUUGAUAAAUUAUAAAUAAUUAGUGAUUGUAACGGUCAGCGCUUGUGGAUUUGCGGCUUUCAUCCCACGUCGGGGAGAUGAUAGAAAAUUGGAAUUGUAUAUAAUAGCUAGCACGAAACAACUAAAUAACUUGAGUUAACCAUUUUGGGUCAAAUGAAAAGUGGAUCUAAAAGUUAUUUGGGCCAGUUUGGACCAGACUGUUUCAAUUGGUAUCAGAACCACCUUGGGUUAGACAAAUUAUGCGAAACUAGUGGGCCUGCGAGGAAAGGGCUAUCCGUGAGAGACGAGGUGGAGCCGCCCGAGAUACUAGCGAACCACAAUACCCAAAGAUUCGGUCCUGGUUAGCAAUUGUAAUCGAUUCAGUUGCGGCGAGAACAUCGUAAAUUUAGCUGGACCGAGGUAACAGUCAGCUGCAUGCUUGUGGAUUUGCGGCUUCCGUCCCACAUCGGGAGAUGAUAGAAAAUUGAAAUUGUAUAUAAUAGCUAGCACGAAACUACUAAAUAACUUGGGUUAACCGUUUUGAAUCAAGUGGAAAGUGGGUCCAAAAGUUAUUUGGGCCAGUUUGGACCGGGCUGUUUCAAUUAGUAUCAGAGCCACCCUGGGUCAGACAAAUUGUGCGGAGCUAGUGGGUCUGCGAGGAAAGGGCUACCCGUGAGAGAUGAGGUGGAGCCGCCCGAGGUACUAGUGAACCACAAUACUCAAGAGUUCGGUCCUGAUUAGCAAUUGCAAUCGAUUCAGUUGCGACGAGGACAUCACAAAUUUAACUAUUUUGAGUAAGUGAAAAGUGGAUCUAAAAGUAAUUUAGAUCAGUUUGGAUCGGGCUGUUUCAGAUUCCGUAUAGUAUCUAAUCAUAAUUUUAUUUUAUAAUUCUAAAUAUUAAUAUAUUUUAUAUAUUAAUAUUUAAUAUAUUUUAUUAUUAAUAUUUAAAUUAAAAAUAUUAUUAAUCUUAUAUAAUUUCACUAUCAUAAAAUUAAUAUUAUACCACAAUCCAAUAAAAAAAUAAAUUUAAUUUUUAUAAUUUUAAAUAUUUAUAUUAAUUUAUUUAUUUAUUUUAUAUUUUUCUUUAAUUAAUUAUUUAAUUUAGUGUUUUAUACAUACAUUUAAUACAAUAAUAUUAUAAUUUUAAAUAUUUUUUGUGUGCAGUUUUUUUUAUUAAUUUUUAUAAUAUUUUUAUAUAUUAAAAUAAUAAAAUAUAAAAAAUAUAAUAAUUAUAUAUUAAUAAAUUUAUAAUUAAAUAAAUUUAUAAUUAAUUAGUAUUAUUUAAUUAUAAUAAUAUAUUAAAAUUAAUAAAAUAUAUUAUAAAAAAAUUAUUGUAAUAAAAAAUAUAAUAUAAAUAAAAUUAUUAAAUUAAUAUAAUAUAAAAAUAAUAUAUUAAUUAAUUAAUAUAAUUAUAAUACUUUAAUAAUUAAAAAAAUAUAAAAAAAUUAAAUCAUGGGAGCUAGGCCAUGAUUACUAAUAGUUAGUACCAAAUUAUUAAUAACUUAAAUUAAUUUUAUAAAUAAUAUAUUAUUCUAUUUCAAAUUAAUAUGGAAUUGAAUAAAAUUGUAUUUAGUUAAAAUGUUAAUUAUAAUUAGAAAUUUAAUUUGUUUGAAAAUAACUUUUGCAUUAAAAUAUGAAUUCAUUGGAUUAAUCCUAACCGAUAAUCAUUUUUAUCAUAUAAAUUGUUGGGUUGACAAUUAAUAUCACCAGCCAGUUUCAAUUAAAACAUAUUACUAAUCCCAUUUAGGAAGUACAAAGAUCGUUCCAGAAUUAAAAUUAUAUUAAUUAUUAACUAAAAUCAAUCUUUAAAAAUUGAAUUUCAAGUUCACUCUCAAAUUUAGUUUAAUGGUAAGUGUAUCUGAAUACAUCUGAGAGAUUUCAGAUUUUAUUCUCUCAAUUUCCAAUCCCAUUUAAAAAAAAAAUUAAAUUUCAAAUAAAAUGAAACUUUUUUUACGUAAAAUAAAGAAAAAUUACUAAAUUUUAGGGCUGUAAUCGAACCGAGCUGAGCCGAAUUUUGAUACGUUCAGUCUCGAUUAGAAAAUAAAUUUAAAAGCUCGAGUUUGACCUUGAGCUCGACUCGAACUCUAUUUAUAAACUCGAGCUCAAUUCAUAAAAUAAAUAUUAAACUCGAGCUCGGUUCGAACUCGAUUCGUAAUAAACUCGUUUGUCACAUUAACGAGCCAACUCAAACUCUAUUCAAAAAACUCGAAUUUGAACUCAUUUAGACUCGAAUUUGAGAUCGAUUAUAUUAUAAAUAAGCUUAAUAUAAUUUAAAUUUAUUUAAAUUAUAAAUAAAUUUAAAUUAUAAGGUUAUUAAGAGACUUCUAAAUUAAAUUUUUUUAGCUAAUUGAAAUCUCUCUAAUUGAAAACUAAUGAAAAAGAAUGUCGAAUGGUUGUCUUUUUAUAGAGAAGUCACGAUUCUCCAUAUCCUUUCAACUUUCGAUGUGGGAAUAGUGUUAGCAAACAAGUUUGUUCGCGAGGCUGCUCACGAGCUUGUUCACGAGGCUGCUCACGAGCUUGUUCACGAGCCUAUUCACGAAUCAGCUCGCGAGUCUAAAUAAGCCGAAUACUGUUAAGUUCAAGUUCGACUCGUUUAUUAAACGAGUCUAAAAAGUGAGUUCGAGCUCGGUUCGUUUAGAAAACAAGUCGAGCCCGAUCGAGUUUUUAUCGAGACGAGUCUCGAAUAGUUCACGAACAGUUUGGUUCGUUUACAUCUCUACUAAAUUUAGAAAAAAAUUAAAAUUAACUAAAAUUUGAUACUAAAGGGAUUUUAUAAUGUAAUUUUGACUAUUAUAAUCGUUACAUAUAUAUUUAUAUUCCUGCAUUAUAUAUUUAAAAUAAAUUCAUUGAACACUUAAGUUAAGACUGUAACUCAUUGCAUAUCUAAUUUAUAAAAAUUCUACCAAUUAAAUAUUAAAUAAUUAUAUUCAAAUUUUUUUAUAUAAAAAAUUCCAUCGAAUUAUACUGUAGAUCUUGUUGGCCAUAUUUUAAAUUUUUUAAAUGAAAAGAUUGCCCUCUAUAAAGGAGAGUAAUUUUAUUAUUUUAUAAAAAUUUAAAGUAAUAUCGAUAAAUCUAGAAUAUAAUUAAACAAUAAUAAAUGAAAUUAAUUUUUACUUUUUAUUUAUAAGCUAUAGAUAAAAUGAGUAAUUUACAUUUAAUUGCCAUGAUUCAUGUACGAUUAAAUAUUCAAAUAUGUUUUGAUUAUAGUUUCAGUAUUAAGCCUUUAUUUAUUUAUAAAAUAUAAUAUAUAUUUGAAAAAUAUUUUUCUAUGUUUUGAUUAUAGUUUCAUGUAUUAAGCCUUUAUUUAUUUAUAAAAUAUAAUAUAUAUUUGAAAAAUAUUUUUCAUGUGAAAUAAUAUUAUAUUAUGUAAAAUGAGAGUAAUUUUUUAUUUUAUGAAAAUUUAAAGUAAUAUUAAUAAAUCUAGACAUAAACAAUAAUAAAUGAAAUUAAUUUUAUUUUUUUUACACUCUAAUGUAGAAGUGAGUAGUUUUCGGUUCAAAUUGAAAAAAUUGAUCGAAUUAAAUUAAUUCAAAAAUUUAGUGUAGUUUUUUUAUUUUUUUCGAUUUUGUACGAUUUUUAUUUUUAAAAUUUUUUAUUAUUUCAAUUCAAUUUGAUUUUGAUAAAAAAAAAUUAAUAAAAUUAAACUAAACCGAUUAGUGAUAAUAGUAUAUUAAUUUUUUCUAAUAUAGAAAUAUUUUAAUUAAAUUUUAAAAUAUUAAAAAUAAAGUAUUAAAAAUAAAAAAUCUCAUUAAAAGGUCUAAUCAAUUAAGCUAAAUCAAAUCAAAUCGAAUUAUAUCAGUUUAUAUUUAAAUGGUUUCUAUUUAAAAUCGAUUCGAUUUAAUUUUUAUAAAUUCUAAAUUUUUAAUUUUUAACUUUUUCAAUUCGAUUUGAUUUUAAACCGAACUGACGAAAUGUUACCUUACAUGCUAUUGAUAAUAUGAGUAAUUUAAAUUUAAUUUUCAUGAUUCAUAUACAGUUUAAGUAUUAAGUCUAGGGAGCUUUUUGGCCAAGUUUCCCUCUGUGGUACCUCUGUGGAUCGAUGCUCUCGCCUUUUCCUCUUCUUAAAUCUAACUUCUUCUUUUUCUUUCCCCAUUGAAGAUGAUCUGCGUCAAUUGACUAUCGAAGCGGCUCAUCCCGUCAAAGGUCAGGAUAGCCCAAAGCAAUGAUCGUCCUGUGUUGGAACUGCCGAGGACUCGACAAUCCUCGGACAGUAAAUACAUUAAAGGAUUUGGUUACUAGUUACAAGCUGGACAUUUUAUUUUUGAUGGAAACAAAAGUUCUUAGUUCUCGUAUGGAAUUUUUUUGUAGUUUUUUACAUUUUGAUAGUUGCUUCUCAGUUAAUAGACAAGGAUUAGGAGGAGGCCUUUCGUUAAUGUGGAAGAGUCAUGUGUCUGUUUCUGUGAUUGGCUUUUCUUCCAAUUUUAUUGAUUCGAUUGUUUCGCAAGGUAAUAUCCAAUGGAGGUUUACUGGUUAUUAUGGAUUUUCGAAAUCACAACGAUGACGUCAUUCUUGGAACCUUAUUCGAGCUUUAUCUCGUAGAAACUCUCUUCCGUGGCUUUGUUCGGAAGACUUUAAUAAUUUAUGCUCGAGAGAUGAGAAAGAAGGAGCAACUUUACCAAAUUAUCUUAUGCAGGGGUUUAGACAGAUACUUGAGGACAGUAAUCUUAUUCAAAUACCUACUGUUGGCUCUUUCUUCACAUGGGAGAAGCUUGAUAGAGCCCUUGCUACUGAGGACUGGACUCGUAAAUUCACUAAUGUUGUCUGCUCGGUUGUUCAUGUUCCUAGAUCGGAUCACAAACCGUUGGUGAUUAAUACAGCUCAUAAGGAUAAUAGGGGAGAUAGAAGGAGAUUUCGAUUUGAUAAUGCAUGGUUAUGUGAUGAGAGUCUGGCUAAGGUUGUUAAAGGAGUUUGGGUUAAUUCUAUACCACACAACCUUUUGAUGAAACGUGAUGAUUUAGUUUUAGCUCUUUCGUUGUAGAGUAGGAGUAGAAAUAGAGAGUUUUGGCAAAAGAAGAAGACUAUACAGAGAUUAUUGGAUAAUGGGCCCAGUACUGUUUCUCACGCCUCUUUAAAGAAAGAUUGGAAUUGUCUCCUUGAGCAGGAAGAAACUAGACUUAAAUAGCAGACAAAGUGCUUUUGGCUUAAAAAUGGGAACCGAAAUACAAAAUUUUUUCAUGCACAAAUUAAUGAUAGACAGAAUGAACCUUAUUACUAAAUUAAAGGAGUCGUCGGGUACCUGGAUUGAGGAUGAGCAGGAAAUUAAAAAUCAUAUUCUGCAUUAUUUAAAGUCUAUUUUUUAUGGCAGUUCUGUGGAUUGUGAACGGGUUUUUGAGUUGGUGCCGCCAUUGAUUAGUGAUACCGAUAAUACUGAUCUUUGUGCUCCCUUUUCGAAUGAGAAAUUUAGAGCUGCUCUUUUUCAGAUGCAUUCAGAUAAGGCAUCUGGGCCGGAUGGGUUAAAUCCUACAUUUUACUAGAGAUUUUGGCACUUGAUUGGCAAUGAUGUUUUCGAUGGUUGUCGCCUUGGCUUCAACAAGGUACUUUUCCUUCUUCUCUUACUGAAACAUUGAUUGUUUUGAUCCCUAAAGUAGAUAGCCCUGAAACUAUUAAAGACUUUUGUCCAAUUGCGUUAUGGAAUGUGUUAUAUAAGAUUGUGGCUAAAGCUUUGGCGAACAAAUUUAAAAGGGUCCUUCCUAUGAUUAUCUCUGAGAAUCAGUCUGCCUUUAUCCCUCAUCGAUUGAUUACCGAUAAUGUUAUGGUUGCGUUUGAAAUGAUGCACAAUAUGAAAACUAAUAAGGGCAGAAAUGAUGGUAAUUGUGCACUUAAAAUUGAUAUUUCUAAGACUUAUGAUAUGAUAGAGUGGGAGUUUCUAAAAAGCAUGGUGGAACGAUUUGGUUUUUCUACUCAAUGGAUUAGGUGGUUGAUUAUGUGCUUUUCGGAAGUCUCUUACAAUAUCAAUUUUAAUGGUGAUUGGAUUGGUCCUAUUGUGCCUGGUAGAGGUAUUCGACAGGGGGAUCCUAUAUCUCCGUAUCUCUAUUUGGUGUGUGCGGAAGGCUUAUUGUUACUACUUAAAGAUGCUGAAUCUAGGAGCUAGUUGCAGGGCUGUAGGGCAGGUACUAGGGGUGAGCAGUAUUCGGUUCAAAUCGAAAAAAUCGAUCGAACCGAAUUAAUUUAAAAAUUCAGUUCGGUUUUUUAUUCAAUUUGGUUCAGUUCGAUUUUUAAUUUCAGAAAUUUCAGUUAUUUCGGUUCGGUUCGAUUUUGAUCAGAAAAAAAUCGAAAAAACCGAACCGAACAGAUUAGUGAUAAUAAUAUGUUGUUUUCAAUAAUAUAGUGAAAUUAAAUCAUAUUAAAAUUAAAAUAUUUUAAUUAAAUUUUAAAAUACUAAAAAUAAAGUGUAAAAAAUAAAAAAUUUAUUAAAAAUCGAAACCGAUCAAACCGAACUGAAUUGAACUGAAUCAGACCGGUUCGGUUCGAUUCAGUUUCUAACCAAAAUCGAUUCGGUUCAAUUUUCAUAAAUACUAAAAUUUUGGUUUUCGGUUUAUUCGGUUCGGUUUUGAACCGAACCGACCGAAUGCUCACCCUUAGCAGGUACUAGAUGCCCAAAGAUCUCACAUUUAUUUUUUACAGAUGAUUCUCUGCUAUUUUUUAAUGCUAGACUGGAGGAAGUAGAUAGUAUUAAAUCUAUUCUCAAUACCUAUGUGGCUGCUUCUGGACAAGUGAACUUCAACAAAUCUGACAUUUUCUUUAGUCCCAAUGUGGUCUCCUCUGUAAGGUCUAAUAUUAGUAAUAUCCUGGAUGUUCAUUCACCAUUGAGUCAUAGUGCCUAUCUGGGAUUACCUUCUCUUAUUAGGAGGAACAAAAAAGCAAUUUUUAGUUUUCUAAAAGAAAGAAUGUAGAAGAGGAUUAAUUCAUGGAGCAGCAGAUUUCUAUCUAGAGCAUGCAAGGAGAUUCUCAUAAAAUCUGUGUUGCAGGCUAUACCUGCAUAUUGCAUGAAUAUUUUUUGGAUUUCCAUUACUAUUUUGAAGGAAUUGCAUAGAAUGGUCAAUGACUUUUGGUGGGGGGUAAAAGAGAAGGGCGGAGGGGUAUUAAUUGGCUAGCGUGGGAGAAGAUGUGUAGUAGAAAGAAGGAGGGGAGUAUGGGGUUUCGGGACUUUAGAAGUUUUAAUUUGUCUUUACUUGGCAAACAAGUGUGGAAGUUCUUAACAAAUCCUAAUACUCUUUGUUGUAGAGUGUUUAAAGCAAAGUAUUUCCCAAAUGGUAAUUUAUUUUCCGCCAAUGUAAGUAAUGGUGCUAGCUUUGUUUGGAAAAGUGUGAUGACAUCAAGGAAGUUGAUUCGAAGGGGUACAAGGUGGAGUGUGGGUAAUUGAGAGAAGAUUUUAGUGGCUUCAGCUCCCUGGGUUCCUAAGAAGGAUAUCUUUUUUGCUGAUGAUGGCUCCGAUUUUAUUGAACCACAUUUGCGUGUUUGUGAUCUUUUUUAAGGUAAUGAGAGGGUUUGGAACAUUGCUCUUUUAAUAGAGCUUUUUUGUUCAAGAGAUAUCAGGGCUAUUAUUAGUAUUCCUAUUAGUAUUACCAAUAAGGAAGAUUCCUUCUUGUGACAUUUUGAUAAAAGAGGUAUGUAUACGGUAAAGUCUGCAUACUUUGUAUGUAUGGACUUGCUAGGAAGAUCAUCUUUUAAUGUGGGGGGUGAGUUGUAGACUAGUUUGUGGAAUGUUUCUGUCUCUCGAAAAGUGAAAGAUUUCUGUUGGAGAGCUUGUAGAAAUAUAUUGCCUACAAAGGAUAACUUAAGGCAAAAGGGUGUGGAUGUAGAUGCUAGAUGUCCUUCGUGUCAUGAAAAUGAAAGUGUCAAUCAUAUUUUGUUGCAUUGUCCUUUGUCCAAGAAAGUUUGGAGGUUAAGGGGAGUGGAAAAUUUGCAGUCUAAUGAUAAUUUUUUUAAUUUUUUACUGCAGAUCUUGAAAUCUCAAGAUAAGGUUCAAAAAACCUUUGUAAUGGUCUGUGCAUGGAGAUUAUGGUCAGCAAGGAACUCAUUAUUAUGGAACCAGGUGCAAAAUUCAGCAGCUCACCUUGUGGAAGACGUCAUGCAUCAUAUCUCGGAUUAGGAAGUUGCUCAACGUGCUGGUGCUUUACAUGGAAAUACCAUUGCUGCUUUAUAUCGGGGCAGAAACUUGUUUUAUUCUUCCAACCCUGCUCGUGAUCCUAAAGCCAUUCCUCUCUAAAUUCGUGCGUCAUCUCCAAGUUUGGACAAUUUCAGUUGGUUUUGUCAAGUUGAUGGGGUUUUGUUUCAAGUUUAAGAUUUUAUUAGCUACGGUUUUGUUGUGGAAAACUCUGAGGGUAUAUUUCAACGUGGUGUUUCUGGUUUUUCGAAAGGUAAUGGUAUGCCGGUAAUUGUUGAAGUUUUAGCUCUCCAUCAUUGUUUGCUCUUUGCGAUGAAAUUUUUGUCUUUUAAUGGCUGCAUUCUUAUAGACUGUUUGUAGGUGAUUUAAACUCUUCAGUCUCUACAUUUAGACAUUUCUGAAUUGAGUUUGAUUUUGAAUGAUUAUAAAUCUUUGUUAGACUUUAGAACUGAUAUUACUGUUAGAUGGGUUCGUCGUUAUGCCACUCUAACUGCUCAUACUUUGACUAGAGAAUCUAUUAGGUAUGAUCGUCUUUCUUUUGGAAUGAUAUCCCUCUUUGUUUGAUAAAAUUUUAUUAAUAUAAUCGGUAGUUUUUUUUAACAAAAAAAUAUUAAGCCUAGGGCUUUAUUUGUUAGUAAGAAAUAAUACAUAUUUAAAAAAUAUUUUAAUUUAACAUAUUUUAAAAAAAAUAUUUUUCAUAAAAAUAUAUUUAAUAAAAUAAUUUAUUUUUUAUUAUUUAAUUUGUAAUUUUAAAAAUAAAAGAUAAUAAUACAUUUAUGUACAGUAGUAUUAAUAUAAUUCUGAAAAAAAAAUUUUAUUUUUUUAAAAGAAAAUAUCAUUUUCUUUAAAAAUUAUAAAAUUUUUCAUUUGAAAAAAUAAAUUUCCCUUGAUUAAUUUUUCUAAAUAUUUCAAGUUUUAUAAAAUAUAGAAAAUAUUUUUUUAAAAAAAUAUUUUGCAUGAAAUAAAGUUUUAAUCCACUAAUUUUAAAUAAUAUAAAAAUAUAAAUAUAUAUUUAAAGUUAUUUUAGAUCUUAGAUAAAAUCAGUUAUUCCAACUCCAACCUUUGGUGGUGGCACUAAUCAAGUAUAUAAGAAAAAUAGUUUUAAAGGGCUGCUUUUAUUAUAAUCGAGUAAAAUUAUAUAGUUAAAUAUUUAACAGGUGAUAUUGGUCAAUUUUAUAUGAAUUUAUUAUAUUAAUAAUGAAAUUAUAUUUAUUAUGUAUGUAAAAGAGUUGUAUUAAAUAAUUAUUUUAAUAUGUAUGAUUAAAAAUAAAAUGAUCAUAAAAUUAAAAAUUUAUUUUGUAUUCUCACUUUUCAAUUUUUAAAGAAUUUUAAUAAAUUUAAAGUCCAUAUUGUUCAUUGAUAGAGUCUUAGCAUAAGUGUAUCCAUUCAUACGUCUAGGUGGAAAUCACGUUAACCUUAUGCUCUAAUUAGGGGUGUAAACGAAUCGAGCUGAGCCGAGUUUUGAAGAGCUCAAGCUUGGUUCGUUAAAAUUUUUUCGAGCUCGAGCCGAAUUCAAGCUUUACUCAUUUCGAACUCGAGCCGAGUAUUAAGAAGUUCAAGCUUGGCUCGUUUAGCAAACGAGCUUAGACGAGUCGAGUUUUUAUCGAGCUGAGUCGAGCUUUUAUCGAGUUUAGUCUCGAAUAGUUCACGAGUAGUUUAAUUUAUUUACAUGUAUAAUGAGUUUUAGUUUAAAACUAAUAAUUUUAAAACUAAAAUAAUUUUAAUUAAAUAAGUAUAUCUACAAAUUAGCACGUAAGCUUAUAAAGAUGAGUUUUUAAAUCUUAAUGAUCCAAAUAUAUGCAAGUUUAAAAGUGUAAUUAAAGUAUAUAGAGUUUAAUUUUAGAAAAUUUAGAUUUAGCUCAUGAAAGUAUAUGCAGGGUUUGAGUUUAUUUCUCUUAUGAUAGCAAUUUCAGUUUGCUUAAUGAGACUGUUCACGAGUCUAUUCGCGAGCUUGCUCAUGAACUCAGGAACGAGCCGAGUUCACGAGUUUUAACGAGCCGAAUACUAUGGAGCUCAAGUUUUGCUCGUUUACCAAACGAGCCUGAAAAUUAAGCUCGAGCUUGGCUCGUUUAGAAAUCAAGUCGAGCUCGGUCGAACUUUUAUCGAAUCGAACCUCGAAUAGCUCACGAACGAUUUGGUUCAUUUACAACCCUAGUCCUAAUAAACAAUAAACAACUUGUUAUCUUUAUAAGACUUUUAUAUUUUUAUUUUUAUAUAUUUCAUAAUUUUAUAUUGCCCACUACACGAAAUUGAUUGGUAGUUAAAAUCUCUCUCUCAAACAUUUGGAUUGGACCUCAGAUAUAAAUUAUUAAUGGCACCCAUGUGCCCAUUAAAAAAUAAAUUAGGUACAGAUAAACCUGAUUAGCUUUACUGUAAGUUUCAUUAAUUUAAUACUUCAAUAUCUAUUUCUUUAUUUAUUAUUAUUUUUAAAAACCUCAUUGAUGAGAUGAAUAGGACCUUCAAAAUUUAAAAAGCAUUGUUGAUAUUUGUCAGCCGGCUUAGAUUAUUAUUUUUAUAAACAAAUUUUAACAAAUAAAAAAAAACUCUUACUNNNNNNNNNNNNNNNNNNNNNNNNNNNNNNNNNNNNNNNNNNNNNNNNNNNNNNNNNNNNNNNNNNNNNNNNNNNNNNNNNNNNNNNNNNNNNNNNNNNNNNNNNNNNNNNNNNNNNNNNNNNNNNNNNNNNNNNNNNNNNNNNNNNNNNNNNNNNNNNNNNNNNNNNNNNNNNNNNNNNNNNNNNNNNNNNNNNNNNNNNNNNNNNNNNNNNNNNNNNNNNNNNNNNNNNNNNNNNNNNNNNNNNNNNNNNNNNNNNNNNNNNNNNNNNNNNNNNNNNNNNNNNNNNNNNNNNNNNNNNNNNNNNNNNNNNNNNNNNNNNNNNNNNNNNNNNNNNNNNNNNNNNNNNNNNNNNNNNNNNNNNNNNNNNNNNNNNNNNNNCAUGUGAUUUUUUUUUUCUGAACUAAUAAAAGACCACACUGAAAAGAUUUUUUUUUUUUUUUAAAAAAAACAACUCCUCGUUGAAACUUAGAAUAAAGAGAAACUCAUUAAUAAAUUUAUAAUAUGCAUUACACAAAAUGACAUUAACUGGAGGCCAAAAUGACAUUAACUGGAGGCCACAUGCUGCGAAUUCUACGCUCAACGUUAUUUUUUUUAUAAGAAAAAAAACAAAAAAAGGAAAACGACGGUCCUAACGCUAAAGUUACCUACUGUCUUCCUUCAUCCUUCCUAUAUCUAACUCUCUAUCUCUGACCAUUCACAUUCACACCCUAUAGAAACUCUAUUAUAUAUAUACUCGCAACAAACUUAUGGUCGUGGUUGCAUAAGUCUGCAACUUCAUCGCCUCUCGCUUGGGGAUGAAUGGGGCAGAUCGCCGGAUGGAAACUAGAGGUAUUAAUUGUUUUCAGCUGAAACUGUUGUACCAAAUAGUAAUAGUUUCAUGGAGAUUUCAUUUCAUCUAACUAAUUGAGGCAUGUUGUUAUUGAUUGUCACUAAGCACAGAUCAGAAUGAAUCUGGCUCAUCUCCUGAGAAGACUAUUGGGCCAAAGUCAUAUUCAUACGGUGAACUAGCAAGUGUAACUGGUCAUUUCUCGCUCAAUAAUCUAAUUGGUCGAGGUGGUUUUGGUCAUGUUUUCAAGGCAUUAUUAGAUGGUGAGAUUCGUGCUAUCAAGAGACUUGAUUUUCCAGAUGUACAGUCUGAAGGAGGUUUGGAGAGGGAGAUUAUGGUUGUCAAAAGCGUCAGUCACAAAAACCUUGUUGAACUAGUUGGUUACUGCAUUGAUGGAGCCAAUAGAUUGCUUAUUUUAAAGUAUUUUCCAAAUGGGUCCUUGAGAUCUAAAUUACACGGUGAGUCCCAUAUCCUUUCUUUUACUUUUAUGUUCAUAUAUCCAAUCAAUAUGACAUGAAUAAUCUUGCAAAUUAUAAAUGGUAUUGUAGGAAGUGGGGAUGUUUUGGACUGGAAAACAAGAAUGAAGAUCGCCACAGGUUCUGCAAAAGGAUUGGAAUAUUUACAUGAACACUGUGAGUAUAUACUACUACAUAUUUUUACUUGGCAGGAUUUUAACCUUUGAGUGUGAAUUUAUUUAUUUAUUUUUGUUUAUAUUGAUAAUUUCUUUUCUCUCAAACAUUUAUAUUUUAUAUUCUUUUCAGGUAAACCUAAAAUUAUUCAUUUAGAUAUCAAGCCGGAUAAUAUUCUUCUUGACGAAGAUUUUGAACCCAAAGUAAGAUAAUUUUAUAAUAAAUAAUCAUUUUAUUUAUAUCAUGGCAUAUGUAUAGUAGAACUUUCAUCUGAAAUUUUAUUUUUGAAUAAUAUUAAAAUAUUAUGUUAACUCUUUAAUGACAUAAUUUAAUUUUUGUAAUUAAUUAAUAAAUUUGGGUUCUAAUUCUUUUUUGGUUUGGCCAUAUAUUUUUGGUUUUUUUAAUAAAAUUUAUUGCUUAUAAAAAAAAAUUAAUAAAUCAACCUUAGUAGGUUUCUUGUCUUUUUUUUUUUUCAUGAUUUAAUAUUUUCUUAAUAAACUUGAUUGAAGUACGGAAAAUUGUGUAAUUUACCAAAUAACUUUAAUUUUAAAUUAAGAUAUAUAUAUAUAUAUAUAUAUAUAUAUAUAUAUAUGGCAUAAUAAAUUUAUUAAUCAACUUAAAUAAUUUGUUUAGAUAACAGAUUUUGGACUUGCUCAAUUUUUUACCGACGGUGCUACUCACAUAUCCAAAUCAUCAGUUAUGGGAACCCAUGUGUAAGAUAUAAUUUUCUUUCUAUCAUUUAAUUGCAUUGCUAUUAUUUUCUAUUUUUUCAAUGCCAUUAUUAUCUCCUCUUAAAAUAGUUUAAAAUAAAAUAAAUAUUAAAAUAGAUAAAAUAACACAUAAAAAAAUAUAAGUACUCCUUAAUUUGAUAGUAUUAGUAAUCUUAACAAAUUUUAUUACAGUUAUUAAUAAUCUUAACAAAUUUUAUUGCAGUUACGAAGAUCCAUUUACAACAAAAUUGGGAAAGUAUUCUGAUAAAUCUGAUAUUUAUUCUUUUGGAGUUACACUUUUAGAAUUGAUUACUGGAAGAAAACCUAUAGACAAUGGCACUGAUAUUGUUACUUGGGUAUGACUCUGUUUGCUUUAAUAAAACUAUGAUAUAAAAAUUCUAUUUACCAUUUAUAAAGUUUUGAAUUUAGAUCUCAAUUGGAGUUAUUUAGAUUUAAAUUCAAUGCAUUCAUGAUUCAUUAAUAAAUAAUUUUUUAAUCAAUAUCUUGUAGGCAAAUCCUCUAAUUAAAAAGGCUUUGAAGAGAAGGUAUACAAAUUUUAUAGAUUCCAAUUUACAAUCCUUUGACUAUGAACAAAUGUAUCAAAUGGUUUCUUGUGUUGAUUCUUGUCUAAAUCAACCUCCAAGCUCUCGUCCAACAAUGGAAAAGGUAAAAUUUUUCACAUAACUAAUCUCAAAACUAUAUAUAUAUUAUCUCAAAACUUGUAAUCAUUUUAUUAUUAUGUUAUGCAGAUACGUCUAGUUCUUGAAGGAAAAUCACUCUCGAAAGAAUUAUACGAUCAUAAAUUGCGAAGGAGUAUUAUACAUACAGGUUUAUAUUCUUUUAUGCUAAUUUAUUAAAAAUUAUAUGCAUAUUUGAUCUAAUUGAUGCCUAAAUUUUCAUUUAAUGUGUCAUAUCUUAAUAUUUGAACAAUGUUGAUUUUCAACUACAAAAAUAUUAGUUUUUUAAUUUGAAAUUUAGAAUAAAAUAGUUUUUAACCAAAAUUGAUAACUUAUUAAUUAAAUAUAAUUUUUUAUUUUAUAAUUAUUCAAAAAACUGUGAAAAGAAUGAAAAAUUACUUUGAAGUUUUUUUUUUUUUUGGAAAUAGGAAUUAGGGGAAUAAAAUAUGAGAACUCUCAUAUGCACUUUCCACCAGAAUAAGUCUAUGAGUGUAAUUACCUUAAAGUUUUAAAACAUAAAUCUAAAAGUUCAUACAUGUAUAUAUGUAGAGGUACUAACAGUUUUACAGAUCCGAAAGGAUCUAGGUCAUCGCCUGAGUUGAAUAGAAGUAUAAUUACUGGGCCGAGGCAAUAUUCAUUUGAACAACUAGUAAAGGCGACCAAUUAUUUUUCUAAUAACGAUCUCAUUGGCGAGGGUGGCUUUGGACAAGUUUAUAGGGGAUUACUAGAUGGUGAAACCCUUGCUAUUAAGAAACUCAAAAAUCAUCGAGAUUUACAGUCGCAAGAAUACCUGAAGAAUGAGAUUAUUGUUGUUAGCAGCAUCCGCCACAAAAAUCUUGUUGAACUGCUUGGUUACUGUAUUGAAGGGGCCAAUAAAUUCCUUGUUUUUAAGUAUUUUCCCAAUAAGUCCUUGAGCUCUCAAUUACACGGUGAGUUUCAUCCUUUCCCUUUAUAUAUAUAUAUAUAUAAUUUUUUGUUUCAUAAUCGUUAUGAAAAUUAAUAUAAAUAAAAAUUGAUUUUUGUAGAAAGCGAUCAGGAUUUGAACUGGGAGACAAGAAUAAAUAUCGCUAAAGGCUCUGCAAAAGGCCUAGAAUAUUUGCAUGAACACUGUGAGUAUAUAAUUAAAUAUAUUCAUAGCUAAUAAUUGCCAAGCUUUUUAGCUCUUGAGGUUCUAAUAUCUAUUGUUCUUUCUUUGAGUUAAUAUAUAAUUUAUUUUAUCUUAAAACUUUUUAUUUUUUUUGUAUGUUAGGUGAACCUCCUAUCAUACAUUUAAAUAUCAAGUCAGACAAUAUUCUUCUUGAUGAAGAUUUUAAACCAAAGGUAAAAUAUUUUGAUAAUUAUUGGAUCCAUAAUACAGUGGAACAUCAAAUAUUGUUGGAUGUCAAAAUUUUAUUUUUAAGAGAGCCACUGAGUUUGCCUCUCUUAAACUGUGAGUGAAAGAUAUAUCCACCAUCUUAUAAAUAGAGGGUUUUUAAACUCAUAGGAACUAAUAAUAUUGAUUUUACUAUACCACAAAAACUAAAAUGUAUUUUAUCUUUUUGAUGAAUAUUCUUAAAGUACACAUAACAGUGUAAUUUGUUAGAAUAAGAGUAUAAGAAGUAUAUUUAUGAAAUUUGGUGUAGAAAUAACUACACCUUUUUUUUGUAUAUAUAUAUAUAUAUAACAUAAUAAAUUUAUUUAUCUACUCUUUUUUGAAAAUAAAUUUAUUAAUCUAUUUAAAUAAUUUUGUUUAAUUAGGUGGCUGAUUUUGGACUUGCACGCUUUUUUUCGGAGACUAUUAUUCACAUAUUCAAAUCAGCGACUAUGGAAACCAAAGCGUAAGAUAAUUUAUACAUGUUUAAAUUUUUUAGUGUCAUUAUUAUGUUCUACUUCUAGAAUAAUUAAAAUAAAAUAAAAUACAUAUGAAAACAGAAGGAAACUAGUGUUUCUUUAGAUUUUAAUUUCUUGAAUCUUGACAUGAAUUUUGAUUGAGCUUACUAAAUUGCAGCUAUAUAGAUCCAUAUGCAAUAAAAACUGGAGAGUACACUGUAAAAUCAGAUGUUUACUCAUUUGGUAUUAUGCUUCUAGAAUUAAUUACCGGAAGAAGACUCAUAGAAGAAGACGGCUCUGAUGUUGUUGAAUGGGUAAGGCGUAUGCAACUAGUAUACUUUAAAAAUUUAUGAUAUGUAAUUGUAUAAUUAAAAUAUAAUAAAAGAUAUUUAAGAUCCAAAACUCACCAUUCACAUGCAAUCACUGAUAUUAAUGCAUUUGAAAUUCCCAAUUGAUGUAAGUCUGAGUUAAUAAAUAGACAUAAUUAUAUUUUUAUUGAUAUUCUACAGGCAAAAUCUGAAAUUAAGAAGGCUUUGCGGGAUAAAAAAUUUGAAAGAUUUGUAGAUUCUAGAUUGCAAAUGUUUGACGAUGAAGAAGCGUAUCGAAUGUUGUUCUGCAUUGAUAUUUGUAUAAAUAACAUUCCAAAAUUUCGCCCAUCAAUGAAGAAGGUAAAUUUUUUUUUCUUUUCCAUAUAUUAUGUUAUAAUUGAUAAUAUAUACAAUAAUUUCAUUAUUAUUGUGCCAUAUAGAUACUUCUAACUCUCGACGGAAUUUUGCCUCAACAAAUUAUGCAAUGAGAAGGGUGAUAACAAAUUGACACUGUACCCCACUUUAUAUAUAAUUUCAUCUCCGAUUAAUAGAAGUACAAGUAUUGGGCUGAGGCAAUAUUCAUAUUAACAACUAGCAAAGGCCACCAAUCAUUUCUCCGGUAACAAUCUUCUUGGCGAGGGUGGCUUCGAACAAGUUUACAUGGGAUCAGUAGAUGGUCAAUUCUUGUAACACCCCUAUCCAAUUAUUUAAUUAACCAAGUUAGAGACAUUAUAUUUUGUAACUGUUCUCUUUUUUUUUUAUUUUUUUUAUAUCAUAUAAUUCAUUACCUUUUUUUUAUCGAAAAUCCGACAGAGUUUCCCCUGAAAUAUGAACUUAAUUCCACCUGUGAAUAGAAAUAUCACACUUCUAUAAACUUCAAUCUUAACCCUCAAACUUCUUUUAACAUCAACACAAUUUCAAUUCAGAUCAAACACUUCAUAAUCAUCUCAUUAAUCUCAACACAAAAACUUAUACUAAUAACCCAUAUUUACACCAAAAUUAAAAUCUUUAAAUAUAUCUAAUUCCAACCAUAUAUAACUUCAUCUCUAAAACUUUGCCAUAUUUCCAAAAUUAACUUUAUAUAAAGUUUAUAAAAUAUACUCCAAGAUAGUUAAUGAUGUAACUCUGGUCGGGUUGAUCAGAUCUUGAUCUACUGCUCCUUGGACCUACAACCUGCGCGAGGAAAAAUACAUUCCUACGCGCUAAGCAAAUUGCUUAGUGGUGCUCAACUUCUUUUUAUAUUUAAAAAUAAAUCAUUUAAAUCAAAAUUCAUUUAUCAACAAUAAAUCAAACAAAUAACAAUAAACUAUAUAGCAAAUAAUUUGAAACAAUUCUAAAUCAUAUUAUUAUUUCACAUAUAUACAAAUUUUAAUUUCAGUAUUUUCUUUUUCUUUUUCUUCAUGUAAAAAAAGGUUCUAUUUUCUCUUAAUACUUUUAUUUAUUUAUUAUUUUUCUUUUGGCCCCUAUAAAUUUAAAUGGGACUGUUAAGUCAGAUAAGGAACUGUAUCUAUAGGGCACAAAGUGCCAAAUAGGGAGUGAGGUUUUAAAAAUUUUAAUAAUUAAAAAAAAGGAAUAAUUAAGAUAGAUAAAUGAAGGGAAAAGAAAAAUUGAUAAACUACUUUUACCUCUAACUUUUCAUCUAUUUAUAUUAUUUUUCCUCUUUUACUAUUUUUUAAAUUGAAUUUUCUAUUUUAUUUUCCAGUGAAAUAAAAAUAAUUAUAAAGUAUAUACCAAAACCCCAAUCACAAUAAAGUAAAUAAAUUUUAUUAAAAUUAUUUAUUUAUAAGAGAUAAAAGGGCGGAAAGGAUAAGAAUAACAUUAUUUAUAAAGUCGAUUAAUAAAAUGUCACUAUUAAUUAUUUUUUGGUUUAAAUAAUGGAUACUUUCUGAUUGUUGCAUUAAGUCAUUGAUGGGACCCAUGAGCCCACGUCUAUUUAUCACUAAAAAAAUAUUUACCACAUGCUGCGCAUUAAUAAAAAGAAACUCAUUAAUAAAUUUAUAUGCAUUGCACAAAAUGACAUUGACUCGCCGCUGGAGGCCACAUGCUGCCCAUUCUACGCCAACUUCAACAUUAUAUAUAUAUAUAUUUUUUUUAAAGGAAAACGAAGGUCUGAAUGCUAAAGUUACCUACCGUCUUCCAUCACCCUUUCCACAUCUUCCUCUCUAUCUCUGACCAUUCAUUCACACUGAAUAUACUUGCAAGAAAGCUGUGGUCGUGGUUGCAUAAGUCUGCAACUUCUGACGACCUCUAGCUUGGGGCUGAACCGGGCAGAUUCGCCUUAUGGAUACUAGAGGUAUUACUUGUUGUAGCUGAAUGUGUGGAACCAAAUAGUAGUAGUUUCAUAGAGCUUUCAUUUCAUUUCAUCAACUAAUUGAGGCAUGUUGUUUAUUCUAUGGUCACUAAGCACAGAUCCGAAUGAAUCUGGUUCAUCUUCAUCUGCAUCUGAGAAUUAUGACGGUAUUGGGCCAAAGUCAUAUUCAUACGAUGAACUAGCAAAGGUAACUGGUCAUUUCUCGCACAAUAACCUAAUUGGUCGAGGUGGUUUUGGUCAUGUUUUUAGAGCAUCCUUAGAUGGCGAGACUCGUGCUAUCAAAAGACUUGAUUAUCCGGGUGUAGAGUCUGAAGGAGAUUUGGAAAGGGAGAUUAUGGUCGUAAAAAGCAUCAGUCACAAAAACCUCGUUGAACUGAUUGGUUACUGCAUUGAUGGAGCCAAUAGAUUGCUUAUUUUAAAGUAUUUUCCAAAUGGAUCUUUGAGAUCUAAAUUAGAUGGUGAGUCCCAUAUCCUUUAUUUUACGUUUCAUGUAACUAAUGCGACAUAAUUAAUCUUGCAAAUUACAAAUGGUUUUAAUUUUGUAGGGAAGGAGAAUGUUUUAGACUGGAAAAAAAGAAUGAAUAUUGCUAUAGGUUCUGCAAGAGGACUGGAAUAUUUACAUGAACACUGUAAGUAUGUAGUACAACAUAUUCCUAAUUGGCAGGAUUUUAGCUUUAGAGAGUGAAUUUAUUUUUUUAUUUUUUGUGAUAAUUUAUUUUCUCUUAAAAUUUUAUACUUUUCCCAUAUUUUUUCAGGUAAACCUAAAAUUAUACAUUUAGAUAUCAAGCCGGACAAUAUUCUUCUUGAUGAACAUUUUGAACCUAAGGUAAAAUAAUUUUAUAGUAAAUAAAUAUUUUAUUUAUAUCUAUCACAUAACCUUAUCACUACCUUAUCACUCAAUACUGAAAUUUUAUAUUUUGAAUUGAAGUCAUCGUUUGUUUAAUAUGAUUGUUGUAAUUAAUUAAUAAAUCUGGGUUCUUCUUUUUUGGUUUGGCCAUAUAUUUUUGGCUUUUUUAAUAAAAAUUAUUGCUUAUUGGCGAAGGCAAAAAUUAUAGGAAAGUUUGAUUUUCUUGUAUAUCUUGGAUCGGUAGCAGUACAUGUAUAUAUAUACAGUGGAUACAAUAGACUUAAAAUAGGUUUACAAAAAAUGUAAUACACAUGAAAUAACUGAAAACAGUUUUUCUAACCAACUUUGGCGCCAUUAUUUUCCACGUGGCUUAACAUCCCCUGCAAGUUGGGGAGUAUAUAUCAAUCAUCCUCAGCUUGGAUAAUAUUUCUCGAAAAGGAGCAAUAGGUAAGGGCUUUGUGCAAAUAUCAGCGAGUUGGGCAGCAGAUGGUAUUGGAAGGAGUUUAAUCAACUCAGAGAGCAGUUUUUCACGAACAAUAUGGCGGUCUAUCUUGAUAUGUUCAUGAAAGAUUGGAAUUUGCAGCAAUUUGUAUAGCAGAUUUGUUAUCACAAUAAAUAAUGGCAGGUUGAGGGUGACAGACAAAUAGGUCAUGAAGAAGAUACAAUAGCUACUGUACUUCUCACAGGUGAUAGUUGCAAGAGCUCAAUAUUCAGCUUCAGAGGAGCACCGAGAAAUGGUAAGACUGCUCCUUUGCCUACCAAGAAAUUAGAGCGGAUCCUAGAAGGAGACAAAAUCCUGUAACAAAUUUUUGGAUGUCAGCACAACCUGUCCAGUCUGAAUCACGGAAACCUUUCAGUUGUAAGUCUGAACCAGUAGAGAAGAAAAGACAUGCAUCCGGAGAGCUCUUGAUAUAACGAAAUAUACAAUGGGCUGCUUGUAAAUGAAUAGAGGUAGGUGGGGCGAUCCAGGAGCGGACUAAGUUGUUGAAGGAACGGACUAAGUUGUUGAACUGCCAGGUCUUGUGGAUGUUAAAUAGAGUAAUCCCGCUAUCAGUCUUCUAUAGAAAAGGAUAUCAUCCAAGGGUGUGCCAGAAUUGAUACUACGCUUAGUUUUGGAGUCCAUACACUACAAAAAAUUUCCAGAUUACGGAAGGAUUUACUAACGAUUUGAAUCUGUUAGUAAUUUUAAUCGAUUUAUUAACGAUUUUAAAAAUUUAUUAGUAAAUUUUAAUAUAAAAUAUUUUAUAUAAAAAUUUAUUAACGAAUUUAAAAUACGUUGGUAAUAUAUUGGUAUUACUAACGGAUUUUAAAAUUUAUUGAUAAUUUAUAAAUAUAUAAAAUAAUUUAUGUUGAAAUUUAUUAACAGAUUUAAAGUCCGUUAAUAAAUCUGUCGAUAAUUUAUUAACGAAUUUUAAUAUGUUAGUAAAUUUUAAAACGUGUUUAAAGUACUAGCGGACUUUUAACGUGUUUAAAAAAUUAUUAAUGAAUUUGAAAAUUUAUUACUAAAUUUUAUCAUUAAAUUAGUAAGUAAAAAAAGUGUUGAAUUUAUCACCUUAUGCUAUCUAUUAUUUUUUUUUUUGAAAUAGGGGUUGGGGGAGUCGAACCUUAGACCUUUUAAGGCUACAGGAUGCACUUUUCACCAGGCUAAGCCUUGGAGUGCUUAUGCUAUCUAUUAUUAAAUUUAAUAUGACAUUUCGCAUAAAAUUUUUGCCUUUUUUUUUUUAAAUCCACAUUUUUCAAUUAUCAACGAAUUUAUUAAUGGAUUUAAAAUCCGUUGGUAAUUUUUAAAGGAAAAAAAUCUAUUUUUUAUUUUUUUAAAAAUUUAGUAAUGGAUUUCAUUAAUAAACUGUUAAUAAUCCACAUUUAUAAAUAUAACACUAUCUCUUCUUCUUUUAUCAUUCAUUCGUUUUAUCAUUUUCUUUUCCUUUCCAUUAUUUUCUUUCUUUUUCUAUUACUUUCUUUUAUUUCACUUUCUCAUUUCAUAUUUUUUUCUUCUCAUUUUUUUGUAUUAUUUUCCUUUCAUUUCUUAUCCUUUUUUAUCACAUUCUCUUCCAUCUUAUAUUAUUUUCUUUAUUUUUCUCCAUAAUUUUUCUUUUCCAUUAUUUUUUUUCUUUUUUUUCUUAUUCUUUAUUUUUUCUAUAAUUAUUAUUCAUAUUAUUUUCUUCUAUCAUUUUCUUUCUAUCUAUAUCUUUUCUUCAUUUAUUUUAUUCUCUAAUUAUUUUCUCUUUUUUUUCUCAUUUUUCUAAUCAUCUUUUUACCAUACUCUCAUUCUUCCUUCUUUUUCAUAAUUUUUAUUUUUCUAUCAUUUUUUUCUUUUUCUCUUUUUUUUUUUUCUUUUCUUAUCAUUUUCUCUCAUUUGCUUUUCUCUUAUCCCCCCUUCUAUGUAUUUCUAAUAAAUAUUAGACAUAAAUUAAAAAUUUAGUAACAAUAAUAAUAUAAUUUUAAAUCUUAUUGAAUUAAUAAAAAAUAAUAUUAAUAACAAAAUUUAUUAUUUAAUCAAAAUAAUAAUUAUUUUAAACUUAUUUAAAUUUCCAAUGGAUCUAUUAACGAAUUUCAAUCAGUUGAUAAUUUACUAAUAGAUUUAUCAACGAAUUUCAAAUCUGUUAGUAAAUUAUUUUUCUCUCAAUUUACUAAUGGAUUUAAAAUCCGUUAGAAAUAAUAACGGAAACUCCGUUAGUAAAUCUGUCAGUAUUACUAACGGUUUACCAACGAGCUUUUUAACAACGGAUUAUAAUCCGUUGAUAAUUCAUUUACCAAUGUAUUUUUAUAGGAUUACCAACAGAAAAAUUCAUUAGUAAUCCGAAAGUUUUUUGUAGCGAUAAGAGUGGGAGCUGGUUUACAAUCUGAAAAGCCAAAGUCAUUAAGGAUCUCAAGGGCUAUUUCCGCUAACAAAGAGAGAUGCCAGCUUUAGUUCUUGCUACUUUCAACCUCAGAAAAAAACUCAAAUCACCAAAGUCUUUUAUUUUGAACUUAUUAUUAAGAAAAGAUUUAACAGUGUUAAUUUUUUGUAAAUUUGUGCCAACCAAGAUAACAUCAUCGACAUAAACCAAUAUCACAAUAAUAUGAACAUCAUAUUUCUUAACAAAGAGAGAAUAGUCCGAGAUAGACUGUUUAUAACCUAGGGAGAUAAGAGUAUUACACAAUUUUGAAUACCAUUGACAAGUGGCUUACUUUAAACCAUAAAGUGACUUGUUUAAGUGACAAACUUUGUUAGACUGAGAGGUAAAGCCUGGAGGAAGUGUCAUGUAUACUUUUUCAUGAAGAUCUCUACGAAGGAAUGCAUUAUUGAUGUCCAACUAUUAUAAAAACCAUCCAUUAGCAGCUGCAAGAGCUAAGAGAAAUCGAACAGUGGUUAUCUUAGCAACAGGUGAAAACAUAUCAAAAUAAUCAACACCUUCAAUGAAACGGUCCGACUCAAACUGACCCAAAUAACUUUUGGAUCCACUUUCCACUUAACCCAAAAUAGUUAACCCAAAUUAUUUAGUAGUUUCGUGCUAGCUAUUAUAGACAAUUUGGAUUUUCUGUAAUUCUACCGAUGUGAGGCGCCUUCCCACAUUAAGCAAGCAAUUGUCUAUCACACUGCCUUUCCAAAUUAAGCAAGCAAUUGUGUAUCAUACUCUCCCCCGCUAAAUUUGCAACGUCCUUGUCUCACACGGGUAGCUCUUUUCAUGCAGGCUCUACAUACUUUUUCCGACUCAGGGUGGCUCUGAUACUACGGGUGGCCCUUUCCUCGCAGGCUCACUAACUCUGCAUAAUUUUUCUGACCCAGGGUAGCUCUAAUACCAAUUGAAACAGUCCGAUCCAAAUAACUUUUGGAUCCACUUUCCACUUGGAUCUCCUGCUAAAUUUGCGACGUUCUCGUCGCAACUAAAUCGAAUACAAUUGCUAAAUCAGGACCGGACCCUCGAAUAUUGUGGUUCGCUAGUACCUCGGGCGGCUGCACCUCAUCUCGCACGGUAUUUGGAAUUCAAUGCGGGAUUCUCAAAAUAGGAUAUUUAGUGAAUGACUCCUUUAGAAGCAUAAAAGGCUGGUAUUUGGAAUUCAACUCCAUUGUCACUUCUGAUUUUUUGGAUCUUAGUAGAAAAUUGAGUUUCUACAAGAUUAAAAAAGGAUUGAAGGCAAGACCUGGCAUCACAUUUAGAGUGCAAUAAGAAAAUCCAAGUGAACUUAGUGAAAUCAUCCCCAACAGUUAAAGAAGAAUUUGUGACCAGUUAUUGAACAUACUGAAAAUGGCCCCAAAUAUCUACAUGUAUUAGUUCAAAAGCUCUAUUUGUAGUAGAUAUGCUAUCAGAAAACAAAAGCCUUUUUUGUUUUGCAAAGUGGCAAAUAUCACAGACAACUUUAUUAUGAGAGGCAAAGAUAUCUGGAAUAUGAGCUUGAAGUGUUUGAAGUCUGGAAGGUGAAGGAUGACCCAACCUGAAGUGUCAUUUACCAAAAUUACUAUCAACAAUACAUACUCUAGAAAGAUUGAAAGGCACUAGCAUGUAGAGACCAUUGUUCACUUUAGUUGUACCAACUAUCUUCCAGUGAGUCAAUUCCUGUAUGAAACAAGCAUAUUGCUGAAAAACCAGGCAACAAUUACCAGAAAGAGUAAGCUUAGACACAGAUAAGAGAUUGAAGGCAAAUUCUGGAAUGAAAAGAGCACCAUUCAGUAUCAAUUUGUCUGUCAAUUGAACUGUGCCUGCAACUUUUGCAAGAAGCUUGGAUCCAUUUGGAAGAGUAACAACAAUGGGUGGAAUGUUGUGAUAAGUACUGAAAAGAUGCAGUGAAUGUGCAAUAUGGUCUGUUUCACCAUGUCCACUAUCCAAACAUCAGAACUGGCAGAAACAGAUAAUGCCAAAUGUGUACCUGGUUAAGGAUCAAAGGCAGAUACCAAGUUUGUAACAGGAGUAGAGAUUGCCUGAGAGUUGUUAGAUGUUAACUGUGGAUAGGAUUUAGCUUCAAGAUGAGAAUCAUUGAGGAGUGCUAGUAAGCCAUGAUAUUAUUCUUGCGUUAAUGAGAAUCUUGAUUUCUCAAUAUUUGUCUGAGGUCCAAUUGAACUGAUGGCUUGAACGUUAUCAACAGCGGUAACAUUGUUGACAGUCACAUUUGAUCCUCUUGGUUUAUAACCAGGGGGAUAUCCAUGUUUCUUAUAGUAAGUUUCUAUUGUGUGCCUGUACCUUCCUCAAAAUGUGUAGUAUCUAUUGUCUCCAGAGGAGUUAACAACAGAUUUUCCAGCUGAAUGAGACUUGUAAUUGUAUGAAGGGACAUAUCUAAAUCUGGAUAGAUUAGAUUUUGCAAUCUAACUAAUUAAAUUAUAAAAGAUUAAUUAAAUUCUGUCAAGAGUUUUAACCAAUAUUAUUUGGCUAAAACGAUAUAAGAGAAAAGAUAGGCCGAAAGACGAUAGCCUUAUUAAAAUUUUUCAAAAAUUGAAAAGUAAGUUUAUAAUAGUCAAGUGAGUUCAUCUAAUAGCCAAGUGAGUUUAUCUAAUCAACCUUAAUAGAUUUUUUAUUUUUUUUUCAUGAUUUAAAAAAAGGAAUAUAUUCAUGAAAUUAAGUGCCAAAAUAACUUAUUCACCUUUAAAUUAAUAUAUACAUUAUAUAUAAAUGGCAUAAUAAAUUUAUUAACCAACUUAAAUCAUUUGUCUAGAUAACAGAUUUUGGACUUGCUCAUUUUUUUACGGAUGCUGCUACUCACAUAUCCAAAUCAUCAGUUAUGGGAACCCAAGUGUACGUAGGAUAUAACUUUCUUUCUAUAUUUAAUUGUUUUUUUAUAUAUAAAAGAAUUGCAUUACUAUUAUUGUCUUUUUCAUUUUCACUGUCAUUAUUAUCUACACUAAAAUAAAAAUUAAAACAAAAAAAGCACAUAAAAAUAAAUUAAAACUCCUUAAUUUGAAGAUAUUAUUUUCUUAAAGAAAAUCUAUAUGAAUUUUAAUUGUGAUAAUUCUAUUGCAGUUACGAAGAUCCACUGACGACAAAAUUAGGAAAGUAUUCUGAUAAAUCUGAUAUUUAUUCUUUUGGUGUUACACUUUUAGAGCUGAUUACCGGAAGAAAACCUUUAGAUAAUGGCAUUGAUAUUGUUACUUGGGUACGACUAUUUGCAUUAAUAAAAACUAUGAUAUAAAGAAAAUUUUUUUUCUCAUUGAUAUAUAGUCGUUUAAAAAAGUAAAAUUUUGAAUUUAGAUUUCAAUAGGAUCUAUUUAGAUUUUAAUCCAGUGCAUUUAAGAUCCAUUAAUAAAUAUAUAUAUAUUUUUUUAUCUUGUAGGCAAAUCUUCACAUUAGAGAGGCUUUAGAUGGAAAAUAUGCAAAUUUUGUAGAUUCCAAAAUACAAUCUUUUGAUGAUGAAGAAAUGCAUAGAAUGGUUUCUUGUAUUAAUUCUUGCUUAAAUCGACUUCCAAAAUUUCGUCCAACAAUGGAAAAGGUAAAAAUUGUUUCCAUAAUUAAUUUAAUUGUAGUAUCUUUCAAUAUAAUUAUGUGAAAGCCUAUUACAUAAUUGAUUUAUAAUUAUUUUAUUGCUAUAUAUGUCAUAUAGAUACGUCUAGUUCUUGAAGGAAAAUCGCUUCCAGAAGUAUUAUACGAUCACAAUUUGCAAUGCGGUAUGAUAUAUAAAGGUCCAUAUUAUUUUAUGUUAAUUUAUUAUAAAUUAUAUGCAUAUUUAUAGAUCUAAUUGAUGCCUAAAUUAUCAUUUAAUUUUCAACUGUAAAAAAUAAGUUUUUUAAUUUGAAAUUUAGAAUAAAUUAGGUUUUAACCAAAAUUGAUACAUAUUAAUUAAAUAUAUUUUUUAAUCUUAUAAUUAUUCAAACAAACUGUAAAAACAAUGAUGAAAACUUUAUCUUAAAGUUUUAAAACAUAAAUCUAAAAGUUCAUACAUGAUUUCUUAAUCGUUAAAUUUGUUAAUCAUUGAAUUAAAACGUAUAGUUAAUAUAUAUAAUAGUGAAUAGUUUCAGGAUUAAAAAUAUAAUUUUAUUUGAAUAUAAUUAUUUAUAGAGUUAUGAUUUAUCUUAUUAGUUAUUUUUAAUAAUUAUAGGAGACAAGAACAAAAAAAUCAUUUAUCAACCGAAAACCUCCUUUGUUCCCUUAUAUAUAUGAAAAGUGCAAAAUUAAGAAUUACCAUAUUUUAUUUAUUAUUUCUUAAAAAUGAAUAUGUAAUUACAUUUACAUUUAAAUCGGUUAGAGUUUUUUAGAAUUAAAAAAAUAAAUUAUAAAUAUUUAAUUUAUUAAUUAGGAAUCAAUAUAUAAAUUGGAAUUUUGUAUUAAAUAGUUAACAUUUUAGUCAAUUUACAAGUUCAUUGACUUAUUUAUUAAUUUUACAUAUUAUUCUUUUAUUAUUUAAGGAAAAGUAAAUAAAUAGGAAUAAUUCUUCAUAAGAAAAAAAUAUAUAUUAUCAAUGGCCAUGAAACCAUUUGCUAUUUUGAAGUUGUUAAAUUUUAUUUUAAAAGAUUGUUAAACAUAAUGAUUGUUUAUUGAUUGUCACUAAACACAGAUGAGAAUACUAUUGGGCCAAAGUCAUAUUCAUACGGUGAACUAGCAAGGGUAACUGAUCAUUUCUCGCUCAAUAACCAAAUUGGUCGAGGUAGUUUUGGUCAUGUUUUUAAGGCAUCCUUAGAUGGUGAGAUCCGUGCUAUUAAGAGACUUGAUUUUCCGGAUGUACAAUUCGAAGAAGGUUUGGAGAGGGAGAUUAUGGUCUUCAAAAGCGUCAGACACAAAAACCUCGUUGAACUGGUUGGUUACUGUAUUCAUGGAUCCAAUAGAUUGCUUAUUUCAAAGUAUUUUCCAAAUGGGUCCUUGAGAUCUAAAUUACAUGGUGAGUCCCAUAUAUCCCUUCUUUUACUUUUAUGUUCGUAUAACUAAUCAAUAUGACAUGAUAAAUCCUAAAAAUUACAAAUCGUAUUGUAGGAAGUGGGGAUGUUUUGGACUGGAAAAAAAGAAUGAAGAUCGCCAUAGGUUCUGCAAAAGGAUUGGAAUAUUUACAUGAACACUGUGAGUAUAUACUACUACACAUUCUUACUUGCAGGAUUUUAACUUUUGAGUGUGAAUUUAUUUAUUUAUUUAUUUUUAUUUAUAUUACCUCAAAUAUUUAUAUUUUAUAUUUUUUGUAGGUAAUCCUAAAAUUAUUCAUUUAAUUAUGAAACCGGAUAAUAUUUUUCUUGACGAAGAUUUUGAACCUAAGGUAAGGUAAUGUUAUAAUAAAUAAACAUUCACUAUACACCAAAUUUUAAUCAUUGAAUACCGAAAUUUUAUUUUUAACAAUAUUGAAAAAUUAUGUAAACUCCUUAAUUACAUAAUUUGAUUUUUGUAAUUAAUUAAUAAAUCUGAAUUCUAAUUCUUUUUUAGUUUGGCCAUAUAUUUUUGGCUUUUUUUAAUAAAAUUGAUUGCUUAUAAAAAACAUUAGUAAAUCAACCUUAGUAGGUUUUUUGUCUUUUUUUCAUGAUUUAAUAUUUUCUUAAUAAACUUGAUUGAAGUACGGAAAAUUGUGUAAUUUACCAAAUAAAAAAAGUAAAAGUAUAUUUAUAGAACUAAGUGUGAAAAAUAACUUUAAUUUUAAAUUAAGAUAUAUAUAUACAAAUGGAAUAACAAAUUUAUUAAUUAACUUAAAUAGUUUGUUUAGAUAACAGAUUUUGGACUUGCUCAAUUUUUUACCGACGGUGCUACUCACAUAUCCAAAUCAUCAGUUAUGGGAACCCAUGUGUAAGAUAUAAUUUUCUUUCUAUCAUUUAAUUGUAUUGCUAUUAUUUUUUAUUUUUUUAAUGUCAUUAUUAUCUUCUCUUAGAAUAGUUUAAAAUAAAAUAAAUAUUAAAAUAGAUAAAAUAAUACAUAAAAAAUAUAAGUAAUCCAUUAAGAUAGUAUUAAUAAUUUUAACAAAUUCUUUUGCAGUUAUGAAGAUCCACUAACAACAAAACUGGGGAAGUAUUCUGAUAAAUCUGAUAUUUAUUCUUUUGGAGUUACACUUUUAGAAUUGAUUACGGGAAGAAAACCUAUAGACAACGGCAUUGACAUUGUUACUUGGGUAUGGCUCUAUUUAUUUUAAUAAAACUAUGAUAUAAAAAUUUUGAAUUUAGAUUUCAAUUGGAAUUAUUUAGAUUUUAAUCCAAUGCAUUUAUGAUUUAUUAAUAAAUAAUUUUUUUAAUUAAUAUUUUGUAGGCAAAUCGUCUAAUUAAAAAUGAUUUGGUGGGAAGAUAUACCAAGUUUGUAGAUUUCAAUUUACAAUCUUUUGACCGUGAACAAAUGUAUCGAAUGAUUUCUUGUGUUAAUUCUUGUCUAAAUCAACCUCCAAAUUCUCGUCCAACAAUGGAAAAGGUAAAAUUUUUCACAUAACUAAUCUCAAAAUUAUAUAUACUAUCUUCAAGUUUGUAAUUAUUUUAUUGGCAUGCCAUGUAGAUACGUCUAGUUCUCGAAGAAAAAUUGCCUUCAGAGGAAUUAUACGAUCAUGAAUUGCAAUGGAGUAUUAUUCUAUACUCUUUUAUGUUAAUUUAUUAGAAAUUAUAUGCAUAUUUAUACUAAAGCUUGAUCUAAUUGAUGCCUAAAUUAAUUUUCAUUUAAUUUCUGUUAUAUCUUAACAUUAGAAACAAAUGUUGAUUUUUAACUGCAUAAAUAUUAAUUGUUUUAAUUUGAAAUGUAGAAUAAAUUAGUUUUUUUAGUCAAAAUUGAUAACAUAUUAAUGAAAUAUAAUUUUUAUCUUAUAAUUAUUCAAACAAAUGUAAAAACAAUGAUGAAUAUUUUACCUUAAAGCUUUAAAGCAUAAAUCUAAAAGUUCAUACAUAAUUUCUUAAUCGUUAAUUUUGUCAAAUAUUGAAUUAAAUCAUAUAGUUAAUAUUUAUAGGAUUGAAUAGUUUCAAGAUUAAACAUAUAAUUUUAUUUGAAUUAGAAGAAUAUAAUUACUUAUAGGGUUACGAUUUAUCUUAUUAAUUAUGAGGAAGGGGUGAUGUGAAGUAUCCAUCUAAGUUCAUCUACUCGGUGAUUUUGCUUUNNNNNNNNNNNNNNNNNNNNNNNNNNNNNNNNNNNNNNNNNNNNNNNNNNNNNNNNNNNNNNNNNNNNNNNNNNNNNNNNNNNNNNNNNNNNNNNNNNNNNNNNNNNNNNNNNNNNNNNNNNNNNNNNNNNNNNNNNNNNNNNNNNNNNNNNNNNNNNNNNNNNNNNNNNNNNNNNNNNNNNNNNNNNNNNNNNNNNNNNNNNNNNNNNNNNNNNNNNNNNNNNNNNNNNNNNNNNNNNNNNNNNNNNNNNNNNNNNNNNNNNNNNNNNNNNNNNNNNNNNNNNNNNNNNNNNNNNNNNNNNNNNNNNNNNNNNNNNNNNNNNNNNNNNNNNNNNNNNNNNNNNNNNNNNNNNNNNNNNNNNNNNNNNNNNNNNNNNNNNNNNNNNNNNNNNNNNNNNNNNNNNNNNNNNNNNNNNNNNNNNNNNNNNNNNNNNNNNNNNNNNNNNNNNNNNNNNNNNNNNNNNNNNNNNNNNNNNNNNNNNNNNNNNNNNNNNNNNNNNNNNNNNNNNNNNNNNNNNNNNNNNNNNNNNNNNNNNNNNNNNNNNNNNNNNNNNNNNNNNNNNNNNNNNNNNNNNNNNNNNNNNNNNNNNNNNNNNNNNNNNNNNNNNNNNNNNNNNNNNNNNNNNNNNNNNNNNNNNNNNNNNNNNNNNNNNNNNNNNNNNNNNNNNNNNNNNNNNNNNNNNNNNNNNNNNNNNNNNNNNNNNNNNNNNNNNNNNNNNNNNNNNNNNNNNNNNNNNNNNNNNNNNNNNNNNNNNNNNNNNNNNNNNNNNNNNNNNNNNNNNNNNNNNNNNNNNNNNNNNNNNNNNNNNNNNNNNNNNNNNNNNNNNNNNNNNNNNNNNNNNNNNNNNNNNNNNNNNNNNNNNNNNNNNNNNNNNNNNNNNNNNNNNNNNNNNNNNNNNNNNNNNNNNNNNNNNNNNNNNNNNNNNNNNNNNNNNNNNNNNNNNNNNNNNNNNNNNNNNNNNNNNNNNNNNNNNNNNNNNNNNNNNNNNNNNNNNNNNNNNNNNNNNNNNNNNNNNNNNNNNNNNNNNNNNNNNNNNNNNNNNNNNNNNNNNNNNNNNNNNNNNNNNNNNNNNNNNNNNNNNNNNNNNNNNNNNNNNNNNNNNNNNNNNNNNNNNNNNNNNNNNNNNNNNNNNNNNNNNNNNNNNNNNNNNNNNNNNNNNNNNNNNNNNNNNNNNNNNNNNNNNNNNNNNNNNNNNNNNNNNNNNNNNNNNNNNNNNNNNNNNNNNNNNNNNNNNNNNNNNNNNNNNNNNNNNNNNNNNNNNNNNNNNNNNNNNNNNNNNNNNNNNNNNNNNNNNNNNNNNNNNNNNNNNNNNNNNNNNNNNNNNNNNNNNNNNNNNNNNNNNNNNNNNNNNNNNNNNNNNNNNNNNNNNNNNNNNNNNNNNNNNNNNNNNNNNNNNNNNNNNNNNNNNNNNNNNNNNNNNNNNNNNNNNNNNNNNNNNNNNNNNNNNNNNNNNNNNNNNNNNNNNNNNNNNNNNNNNNNNNNNNNNNNNNNNNNNNNNNNNNNNNNNUUAUGGUUAAGUGGUAUCGAAGUUGCAAUACGGAUAAAAAGAUCUCAAUUUUUCUUAUAAAAUUCCAAAUCAAAAUUUUUAGUCAAAGUAUCCCACCAAGUUAUUAAAUUGUUUAAUUACUCUUUUGCAUUUAUUUUGAAUAACAAUACAAAUAAAUUUCAUUAUUAAUUAAAUCAUCAAAAUCCAUAUUAUGUUUUUAAUUUUUAACAUUAUGCUAAUUUAUAAAGAUGGGAUCUAUUCAUUAAAGAUAUGUGUAAUAUAAUUAUUUUCAUAACUAUAGGUGGAGAUUACACUAGAACAAGCAAUUUAUUGAGACACCCAUAUAUCCAAAACGUAUAGACCAUCAGAUACAUGGCAUUUACCAAUAAUCUUUUUUAUCAUAAAACUUUGAAAAAAACGAUGAUCAAAGAAAAAAGAGACACAAUAGUUUAAGUAUUUAAUAAGUUUACUCACAAAAUUUAAAUUUAAAGUAAGAUUAGAUAAAUUUAACACGGAUGAUAAAAUGAUAAAAGGAGUAAACUUAACCGUCUUAGAACACUCAACAUUAUAUUGCGAUUUACAUAGUCUGUUAACCAAGUUGAUUUCCUAGUAGAAUGAGGCUGACCUCUUUCAAUAGGUUGGAUUUCCGGUGACCAGCAAUUUGAUGUUGCAAGUCAGAUUCUGAUUUGUACAAGUUGGUCAUUUUGGUUCUCUAUUUCUUUAAAGAAGACUGAUAUAGGUUGCUGUUAUGACUCAUUUUUAGCCUAAUUCCAUGUGUUUUCUUCAUAAAAACUCACAUCUCUACUGAUCACAAUUUUUUUAGUGUCUGAAUUUAAUAACUUAUAAGUUUUAGAGACUUCACUUAAGCUAAGAAAGACAUAUUUUUCACCCUUAUCAUCUAACUUUUUCCUUUUCUCAUUAGAUAUAUAUGCAUAUUUGAUGCAACUGAAAAUUCAACAAUGAUCAACAGCUGGUUUUCUUCCACUCCAUAUUUCCUCCGGAGUCAUUUUCUGUAUUGAAAAUAUUAGACUUCUAUUCAGUACAUGGAUACUCCAAUUAAUUGCCUUAGGGCAAAAGUUCUUCGGAACAUUGCCUUUAGCCAGCAAUCUUCUCACCAUAUUAAGGAUUGUUCUAUUUUUCCUUUCCAAUACGCCAUUUUAUUAUGGUAAAUAGGCCUGUGAGUUCCCUUUGAAUGCUUUAUUCAUCACAAAACUGUUUAAAUUCCUUUAAAUAAUAUUUUCCACCAUGAUUGGUACGAAAAGUUUUAACUGCCUUCCCUUACUCAUUUUCAACAUGCACUUUGAAGCUUUUAAAUGCACGCAUUUAAAAAGCUUCUGAUUUAGCCUGCAAAAAGUCAAUCCAAGUCUUCCAAGAAAAAUCAUCAAUGAAAGUGAUUAAAUAUUUGUUACCCCCAUUGAAAGUUGAAUUGAUUGGACUGCAUAUAUUGGAAUGGACCAGCUCUAAAAAAUCUUUCGCUCUCUAUUAUUUUCCUUGUGGAAAUUGAGAGCAAUAUUGUUUACAAACACACACUCUUCAUAAACUCGAGAUAGAAUAGUAAUUUGAGGAAGAUCAUUCGCCAUAUGCUUCUAUUGGAGAGUUCUUAAUCCACCGAAAUUCAAGUGGCCGUAACAGAAAUGCCAAAGCCGAGAUGGAUUCUUCAUUUCAGCCAUCAAACGGGUUUGGGCAACUUGAAUUUGCAAUGGAAACAACCUGUUUGAGCUCAUUUAAAUAAUUACAAUAGCUUCUCUUGAAGGAUCAUAAAUUUCACAAGCUCUCUUUUGAAUGAUUAUCAGAUAGCCCUUCUCUUACAAUUGACCAGCACUAAGUAAAUUACUUUUCAAAUCAGGAACAUAAAACACACUAGAAAUGGUCUCCAUAAAACCAUUCUUAGUUUUAAUAUCAAUAUCACCUUUUCCCAUCACAUUUACUUUAGAACUAUCAUCAAAGCUCACAGUUGAAUGAAAAGUUUUAUCUAAAUGGGAAAAGAGAGACUUACUACCACACAUAUGAUUGCUACAUCCUGUAUCAACAUAUCAAACUCCAGAGUUAAUUGUCUCAUUGGUUUGAACAGUCAUUAAGAGAGUUUCAGCUUCAUGAUUUUGUAUAAAGUUUGACUUCUCCCUAUUUUCUCUGUCAUUUGACAUUUUGGUACGACAUUUUGAACAAUAUUGAUCAAAUUUAUGGCAUCUGUAGCAUUCAAUUUUGGAUUUGUCAAAGUGCUAAAACUAUCCUUUCCCUUUGUGUGAUUGAUCAUCGUCAAUUUUGAAAUUUGUGUUUCCAUUUCUGUUGCCACGAUCUCUCCUUUCUCUUCCUCUUCCUCUUUCUCUUCCUCUACCUCUUCAUCGUCAGUUUUAUAGCUUAUCUCCAUAGUUCUCGCAAAAUAGCUUGUGAUAGAUUUACCAUCCUUCAUCUGUAGAGUCUCAAAAUCUCAUCUCAAGAUGUGCAUGCUUUACACUUGCGGAGCCUUGAUAUUUCUUUUUCAUGGAGUCCCAAAGUUGUUUGGAAGUAUCUUUACAUAAAAUGGUCUCUAAAAUUGAAUGAUUGGUUGCCUAAAAUAAAUGAUUUUUCGCCUUAAGAUCCUUCAACUUUAGUCCUUCAAUUUCUGCUUUUUGCCCUUCAGUCACUGCUGCUCCACUUGCUGGUGCCAAUACUCCAUCCGAAACAACUUGCCAGUACUCUUUCGAUCUAAGAAUAUUUUCCAUCAACAUGCUCUAGUGAUCAUAGUGACCAUCGAAGCGAAAUAUUGUAGGUUGCACAAGACUAUCAAAUACUAUUGACAAUAUUUGAAAAAUGCACAAGAAAGCUACAGCUUAAACUUGGCUUUGAUACCACUGUCAGUAGCGUUUUUCAAAAAUACAGCAAAAAUAAAAUUACAGUAUAAUAAAAGACCAAAUAAAAGUGAAAUCUCAUCCAUAAAAUUAAAAAUAAAUAGCCCAUAAAUAGGCUUUACUAAUCAACUAAGAAACAACUACUAACAUAAAAGCACUAAACCACUAAUAUAAAAACACUAAAACAGGAAGCGUUAAACUGAUAACAUAAAAGCACUAAAUCACUAAUAUAAAAGCAAUAAAAUAGGAAGUUAAUUAGUUACUGCUACCAAAAAUUUAUAUAUUUGGUAGUAAGUCUUCAUCAAGUUGACUUCAUAUUUAUAUAUUUGGACAACAUAAUAUUUGGAGAAUACAAAAUUAUAUAUAAUGUUCUGAAUAUUUAAAAUUAUUUAUACACACCUCUCCGUUUUAUCAUUUUUAUUCAUUUUAUAUUUUUAUAUAUAUUAAAAAAUAUAAUUUUUUAAUUAUAUCCAUAUUAAAUAUAUUAAAUUUUAUUAAAUAUUAAAAAAUAUUUUAAAAAUAUUUUAAAAAUAAAAUAAAAUUAAAUACGAUUUAUAUAUUAUUAUAAUUUUAAAAAAUAAAUAAUAAUUUUAAAACAAUAAAAAUAAAUAAAUAAAAAUUUAUGGAGCUUAUUUUAUUGUGAUAUUUUAAAAGCAAAUCUAGGUCUUUUUUAAUUUAGUUUUAUCGUAUGGGUCUUGGUCUAUAUAUAUAUAUUAUAAAACGUUAAUUUUAGAAGGUUUAAUAAUCAAUAAUUCAACAUGCAUUUAUCUCAUUGGAUAGAUAUUAUUAAUUAAUUAGAUGGUCAUCACCGAAUUAGCUCAUCUCCACAACACGGCUUCAACCUCAAUAUCUUUCACACUUGUAAGCUUUCUCUAUAUAUAUUGUAGGAAACAUCUGUCCGAGGUAUUUUAGCUACCCGACUUUCAUUGUAGUGAUCGUGAUUGCAUAAGUCUAGCUCUAGCGACUGUGCAACUUGUGAUGCUUCUCGCUGGAAAUCUAGGUCAUCGCCUGAACUGAAUCGUAGAAAAAGUAUUAGGCCGAGACAAUAUUCAUAUCAACAACUAGCAAGGGCAACUAAUCAUUUCUCUAAUAAUCAUCUUCUCGGCGAGGGUGGUUUUGGACAAGUUUAUAAAGGAUCGCUAAAUGGUAAAUCCUUUGCUAUUAAAAAACUCAAAAAUUUUUCAGAUUUACAGUCGGAAGGAGAUCUAGAGAAUGAGAUUAGGAUUGUUAGCAGCGUCCGCCAUAAAAAUCUUAUUGAACUGCUUGGUUACUGCAUUGAAGGGAGGGGCGAAUAGAUUAUUUAUUUUCAAAUAUUUUCGCAACAAGUCCUUGAGCUCUCAAUUACAUGGUGAGUCUCAUCCUUCCUAUAUAUUUUCAUAACUGGUAUGAAAAUUAAUAUUAAAAAAUGGUUUUGUAGAAAGUGAUAAAGAUUUGGACUGGCAAAAGAGAAUGGAUAUCGCCAAAGGGGCUGCAAGUGCACUGGAAUAUUUACAUGAACUCUGUGAGUAUAUUAUAUCUAAUUUGCUAACCUUUAAGUUUAAUUAUGAUCUCUCAAUAUGUCUGUUUAUUUUACAUCUUUCUUUAAAUUAAUAUUUUAUUUUCUUUCAAAUCUUUUUAUUUUUUUUAUAUCAAUUAAUCAUUCAAUUAUAUAUUUAAAUAUUAAAUUAGAUAAUAUUUUUCUCGAUAAUAAAUUCGAAUUAAAAAUAUAAUAAUUUAAUCAUAAAUAUAUUUUUUAUAUUUAUUUAUGAUUAGACCUAUUUAAUAAUAAUACUUUUUAUAAUUUAAGAUUGAAUUGUUAUAAUUAUAAUUUAGUAAACUUUACUUAUUAAUUACUUUUGUCUUUUUUAAAAAUAAUCUAUUUAAUUUUUAUAAUUUUAAAAAAUUAAUAAUGUAGUCCAGUUAAAUCUUCAUUUAUGUGUUAGUAUUAUUUAUUUAAAAAUUAACUUAUGGUCUGUAUUUAAACCAUAAAAAUUAAACUAUUUUACAUAUAUGAUAUUAUAAAUGCUUUACUUUGUUCUUUCAAAUGUAUAAUAAAUUAUAAUUUAUUACGAUUAAUUUAACCAAUAUCUAAUUAAUUCUAAAAAAAGACUAUAAAGAAUUAUAAUCCUUUAUUUAAUAAAUAUCAUAAUUAGUCAGUUCAUAUUCUGAAUUUUUACAAAUUACCAUAUAUAAUAAAUGAUCUUACAUGGAUCAAAUGAGCUUAUAUAUAUGAUAAACCUAAUCAGUCACAUUUACACUAUUAAUAUUAAUAUCUAUAAAAAUUGGUACAAUUAUAUGUAUACAAUUAAAAAUUAAAUUUUUUAUGGAUGCUAAACUUGAAAUCGAUCUUACCUUUUGUUUGACAUAACUCAUUUUAGAAUAAAAGAAUUUAAAUAAAUUUUAGUAAAAUAUGAUUUUAUUUUCUUUAAAAAUAAAAAUUAAAUUGAAUCAUUAUAAAAUCUUUGAUUCCAAACAAGAUCUUAAAAGCUUGAACUAUGAAAAACCUUAUAAUUAAUUAAUAAUUUAUAGAUAAUUUGUAAUUUAUAAGUACAUCCAUAAUUUAAUUAUUUAUUCAUAAUUUAAUUAUUCUUAUUAUUUUUUUAUGAAAUUUAACUUUUUAAUACAUUUCUGUGUAUAUCCAAUUUUUAUGAUAAUUAAAUAUAUUUUCUAAUAUAUUAAAAGGAUAUAAAAUUCAAUUUGUAAAAUAAUAAAUAUAUUAUAUUAUGUAACAAAUUUUAAAUUAUUUUGUAUCUUUUUAUUAAUUAUAUUUUCUAUUUCAUAAUAGUAUGAAAAUUUCAUUAAAAAAAAUGGAUAAAAAGUUAGAUAUACUCUUUAUAUCUUUGAUAAAAAUAGAAUAUAAUAAAUUUAAUCACAAAAGUUAAUCAGAUAUAAAUACAUAAUUUAAAAGAUAAUAACUAAGCAAAUAAAAUUAUUUAUGAAGAAUAUAAAAAGGGUUUUUACUCUCCCUUUGAAAUCAAGAAUUUUAUAAAAAUUUAAUUCAAUUAAUUUUUUUAAAAAGAAAACUCUUAUUGAAAAUUAAAAAAUUUAAAAUUUUUUAGCAUAUGAAUGAUUUUACAAGAAUUUAUUUAAAUUUUUUUUCUUAUAACUACAUUGCAACACACUACGGAAAAUCAUGCUUUGGCAUAAUAAAUUUAUUAGGGAGAUUUAUAAUUUAAUCCCUGAGUAUUGCCAUUAUUAACAAGUCAGUCUCUAUAUUUUUAGAAACCUAUUAAAACGUCCUUAUUUUUUCUCUCCGUCAACAAAAUAGUCCUUCUGUCUAUUUUUGCCGUUAAAAAUAUAGUAAAAAACUAAAUUACCCUCAUUUUUUUUUCUUCCUCUUCCUCCUCCUCCUCCUCCUUCCUUUUCUUCUUCUUGCUUCUUCUGCUUCUGCUUUUUCUUCUUCUUCUUUUUCUUCUGCUUUUUCUGCUUCUUCUUCUCCUUCUUCUCCUUCUUCUUNNNNNNNNNNNNNNNNNNNNNNNNNNNNNNNNNNNNNNNNNNNNNNNNNNNNNNNNNNNNNNNNNNNNNNNNNNNNNNNNNNNNNNNNNNNNNNNNNNNNNNNNNNNNNNNNNNNNNNNNNNNNNNNNNNNNNNNNNNNNNNNNNNNNNNNNNNNNNNNNNNNNNNNNNNNNNNNNNNNNNNNNNNNNNNNNNNNNNNNNNNNNNNNNNNNNNNNNNNNNNNNNNNNNNNNNNNNNNNNNNNNNNNNNNNNNNNNNNNNNNNNNNNNNNNNNNNNNNNNNNNNNNNNNNNNNNNNNNNNNNNNNNNNNNNNNNNNNNNNNNNNNNNNNNNNNNNNNNNNNNNNNNNNNNNNNNNNNNNNNNNNNNNNNNNNNNNNNNNNNNNNNNNNNNNNNNNNNNNNNNNNNNNNNNNNNNNNNNNNNNNNNNNNNNNNNNNNNNNNNNNNNNNNNNNNNNNNNNNNNNNNNNNNNNNNNNNNNNNNNNNNNNNNNNNNNNNNNNNNNNNNNNNNNNNNNNNNNNNNNNNNNNNNNNNNNNNNNNNNNNNNNNNNNNNNNNNNNNNNNNNNNNNNNNNNNNNNNNNNNNNNNNNNNNNNNNNNNNNNNNNNNNNNNNNNNNNNNNNNNNNNNNNNNNNNNNNNNNNNNNNNNNNNNNNNNNNNNNNNNNNNNNNNNNNNNNNNNNNNNNNNNNNNNNNNNNNNNNNNNNNNNNNNNNNNNNNNNNNNNNNNNNNNNNNNNNNNNNNNNNNNNNNNNNNNNNNNNNNNNNNNNNNNNNNNNNNNNNNNNNNNNNNNNNNNNNNNNNNNNNNNNNNNNNNNNNNNNNNNNNNNNNNNNNNNNNNNNNNNNNNNNNNNNNNNNNNNNNNNNNNNNNNNNNNNNNNNNNNNNNNNNNNNNNNNNNNNNNNNNNNNNNNNNNNNNNNNNNNNNNNNNNNNNNNNNNNNNNNNNNNNNNNNNNNNNNNNNNNNNNNNNNNNNNNNNNNNNNNNNNNNNNNNNNNNNNNNNNNNNNNNNNNNNNNNNNNNNNNNNNNNNNNNNNNNNNNNNNNNNNNNNNNNNNNNNNNNNNNNNNNNNNNNNNNNNNNNNNNNNNNNNNNNNNNNNNNNNNNNNNNNNNNNNNNNNNNNNNNNNNNNNNNNNNNNNNNNNNNNNNNNNNNNNNNNNNNNNNNNNNNNNNNNNNNNNNNNNNNNNNNNNNNNNNNNNNNNNNNNNNNNNNNNNNNNNNNNNNNNNNNNNNNNNNNNNNNNNNNNNNNNNNNNNNNNNNNNNNNNNNNNNNNNNNNNNNNNNNNNNNNNNNNNNNNNNNNNNNNNNNNNNNNNNNNNNNNNNNNNNNNNNNNNNNNNNNNNNNNNNNNNNNNNNNNNNNNNNNNNNNNNNNNNNNNNNNNNNNNNNNNNNNNNNNNNNNNNNNNNNNNNNNNNNNNNNNNNNNNNNNNNNNNNNNNNNNNNNNNNNNNNNNNNNNNNNNNNNNNNNNNNNNNNNNNNNNNNNNNNNNNNNNNNNNNNNNNNNNNNNNNNNNNNNNNNNNNNNNNNNNNNNNNNNNNNNNNNNNNNNNNNNNNNNNNNNNNNNNNNNNNNNNNNNNNNNNNNNNNNNNNNNNNNNNNNNNNNNNNNNNNNNNNNNNNNNNNNNNNNNNNNNNNNNNNNNNNNNNNNNNNNNNNNNNNNNNNNNNNNNNNNNNNNNNNNNNNNNNNNNNNNNNNNNNNNNNNNNNNNNNNNNNNNNNNNNNNNNNNNNNNNNNNNNNNNNNNNNNNNNNNNNNNNNNNNNNNNNNNNNNNNNNNNNNNNNNNNNNNNNNNNNNNNNNNNNNNNNNNNNNNNNNNNNNNNNNNNNNNNNNNNNNNNNNNNNNNNNNNNNNNNNNNNNNNNNNNNNNNNNNNNNNNNNNNNNNNNNNNNNNNNNNNNNNNNNNNNNNNNNNNNNNNNNNNNNNNNNNNNNNNNNNNNNNNNNNNNNNNNNNNNNNNNNNNNNNNNNNNNNNNNNNNNNNNNNNNNNNNNNNNNNNNNNNNNNNNNNNNNNNNNNNNNNNNNNNNNNNNNNNNNNNNNNNNNNNNNNNNNNNNNNNNNNNNNNNNNNNNNNNNNNNNNNNNNNNNNNNNNNNNNNNNNNNNNNNNNNNNNNNNNNNNNNNNNNNNNNNNNNNNNNNNNNNNNNNNNNNNNNNNNNNNNNNNNNNNNNNNNNNNNNNNNNNNNNNNNNNNNNNNNNNNNNNNNNNNNNNNNNNNNNNNNNNNNNNNNNNNNNNNNNNNNNNNNNNNNNNNNNNNNNNNNNNNNNNNNNNNNNNNNNNNNNNGAAUGAGUUUAAAACCAUUAGCCGCACUCGUCACCCGAAUAUUGUGGAGGUCGUCGGAUACUGCAGCGAAGAAGCUGAUCGAUUGAUUGUUUACGAGUUCGUUUCCAACAAGAGCUUGAAAUCUCAUCUCUAUGGUGAGUAUUCUUAAAUUUUCUCAUUGGAUUUAUAAUUUAUUUAUCAUGAGAGCUAAAUGAUUAAGCCAUCUUGUUCGGUUACACAAGUGGGAAGAAGACAGCAGACAAUGGUGACCGCCCCGAUCGAUUGGCCAACCAGAAUGAAGAUUGCUUUGGGUAUAGCAGAAGGAUUGGCAUAUUUGCAUGAAGACUGUGAGAUUUUAACUUUAUUUAGUUUUUUUUUUUUUUCAAGUUUUUCUAUAUUGCAAUUUAUACUUUUUAAUUUUAUGCAUUUUUAGGUAAACCAGGAAUUAUCCACGGAGAUAUUAAAAGUGACAAUAUUCUUCUCGAUGAUGAAUUUAAUCCUAAGGUAUGAUGAUAGAAUCACAUAAGAGAUUUAUAAAAAAUAAUUCAACAGCUAAACAUUUUAUAGUUAAUAUUAAAAAUGUAAAUAAAAUUUACAUUUAUAACUAUUUAACUGUUUUAAUUAAUUACAAGUAAUUUUAAUUAUAAAUAAGAGUCGUUUCAAAAUCUUGAUUUAAAAUAUUAACUUGGAAUUUAAAUUUAACUUAUUAGUUAUAAAUUAAUUUGAAUGACACAAUAAAUUACUUCUAUCAACUUUUUUCCCUUUAGAUUAGAGAUUUUGGAAUUUCCAAAGAAUUUGCGGAUUCAGAAACUCACGUUUCCACUAUCUCAAUGGGAACUCCAGAGUAUGAUUCGUUCUCAUUUGCUUGCGAAAUUUUCUUCUUUCUCAAAGAAAAUUGGUUGAAUUGGUAGUUCUCAUCUGAUGAACGCUUUCUUUAAGUGCAGUUAUCUCGCCCCCGAGCAUUGCACCGAAGAUGGCUAAAAUAAGAGGCUCACUGAUAAGUCUGAUGUAUUUUCUUUCGGUGUUGUGCUUUUAGAGCUGAUUACGGGAAAAUUAGCCGUUUUUGAGAGGGAACGCAGGGAAUAUAUUUUCUUAACUAUUUGGGUACUUGAAAAUAAAGAAUUUGAUAUUUUGUAUUUUCGAUAUUCAAAGGUUUUUUGUUUUUUAUUUUUUUUUCCCUGAUGGAAUGCUUAACUGACCUCUGUACAUCUAUUUUGAUCAUUCCCAGGCCGUGCCUCUACUGAAACAAAUUUUGGAUGCUGAGUAUCAAGAUUUGCAUGCUGAAAAUUGUAAAGAAUUUUUUGAUUCCAAAUUACCGAAUAAUUUUGAGGAAAAUGAUAUGAAACGACUCAUUUAUUGUGCUGCUGCUUGUGUAUAUAAACCUGCCAAGUUACGCCCACAUAUGUGCAAGGUAAAUUCACAAAACCAAACCAGUUAUUUUUGGAUUAUGCUUUGCAUGUGAUUAUCAGUAAAAAUAUAUGAAAUAUAAUUUAAAAAGUACGUAAAAAUUAUUUGAUAAUUUUGCAUAUGUUGAUUAAAAAUUGGGAGAGUGACUGCAUGUGAUUUUGUGAUGCAGAUAGUUAAAGUACUAAAUGGAGAUAUGGAACCCAAAACUAUAUGGGUGAGAAGUGAUUGCAAGUACCUAUACAAUGGGUCACCUUACGCUCCAUUUCCUCAAGCUCAGGGAACCUCCAGCUCUUGAGCUCUAUCCAAUACAUGAAUUAUCCUCGCCUUGUAACAAAAAAGUGUGUUCUUGCUAAAUGCACGUGCUUUUCUAAGGGAUCAAUUAAAUAAUAAGAAUGUGUUCCUUGCUGAAUUUUUUUAAAAUAUUAAUAAUGAUUGAUAUUGAAUAAUUUUUCAUAUAUAUAUAUAUAUUGGCAGAAUACAUAAUAUCCAUUACGUAUUAUUUUAAAACAAAGAGAUAAUAUGCAACAUAUAUAUAUACACAUAGGUAUGGUUGGUAAUAAUUUAAUAAAUAAUUUUAGUUAAAAAUUUAUAUGAAUUAAAUUUAAUAAUAAAUAAUAAUUUUAUUAGAUAGAUAAUUCAAAAUUUUUUAAAAAUUUCAAAUUAAUGAAAUUUAAAUUUUAUUAAUUAAAUUAAUUGUAGAAUUCAUAUAAAUUUAAAAUUCUUAAUUUUUCUGUUUAAAUUCUUAGAAUUAUUUUUAUUAUAAUUCUUUUUUUUUAAAAAAAAUGUGAUUCUACGGAUUAAAAUUAUAACGGUUUCAUAAAAAAAUAUUUUUUCUUUUUAAUUAAGCAAAAUUUAUAAAAAAAAGUAUUAAAAUAUUUAUAAUAAUAUGAAUAAAAAGUAAUGUACUAAAAAAAAGUAAAAUUUUAUAAUAUAUUACAUUUAGAAAUAAAAUAAAAAUUAUUCAAUCAAAUAUUAAUUUUAUUGAAUUAUUAUCUAUAAUAAAUUUAUAUUGAAUUUUAUUAUUUUUUAGUUUAUACUACAUAUGAGUGAAAGGGGUGACAAGUAAUUAAUAAAAUUAUUUAAAAUACUCAUAUUAUAUUUAUUAUAAAUUUAUUAUUAGUUAAAAUUUUAAUUUAUAAAUAAUUAUAAAAUAUGAUAAAAUUUAUUACUAUUCGUAAUAUUUAUAAUAUGUAGAUUAGAUCAUAUAUAUCAAUGCCAUUUUAAUAUUAAAUAACUUUGUUAUUAUUUUUAUAUUAAUUUUUUUUUAUAUAUAAAACCAGUGAUAAAUAGUUAUUCAAAAUAAGUGGAUACUUUCAUUGGAUAAUUUCAAAAAAAAAAAAAAAAAAUUCAUUGGAACUUAGAAUAAAGAGAAACUCAUUAAUAAACUUAUAAUAUGCAUUACACAAAAUGAUGUUAACCGAAGGCCACAUGCUGCGAAUUCUACGCUCAACGUCAACGUUAAUUUUUUUUUUUAUUUUUUUAUUAAAAAAAAAAAAUGAAAACGAAGGUCCUAACUGUCUUCCUUCAUCCUUCUUACAUCUCCCUCUUUAUCUCUGACCAUUCGCAUUCACACUCCAUAAGAACUCUAUUAUAUAUACUUGCAAAAAACCUCUGGCCGUGGUUGCACAAGUCUGCAACUUCUGAUGGCCAAUCGCUUGGGGAUGAACGGGGAAGAUCACCGGAUUGAAACUAGAGGUAUUAAUUGUUUUUAGCUGAAACUGUUGUGCCAAAUAGUAAUAGUUUCAUGGAGAUUUCAUUUCAUCUAACUAAUUGAGGCAUGUUGUUUAUUGAUUGCUCACUAAGCACAGAUCAGAAUGAAUCUGGCUCAUCUCCAGAGAAGACUAUUGGGCCAAAGUCAUAUUCAUACGGUGAACUAGCAAGGGUAACCGGUCAUUUCUCGCUCAAUAAUCUAAUUGGUCGAGGUGGUUUUGGUCAUGUUUUCAAGGCAUUCUUAGAUGGUGAGAUUCGUGCUAUCAAAAGACUUGAUUUUCCAGAUGUACAGUCUGAAGGAGGUUUGGAGAGGGAGAUUAUGGUCGUCAAAAGCAUCAGUCACAAAAAUCUCGUUGAACUAGUUGGUUACUGCAUUGAUGGAGCCAAUAGGUUGCUUAUUUUAAACUAUUUUCCAAAUGGAUCCUUAAGAUCUAAAUUACACGGUGAGUCCCAUAUCCUUUCUUUUACUUUUAUGACAUGAAUAAUCUUGCAAAUUACAAAUGCUAUUGUAGGAAGUGGGGAUGUUUUGGAUUGGAAAAAAAGAAUGAAGAUCGCUAUAGCUUCUGCAAAAUGAUUGGAAUAUUUACAUGAACACUGUGAGUAUAUACUACUACAUAUUCUUACUUGCAGGAUUUUAACCUUUGAGUGUGAAUUUAUUUAUUUUUGUUUAUAUUGAUAAUUUCUUUUCUCUCAAAUAUUUAUAUUUUAUAUUAUUUUCAGGUAAACCUAAAAUUAUUCAUUUAGAUAUCAAGCCGGAUAAUAUUUUUCUUGACGAAGAUUUUGAACCUAAAGUAAGAUAAUUUUAUAACAAAUAAACAUUUUAUUUAUAUCAUCUAUAAAAUAAAUAUUUUAUUUAUAUCAUCACAUUUGUAUAGUAGAACUUUCAUCAUUCAAUAUCGAAAUUUUAUUUUUAAAUAAUAUUAAAAAAUUAUGUCAACUCCUUAAUUAUAUAAUUUAAUUUUUGUAAUUAAUUAAUAAAUCUAGAUUCUAAUUUUUUUUGGUUUGGCCAUUUUGGCUUGUUUUAAUAAAAUUUAUUGCUUAUAAAAAAAAUAAUAAAUCAACCUUAGUAGGUUUCUUGUCUUUUGUUUUUUCAUGAUUUAAUAUUUUCUUAAUAAACUUGAUUGAAGUACGGAAAAUUGUGUAAUUUACCAAAUAAAAAGUGUAAAAGUAUAUUCAUAGAGAAAAAUAACUUUAAUUUUAAAUUAAGAUAUGUAUAUAAAUGGCAUAAUAAAUUUAUUAAUUAACUUAAAUAAUUUGUUUAGAUAACAGAUUUUGGACUUGCUCAAUUUUUUACCGACGGUGCUACUCACAUAUCCAAAUCAUCAGUUAUGGGAACCCAUGUGUAAGAUAUAAUUUUCUUUCUAUCAUUUAAUUGCAUUGCUAUUAUUUUCUAUUUUUUCAAUACCAUUAUUAUCUUCUCUUAGAAUAGUUUAAAAUAAAAUAAAUAUUAAAAUAGAUAAAAUAAUACAUAAAAAAUAUAAGUAGUCCUUAAUUUGAUAGUAUUAAUAAUUUUAGUAAAUUCUUUUGCAGUUAUGAAGAUCCACUAACAAUAAAAUUGGAGAAAUAUUCUGAUAAAUCUGAUAUUUAUUCUUUUGGAGUUACACUUUUAGAAUUGAUUACGGGAAGAAAACCUAUAGACAACGGCAUUGACAUUGUUACUUGGGUAUGACUCUAUUUGUUUUAAUAAAACUAUGAUAUAAAAAUUUUGAAUUUAGAUUUCAAUUGGAAUUAUUUAGAUUUUAAUUCAAUGCAUUUAUGAUUUAUUAAUAAAUAAUUUUUUUAAUUAAUAUUUUGUAGGCAAAUUAUCUAAUUAAAAAGGCUUUGGAGGGAAGAUAUACCAAUUUUAUAGAUUUCAAUUUACAAUCUUUUGACCAUUAACAAAUGUAUCGAAUGAUUUCUUGUGUUAAUUCUUGUCUAAAUCAACCUCCAAAUUCUCGUCCAACAAUGGAAAAGGUAAAAUUUUUCACAUAACUAAUCUCAAAACUAUAUAUAUUAUUUUUAAGUUUGUAAUUAUUUUAUUGGCAUGCUAUGUAGAUAUAUCUAGUUCUCGAAGAAAAAUCGCCUUCAGAAGAAUUAUACGAUCAUGAAUUGGAAUGGAGUAUUAUUCUAUGCUCUUUUAUGUUAAUUUAUUAGAAAUUAUAUGCAUAUUUAUACUAAAGCUUGAUUUAAUUGAUGCCUAAAUUAUUUUUCAUUUAAUUUCUGUCAUAUCUUAACAUUAGAAAUAAAUGUUAAUUUUCAACUGCAUAAAUAUUAAUUUUUUUAAUUUGAAAUGUAGAAUAAAUUAGUUUUUUUAGUCAAAAUUUAUAAAUAUUAAUGAAAUAUAAUUUGUAUCUUAUAAUUAUUCAAACAAAUGUAAAAACAAUGAUGAAUAUUUUUACCUUAAAGCUUUAAAGCAUAAAUCUAAAAGUUCAUACAUAAUUUCUUAAUCGUUAAUUUUGUCAAAUAUUGAAUUAAAUCAUAUAGUUAAUAUUUAUAGGAUUGAAUAGUUUCAAGAUUAAACAUAUAAUUUUAUUUGAAUUAGAAGAAUAUAAUUACUUAUAGGGUUAUGAUUUAUCUUAUUAAUUAAUUUUAAUCAUCAUAUGAAACAAUAAAGAAAAUCAUUUAUCAACCGAAAACCUCCUUUGUUCCCUAGUAUGAAGGAUGCAAAAUUAAAAACUAACAUUUCUUAAAAAUGAAUAUGUAAUUACAUUUACAUUUAAAUUUGUUAAGAGUUUUUUAGAAUUAAAAAUAUAUUUUAAAUUUUAAAUAUUUAAUUUAUUAAUUAGGAAUCAAUAUGUAAGUUAAUUAUUAUAAUUUAAAAUUAGAUAAAUAAAAAAUAAUCUUUAUUAAGAUUUUGCAUAAAGUAUUUAGCUAGGAUACAAUAUAUAUUACUAGCUUAAAUGAUUCAAGAUCGAUUUGAUGUUUUUCCCUCAAUUUUCUUUCAGAGUUAUAAAUUAUAUUAAGAAAACAAAAAUCUAGUUCCACAAAUAAUAUUUCUCCUUAUAGAGCUGCACUAAUUUUUUUUUUGUUUUUUUGGGAAGCAGACGAGCCUAAGCCAAAUCCCAAACCUUUUAUCUUUCAAGAAACUAAUAAUUAUGGCACACGAGAUCGUGGACAUGCCAGUCGACGAGCAACAAAAGCAACAAGUUAUGGUUCCUCCAACAUCAUUCCAGAAACUUCAUUUGAUGAGAUGGAUCGUUUUCCCAAACCCAUCGUCAUUAGGAGAAGAUGAAUAUGUUACAUUCAAUAAAAACCUUAAACCUUUCCCUUCUUAUUUUUCAUAGACCAGAGUUCUCCUUAUCAUUUUAAGCUUUUCUCUUUUUAUUAUUUUCUUUAAUGGAUAACUUAUUAUUUUAUUUUCUAUAUUGAAUAUGACCGAUCUUAAAAAUAAUUCUCUUUUUAUUCAUAUAUUUUUUUCGUUGAUAAUUUAAUAAAAAUUCAUCGGUGAAUAAUAUGAUCUAUUUUUAAAAGUCUUACUGAUAAAUUUGUACCUGGAAUCUAUUAUGGAAUCCACUAGUAAAUUUUUACCCUGAACUUUUUUUCAAGCUCACGAGAUCAGUUGGAAAAUUGUUGUCUUUAUUUGUCCUCUAUGAAUAUACAAUGGUUCCACAAAAUAGAUAUAUACACUAACUGCAUGUCAUGGUUUGCUUAGAUGAUGAAUCUAGCUCAUACUUUGAAAAAAGGUUGAUUAAAUUGAAGAAUCUGGCUCAUUGCAUGAGAAGAAUUAUAAGGGUUUUGGGCUGAAGCAACUAGCGGUGGCAAGAAGUGCAUCUGACAUUUAUAGGCGUAUAAUGAAUUAGCAAAUGCAACAGGUUAUUUCUCGCUCAAUAACCAAUUUCGUCAAAUUUCAAGGGACUCUUAGAGGGCAAGAUUUGUGCUAUUAAUUAAAUAAAAUUUUAGGAACUAUGUUAUAAUUUACUGUUAAUUUUUUUAAAAUUAAUUUAAUUCUCCUAAUUAUAAUAGUGAUAAAUUGAAAAAAUGUUUAAUUUUAUUAUUUAAAAUUUAAAAUUUUAGAUAUAAAUAUGAAUUAAUAUAAAUAUUUAAAUUUUUUAUUCAAUAAAUCUUUCAAAAAAUAUGUGACAUGAUAUAUAGAUUAAAAUUUUUUUUAUCAAAAUUGAUUGAGAUUAAUAGUUAAAAUUAAGAUAAAUGUGAAAAUAUUAAUUUUAUUUUGAUUGAGAUUAAUAGUUAAAAUUAAGAUAAAUGUGAAAAUAUUAAUUUUAUUUUGAUUGAGAUUAAUAGUUAAAAUUAAAAUAAAUAUGAAAAGAUUAAUUUUAUUGUACAAAAUUUUAAAAUUAGAAUAUAAAUAUGAAAAAUCAUAAAUUUUUCCAUUUUUUAUCUAAUAGACUUUUUCUUAUUAGAUAAAUUAGUCGACACCAGCAUGUUGCCUAAAUUUUAAUGGGUAAUUUAUGAUUUAGUCCCUGGGUAUUACCAUUAUUAACAAAUCAGUCCCUGUAUUUUUAGAAACCUAUUAAAACGUCCUUAUGUUUUCUCUCCGUCAACGAAAUAGUCCUUCUGUCUAUUUUUGCCGUUAAAAAUAUAGUAAAAGACUAUAUUACCCCCAUUAUUUUUCUCCUUCUCCUCCUCCUUCCUUUUCUUCUUCAUCAAUUCUUCUUCUUCUACUUCUUCUCCUUCUUCUUCUGCUUCUUCUCCUUCUUCUCCUUCUUCUUCUGCUUCUUCUCCUUCUUCUUCUUUUGCUUCUUUUUCUUCUUUCUCUUCUUCUUCUUCUUCUUCUUCUCAUUCUUCUUCUUCUUUUUCUUCUUUCUCUUCUUCUUCUUCUUCUUCUUCUUCUUCUUCUUCUUCUUCUUCUUCUUCUUCUUCUUCUUUUUCGGAGGAGGAGGAGGAGGAGGAGGACGAAAGAAAAGACAGGGACUAUUUCGUUAACAAAAAGAAACGAUAAGGACAUUUUAAUAGAUCUGAGAAAAGAUAGGGACUAUUUAGUUGACAAAAAGAAACAAUACGGACGUUUUAAUAGAUUUCUAAAAAUAUAGGGAGGGAUGAUUUCGUUGAUAGAAAAAAACGAUGAGGAGGGACUAUUUCGUUGACAUAAAAAAAGAUAAGAAUGUUUUAAUAGAUAUGAGAAAAGAUAGGGACUAUUUCAUUGAUGGAAAAAAACGAUAAGGACGUUUUAAUAGAUAUGAAAAAAGAUAAAAAUAUUUUAAUAGAUUUUUGAAAAUGUAAGGACUAACUUGUUAAUAAUUGUAAUAUACAAGGACUAAAUAAAUGGUUUUAUUUGAGGGUAAAAUUGGAUUUUAAAAAUUUUCUCUCUCCUCCUUUAUCUAAUUUUAACGGAAAAUAGGACGGAAGGACUAUUUCGUUGAUGGAAAUAAAACAUAAGGACGUUUUAAUAAGUUUUUAAAAAUACAGGGACUGACUUGUUAAUAAUGGUAAUACCCAGGGACUAAAUUGUAAAUCACCCAAUUUUAAUUAUACAGUUGUUAAUUUUAUUGAUAAAGAAUAAAAAACAAAAUUUUUUAUGGUUAAGUGGUAUCGAAGUUGCAAUAGGAAUAAAAAGAUCUCAAUUUUUCUUAUAAAAUUUCAAAUCAAAAUUUUUAGUCAAAGUAUCCUACCAAGUUAUUAAAUUGUUUAAUUAAUCUUUUGCAUUUAUUUUGAAUAACAAUACAAAUAAAUUUCAUUAUUAAUUAAAUCAUCAAAAUCCAUAUUAUAUUUUUAGUUUUUAACAUUAUGCUAAUUUGUAAAGAUAUGGGAUCUAUUCAUUAAAGAUAUGUGUAAUAUAAUUAUUUUCAUGACUAUACGUAGAGAUUACAUUAGAACAAGCAAUAUAUUGGGCACCCGGAUAAAAAAGAAACACAACAGUUUAGAUUUUUAGUAAGUUUAUUUACAAUAAUUAAAUUAAAUGUAAGAUUAAAUAAAUUUAACAUGGAUGAUAAAAUAAUAAAAUGAGUAAACUUAACCGCCUCAGAACACUCAACAUUAUAUUGCGACUCAUCAGCUAUGGUUACACUACAAGAAAUUAAAUUGCUAUGAUGGAAAUCGUCACAAAAAAUUUUAUUUUUGUCAUUAAAAAUUUAUUGUGAUAAAAUAUUAUAGUCACCGUAACCGUAACCAUGUAAUAAAAUGUAUACUAUGAUAAUAAUAAUAUUUAUCAUCAUAAAAAAGUUUUUUUAUAACGAAACUAUUUAAUUAUUAUGAAAUUGUAUAUUUAUAGUGAUAUAUAGUUUUUCACAAUUUAUAUCUAUUUUUCGUUAUUUAUUAUUUUUAUUUGUCAUUAAAAAUAUACUAUUUUAAUUAUGAAUGGUUCGUUUUGUCACUAAAUUAUUGACCAUGGACAUGUAAAAGGAAAGAAAAGAAAGCAAACAAGCCCACAGACAUCAAGAAAAGGAAAGAAAAGAAAGCAAACAAGCCCACAGACAUCAAGUAAAGAGAGCACAACAAGCCAAUCUCGAAAAACCAACGAAAAAUGUCUAGAUAGAACAAACCCAAACAGUUUCGAAACACUACACUCACAAAAACAACGCGGCAGAACUCUCAACAAAAGUGGUGAUCGUAGUGGUGAGACCCAGUUCAUGAAUAUAGUCACUUAGCAUUAGCAUAAGUGUAUACAUUCAUAUGUGUAGGUGGAAAUCAUUCUAACCUUCUCAUUUGCGAUAAUAAACAAUAAACAACUUGCUAUCUUUACGAGACUUUUAUAUUUAAUUUUUUAUUUUCAUAAUUUUCUAUUGCCCUCAACACCAAAUUAAUAUGUCAAUUAUUGAAUUUGACUCUCUUUCUCUCUAACCCUUGAGUUGGAUCUUAGUAUAAAGUAUAAAGUAUAAAGAAACUGUUGAACGAUGAAAUCUGUGAAUAAUUCAGUUGUUGUAUAUUUUUCUCCGGAAAGGAGGUUAUAUAUAGAUACAUUUACAACACAAAAUCAGAAAAGAAAAAAUGAAGCAAUCAUAUUCUAAGAAAACAAGAUAAGUCUGUACAGAAAACAAUAUAUAUCAGAUCUGUUAAUUGUGCAAAUCUCUAUAAUUACGUAAUCUACUCCUAAUUAGGCAGAUUAUUCCAACACUCCCCUCGAGUUGGAGUAUGGAUAUCUAUCAUGCCCAACUUGUCAACCAUAUCAUAGAAUAUAUUCUCAAACACUGCUUUUGUGAGUAUAUCAGCUAACUGGUCUUCUGACUUGACAAACGUGAACUGUAUAAUCUUCUAGUCUAGCUUUUCCUUGAUGAAAUGCCAAUUAACUUCAACAUGUUUGGUGCGAUCAUGUUGUACGGGAUUCUGUACAAUCUCAAUUGCAGCCUUGUUAUCGCAGAAAAAGUUUCAUUGAGCUUGCAUUGUCUAUUCCCAAUUCUUUUAGAACGCUUUUAAUUCACAAUAGCUCGUAUAAACCAUAUGACAUACCUUUGAAUUCGGCCUCUGUACUUGACUGCGUCACAACCUUUUGUUUUUUACUUCUCCAUAUAACUAGAUUCCCUUCCACGAAGGUAAAAUAACUCGAAGUAGAUCGCUUACCCAAUCAACAUCCGUGUAUCCUUCAAUGUCUGAUGUACCAUUUUUUGAGAAUAAUAGUCCCUUGCCUAGAGCCCUCUUCAGGUAUUUCAAGAUCCGGCAUACUGCAUUCAUAUGUUCUUCACUUGAUUCAUGCAUGAAUUGACUUAUAACACUUACAGUAUAUGCUAUAUCUGGCCUCGUGUGAGUCAAAUAGAUCAAUCUCCCAACCAAUCGUUCAUAGCGUCCCACAUCUGUUGGAUUUUGUUCUAUAAACAAACCGAUUUUAUGCUUCACCUCCGUCGGAGUUUCUGCUGAUUUGCAGGCAAGUACUCCAGUUUCAAUCAACAAAUCCAGAAUGUACUUCCGCUGUGAAAGGAAAAUUUCUCGUUCUGAUCUUGCUAUUUCAAUACCUAAGAAAUAUUUAAGUUGCCCAAGAUCCUUCAUUUUAAAUUCAGCAGCCAAAUAGUCCUACAAUAACUUCAUUUCACAAUGAUCAUCUCCUGUUAAGACCAUAUCAUCGACAUACACAAUUAAAGCUGAUACCUUUUCUUCUUUGUGUUUGAUAAAUAAAGUAUGGUCUGAAUUACUCUGUUUAUAACCAAAUGCCUUCAUCAUUGAAGUGAACCUCCCAAACCAAGCUCUAGGUGAUUGUUUAAGCCCAUACAAUGAUUUCUUCACCUUACAAACUUCAUUUCUGUUUGAAGUACUCCGUUUAACUUCCAGUGGGACCUCAAUAAAGACUUCCUCCUCCAAAUCUCAACUAAGAAAAGUAUUUUUAACAUCAAAUUGAUUCAUAGGCCAACCUCGAUUUGCUGCUAUAGAAAUAAGGAUACGAAUUGUGUUGAGCUUAGCCACCGUUGCAAAAGUCUCCUGAUAGUCUACUCCAUACUUUUGUGUAUAUCCUUUUGCAACCAACCUCGCCUUAUAUCUAUCAAUACUUCCAUCUGCUCUAAGUUUCACAGUGUAUACCCAUCUACAUCCAACUGUCUUCUUUCCUUCAGGUAGAGGAACAAGUUUCCAUGUAGAAUUCUUUUGUAGGGCCUCCAUCUCUUCGUUCAUCGCCUUUGUCCAUUUUGGAUAUGCUAAGGCAUCCUGCACACUACUAGGAAUAGAUACUUUGGAUAAUUGAUUAAUAGUAAAUGCAUAUGACUUGGACAAUCUAUGAGUAGAAAGAUAAUUACUAAUUGGAUACUUGACAUUGUCUCUAAGGUCAGGUUCAUACUGUUUCCUUGGUAUACCUUUAUUUGAUCUUUGUGGAUAUCUAGGAGGCAAAUUGUCACAAGAGUUACUUAUUUCAUUACACUCAUCAAGUAUAGGACUCGGGUUUACCUGAGUAGAAAUGUUGGUGUCUAGGUCUGAGUUGAUUCUUUGGUUGAUGGUGUUAUCAUGGGCAACUUUUCAGAUGUUGGUGAUUCUUCAGCAGACGUUGGUAUUUUAAUUUUUUAGAAGGAACUAAUAAAUCUUCAUCACAUCUUUUAGGGAGACCUUGCUGACUGUUACGUUGAAAACUUUCACUUACUUCCUCUAGUUCUAAGAAAUCUGUCAUUAUUUCUUGUGGCACAUCCUCUUCACUAAAGCUCUCCCCCUAAAGAGAAGGAGGUGUGACUCCCCCUGAAUAGUAUGGUUCUGAUUCACGAAAGGACACGUCCAAGGUCACAUGUAAUCUUUUUGUGUGUGGAUCAUAGCAUCGGUAUCCCUUUUGGAAAUCAGAGUAGCCAACAAAUACACAUCGUUUAGCACAAGGAUCAAGUUUAUUCCACAAAGUUUUUGGAAUAUGGACAUAUACUGUACAACUAAAAACCCUUGAUUCAAGAUUUGGGGCAUGUGGCAGUGAGAAGAAAGCUUGCAUCUUUUAUUGAGGAGUUCGGAAAUCAAGUACGCGAGAGGGGACCUGAUUAAUUAGAUAAAUAGCAGACUUCACUGCUUCUCUCCAGUAGAACCAAGGCAUAUUCAUGCCAAAGAGAGAAGUAAGAACAACUUCCAUGAUUUGCCUAUUUUUCCUUUCUGCCAAGCCAUUUUGUUGUGGAGUAUAGGUGUUAGAAGUAUGAUGUCGAAUCCCUCUUUUGUUUAGAAACUUCCCACAGAUUGUAUCCAAGAACUUCAGUGCAUUGUCAGUUUGCCAAACACGAAUCUGCCUUUGAUAUUGAGUGCCCACCAUAUUGUAGAAUUCCUGAAAUGCUGUAAGAACAUCACUUUUUUUGUGAAGUAGAGACACCCAAGUCAUUCGCUUGCACUUAUCAAUGAAUAUAACAAAAUAUUGUGCUUUAGAAAUAGAAGGAAUCUGUGCAUGGCCCCAAACAUUAGAAUGUAUAAUCAUAAAUGGUUCAGAACAUUUAUUUAAGUAUGAUAAAUAAGAAAUACGGUGACUUUUGGCCAAUUCGCAAAUAUCACAAUGAAACUCUGAAAUAUUCAAAUUUGAAAAAAGAUGUGAUUGCAAUUUCUUAAGAUAUCCAAAUGAAAUAUGUUCUAAUCGUCGAUGCCAUAACCAAAUAGUUGCUUGAGGUUUGUCUUUACUAUUCGUUUGACAUGCAAUGUUAUUUUUCUGUUGUCCAUUAUCUGUCAGAUCCAAGUAAUAGAGUUUGCCCCUUUUAACACCAUAACCAAGAAUCUUCCGGGUUAGAAUAUCCUAAAAGACACAGAAUGAGGGCCAAAAAGUUAUAGUACAUGCAAGAGAAGAGGUUAUUUGGCUAACCGAUAAAAAGUUAUAUUCAAGAGAUGAAACAAUCAAGACAAUAUCUAGAGUAAGGGUACUAGACAAGAUGACUGGUCCUUUUCUAGUAAUUGGAGAAGUACCACCAUUAGCGGUAGAUAUAACAGAUUGUGAAGAAGUACAAAUAGAUUAUAACUGUCCUGAAUCUCUAGUCAUAUGAUCAGAUGUACCUGUAUCAAUAAUCCAAGUAUUAUUCUUAGAAGUUGUAGAGAGUACCUUUGCCUUACCAACAAUACCUGGGUGGGUAACGUUAGCUGUAGGUUGUAAUUUGUCCUCCGUAUUUUAUUGGAUUUCUGUUGUGGCUGAAUAAUAAUGGUGUUGGGGAAUACAAAAUACGAUGUUGCAGAUGGUAAACUAUGGUGGUGGUUUCAAGAUAUGAAAUUCGAUUGGAGAAUACAAAAUACGAUGUUGCAGAUGGUAAGAUAUGGUAAUGGUUUCAAUAUAUGAAAUUCGAGAAACAAUUCUUCCAGGAUCAGAAUUGCUCUGAUGCCAUGUUGAACGAUUGAAUCUGUGAAUAAUUCAGUUGUUGUGUAUUUUUCUCCAGAAAGGAAAUUAUAUAUAGAUACAUUUACAACACAAAAUCAGAAGAGAAAAAAGAAAGCAAUCAUAUUUUAAGAAAACAAGAUAAAUUUAUACAGAAAACAAUAUAUAUCAGAUUUGUUAAUUGUGCAAAUUCCGAUUACAUAACCUACUCUUAAUUAGGCAGUUUAUUCCAAUAGAAACCUUAAUCAUUGGGGUUUUUUUUUUUCUUAAAAGAAAGUAAGUUAAAAGGUAAAAUGCACUUUAGAAGUCAUGCAUAAUACACAUAAAAAUAUAUCAACAGGGAGUGAGGUUUUAAAAAUUUUAAUAAUUAAAAAAAAAAGAAUAAUUAAGAUAGAUAAAUGAAGGGAAAAGAAAAAUUGAUAAACUACUUUUUUUUUUUGAAUCAAAUUGAUAAACUACUUUUCAUCUAUUUAUAUUAUUUUUCCUCUUUUACUAUUUUUUAAAUUGAAUUUUCUAUUUUAUUUUUCACUGAAAUAAAAGGAAUUAUAAAUGUAUUUUAUUAAAAUUAUUUAUUUAUAAGAAAAAUAAAAAGCAAAAAAGAAUAAAAAUAAUAUUUUUUCAAAUACAAAUUAAAAAUUAAUUAAAUAAAAUUUCAAAUUUUUUAAAAUUACUUAAAUAUAUUUAUUACUAAAUUAAACUUUUCUGGGUGUAAGAAAAACAUUAUUUAUAAAGUCAAUUCAUAAAAUGUCACUAUUAAUUUUUUUUUGGUUUAAAUAAUGGAUACUUUCUGAUUGUCGCAUUAAGUCAUUGAUGGGACCCAUGAGCCCAUGUCUAUUUAUCACUAAAAAAAUAUUUACCACAUGCUGCGCAUUAAUAAAAAGAAACUCAUUAAUAAAUUUAUAUGCAUUUCACAAAAUGACAUUGACUCGCCUCUGGAGGCCACAUGCUGCCCAUUCUACGCCAACUUCAACAUUUUAUAUAUAUGUAUAUAUCUUUUUAAAGGAAAACGAAGGUCUGAAUGCUAAAGUUACCUACCGUCUUCCAUCACCCUUUCCACAUCUCCCUCUCUAUCUCUGACCAUUCAUUCACACUGAAUAUACUUGCAAGAAAGCUCUGGUCGCGGUUGCAUAAGUCUGCACCUUCUGACGACCUCUAGCUUGGGGAUGUGUGCAGUUUUUUUUAUUAAUUUUUAUAAUAUUUUUAUAUAUUAAAAAUAAUAAAAUAUAUAAAAUAUAAUAAUUAUGUAUUAGUAAAUUUAUAAUUGAUAAAUAAAUUUAUAAUUAGUAUUAUUAAUUAUAAUAUUAUUAUAAUAAUAUAUUAAAAUUAAUAAAACAUAUUAUAAAAAAAUUAUUGUAAUAAAAAAUAUAAUAUAAAUUAAAUUAAUAUAAUAUAAAAAUAAUAUAUUAAUUAAUUAAUAUAAUUAUAAUAUUUUAAUAAUUAAAAAAAUUAAAUCAUGGGAGCUAGGCCAUGAUUACUACGAAAUUACUAAUAAAUUAUAUUAAUUUUAUAAAUGAUAUAUUAUUCUAUUUUAAAUUAAUAUGGAAUUGAAUAAAAUUGUAUUUAAUUAAAAUGUUAAAUAUAAUUAAAAAUUUAAUUUGUUUGAAAUUAACUUUUGCACUAAAAUAUGAAUUCAUUGGAUUAACUUUUGCAAUAAAAAUAAUCAUUUUUGUCAUAUAAGUUGUUGGGUUGACAAUUAAUAUCACCAGCCAGUUUCAAUUAAAACAUAUUACUAAUCCCAUUUAGGAAGGACAAAAAUCGUACCAGAAUUAAAAUUAUAUUAACUAUUAACUAAAAUUAACUUUUAAAAAUUAAAUUUCAAUGGCACUCACAGAUUUAAUCUAGUAAUAAGUGCAUCUAAGUAAAUUUAAGAAAUCUUAGAUUUUAUUUCUCAAUUUUCAAUUUUCAUUUAAAAAAAAUUAAAUUUCAAAUAAAACAAAACUUUUUUUACAUAAAAUAAAAAAAAUUACUAAAUUUUGAAAAAAAUUAAAAUUAACUAAAAUUCGAUACUAAAGGGAUUUUAUAAUGUAAUUUUGACUAUUAGAAUCGUUAAAUAUAUAUUUAUAUUCCUGCAUUAUAUAUUUAAAAUAAAUUCAUUGAACACUUAAGUUAAGACUGUAACUCAUUGCAUAUCUAAUUUAUAAAAUUCUACCAAUUAAAUAUUAAAUAAUUAUAUUAAAAUUUAUUUAUAUAAAACAUUCCAUCGAAUUAUACUGUAGAUCUUGUUCGCCAUAUUUUAAAUUUUUUAAAUGAAAAGAUUUCCCUUUAUAAAGGAGAGUAAUUUUAUUAUUUUAUAAAAAUUUAAAGUAAUAUCGAUAAAUCUAGAAUAUAAUUAAACAAUAAUAAAUGAAAUUAAUUUUUACUUUUUAUUUAUAAGCUAUAGAUAAAAUGAGUAAUUUACAUAUUCAUGUACGAUUAAAUAUUCAAAUAUGUUUUGAUUAUAGUUUUAGUAUUAAGCCUUUAUUUAUUUAUAAAAUAUAAUAUAUAUUUGAAAAAUAUUUUUCAUGUGAAAUAAUAUUAUAUUAUGUAAAAUGAGAGUAAUUUUUUAUUUUAUGAAAAUUUAAAGUAAUAUUAAUAAAUCUAGACAUAAACAACAAUAAAUGAAAUUAAUUUUAUUUUUUUUACACUCUAAUUUAGAGAUAAGUAGUUUUCUGUUGAAAUUAAAAAAAUCGAUCGAACUAAAUUAAUUUAAAAAUUUAGUGUAGUUUUUUAUUUUUUUUCUGUUUGGUUCGAUUUUUAUUUUUAAAAUUUUUUAUUAUUUCAAUUCAAUUUAAUUUUGAUAAAAAAAAUUGAUAAAAUUAAAUCAAACCGAUUAGUGAUAAUAGUAUAUUAAUUUUUUCCAAUAUAGAAAUAUUAGAUUAUAUUUAAAGUUGAAAUAUUUCAAUUAAAUUUUAAAAUAUUAAAACAAAAGUGUUAAAAAUAAAAAAUCUCAUUAAAACGUCUAAUCAAUUAAGCUAAAUCAAAUCAAAUCAAAUUAUAUCAGUUUAUAUUUAAAUGGUUUCUAUUUAAAAUCGAUUUGAUUUAAUUUUUAUAAACUCUAAAUUUUUAAUUUUUAAUUUUUUCAAUUCGAUUUGAGUUUAAACCGAACUGACGAAAUGUUACCUUAUAUGCUAUUGAUAAUAUGAGUAAUUUAAAUUUAAUUUUCAUGAUUCAUAUACAGUUUAAGUAUUAAGCCUAGGGAGCUUUUUGGCCAAGUUUCCCUCUGCGGUCCCUUUUUCUCUUCUUAAAUCUAACUUCUUCUUUCAUUUCCCCCAUGGAAGACGAUUUGCGUUAAUUGACUAUCAAAGUGGUUCAUCCCGUCAAAGGUGAGGAUAACCCAAAGCAAUGAUCAUCCUGUGUUGGAAUUGCCGAGGACUCGACAAUCCUCGGACAGUUAAUGCAUUGAAGGAUUUGGUUACUAGUUACAAGCCGGACAUUUUAUUUUUUAUGGAAACAAAAGCUCUUAGCUCUCGUAUGAAAUUUUUUCGUAGUUUUUUACAUUUUAAUGGUUGCUUCUCAGUCAAUAGACAAUGAUUGAGAGGAGGCCUUUCGUUAAUGUGGAAGAAUCAUGUGUCUGUUUCUGUGAUUGGCUUUUCUUCAAAUUUUAUUGAUUCGGUUGUUUCGCAAGGUAAUGUCCAAUGGAGGUUUACUGGUUAUUAUGGGUUUCCGAAAUCGCAAUGACGACGUCAAUCUUGGAACCUUAUUCGAGUUUUAUCUCGUAGAAGCUCUCUUCCGUGGCUUUGCUCGGGAGACUUUAAUGAUUUAUGCUCUAGAGAUGAGAAAGAAGGAGGAGCAACUUUACCAAAUUAUCUUAUACAGGGGUUUAAACAGACACUUGAGGACAUUAAUAUUGUUCAAAUACCCACUGUUGGCUCUUUCUUCACAUGGGAGAAGGGCAGAGAGUCGAAUAAUCUGGUUAGAGAGAAGCUUGAUAAAGCCCUUGCUACUGAGGAUUAGACUCGUAAAUUCACUAAUGUUAUCUGCUCGGUUGUUCAUGUUCCUAGAUCAUAUCACAAUCCGUUGGUGAUUAAUACAACUCAUAAGGAUAAUAGGAGAGAUAGAAGGAGAUUUCGAUUUGAUAAUGCAUGGUUAUGUAAUGAGGGUCUGACUGAGGUUGUUAAAGGAGCUUGGAUUAAUUUUAUACCACGCAAUCUUUUGAUGAAACAUGAUGAUUUAGUUUCUGCUCUUUCGUUGUGGGGUAGGAGAAGAAAUAUAGAGUUUUAGCAAAAGAAGAAGACUAUAUGGAAAUUAUUGGAUAAUGGGUCCAGUACUGUUUCUCACGCCUCUUUAAAAGAAGAUUGGAAUCGUCUCCUUGAGCAUGAAGAAGCUAGACUUAAACAGCAGGCAAAGUGCUUUUGGCUUAAAAAUGGGGACCAAAAUAUAAAAUUUUUUCAUGCACAAAUUAAUGGUAGACAAAGAAUGAACCAUAUUACUAAAUUAAAGGAGUCAUCGGGUACCUGGAUUGAGGAUGAGUAGGAAAUUAAAAAUCAUGUUCUGCAUUAUUUAAAGUCUAUUUUUUAUGGCAGUUCUAUGGAUUGUGAACGGAUUUUUAAGUUGGUGUCAUCCUUGAUUAGUGAUGCCGAUAAUGCUGAUCUUUGUGCUCCCUUUUCGAAUGAGGAAUUUAGAGCUACUCUUUUUCAGAUGCAUCCAAACAAGGCACCCGGGCCGGAUGGGUUAAAUCCUGCAUUUUACUAGAGAUUUUGGAACUUGAUUGGCAAUGAUGUUUCUGAUGGUUGUCGCCUAUGGCUUCAACAAGGUACUUUCCUUCUUCUCUUACUGAAACAUUGAGUGUUUUGAUCCCUAAAGUGGAUAGUCCUGAAACUGUUAAGAACUUUUAUCCAAUUGUGUUAUGUAAUGUGUUAUAUAAGAUUAUGGCUAAAGCUUUGGCGAACAGAUUUAAAAGAGUACUUCCUAUGAUUAUCUCUGAGAAUCAGUUUGCCUUUAUCCCUCAUCGGUUAAUUACCGAUAAUGUUAUGAUUAUGUUUGAAAUGAUACACAAUAUGAAAACUAAUAAGGGAAGAAAUGAUGGUAAUUGAGCACUUAAAAUUGAUAUUUCUAAGGCUUAUGAUAUGGUAGAGUGGGAGUUUCUAAAAGGCAUGCUGGAACGAUUUGGUUUUUCUACUCAAUUGAUUAAGUGGUUGACUAUGUACUUUUCGAAAGUCUCUUACAAUAUCAAUUUUGAUGGUGAUUGGAUUGGUCCUAUUGUGCCUGGUAGAGGUAUUCGAUAGGGGAUCCUAUUUCUCCAUAUCUCUAUUUGGUGUGUGCGGAAGGCUUAUCGUUACUAUUUAAAGAUGUUGAAUCUAGAGGCUGGUUGUAGAGCUAUAGAGCAGGUACUAGAUGCCUAAAGAUCUCACAUUUAUUUUUUACAGAUGAUUCUCUGCUAUUUUUUAAUGUUAGACUGGAGGAAGCGUAUAAUAUUAAAUCUAUUCUCAAUACCUAUGCGGCUGCUUCUGGAUAAGUGGUGAGCUUCAACAAAUCUGGCAUUUUCUUUAGUCCCAAUGUGGUCUCCUCUGUAAGGUCUAAUAUCAGUAAUAUCCUGGAUGUUCAUUCACCAUUGAGUCAUAGUGCCUAUAUGGGAUUACCUUCUCUUAUUGGAAGGAACAAAAAUAUAAUUUUUAGUUUUCUGAAAGAAAGAAUGUGGAAGAACACUAAUUCAUGGAGCAACAGAUUCCUAUCUAGAGCAGGCAUGGAGGCUCUCAUAAAAUCUGUGUUGUAGGCUACACCUGUAUAUUGUAUGAAUAUUUUUUUGAUUCCCAUUACUAUUUUGAAAGAAUUGCAUAGAAUGGUCAAUGGCUUUUGGUGGGGGGGGGUAAAAGAGAAAGGCGGAGGGGUAUUAAUUGGCUAGCGUGGGAGAAGAUGUGUAAUAGAAAGAAGGAGGGGAGUAUGGGGUUUCGGGACUUUAGGAGUUUUAAUUUGUCUUUACUUGGCAAACAACUGUGGAGGUUCUUAACAAAUCCUAAUACUCUUUGUUAUAGAGUGUUUAAAGCAAAGUACUUCCCAAAUGGUGAUUUAUUUUCCGCCAAUGUAAGUAAUGGUGCUAACUUUGUUUGGAAAAGUGUGAUGGCAUCAAGGGAGUAGAUUCGAAGGGGUACAAGGUGGAGGGUGGGUAAUGGAGAGAAAUUUUAGUGGCUUCAACUCCCUGGAUUCCUAAGGAGGAUACAUUUUUUGCAGAUGAUGGCACUAAUUUUAUUGAACCAUAUUUGCGUGUUUGUGAUCUUUUUGAAGUUAAUGGGAGGAUUUGGAACAUUGCUCUUUUAAUGGAGUUUUUUUCUUCAAGAAAUAUCAGGGUUAUUAUUUGUAUUCCUAUUAGUAUUACCAAUAAGGAAGAUUCCUUCUUGUGGCACUUUGAUAAAAGAGGUAUGUAUACGGUGAAAUCCGCAUACUUUGUGUGUAUGGACUUGCUAGGAAGAUCACUUUUUAAUAUGGGGGGUGAGUUGUGGACUAGUUUGUGGAAUGUUUCGGUCCCUCCAAAAGUGAAGGAUUUUUAUUGGAGAGCUUGUAGAAAUAUAUUGCCUACAAAGGAUAACUUAAGGCAAAAGGGUGUGGAUGUGAAUGCUAGAUGUCCUUGGUGCUAUGAAGAUGAAAGUGUCAAUCAUAUUUUGUUACAUUGUCCUAUGUCCAAGGAAGUUUGGAGGUUAGGGGCAGUGGGAAAUUUGCAGCCUAAUGAUAAUUUUUUUUUUUUAAUUUUUUACUAUAAAUCUUGAAGUUCUAAGAUAAGGUUCAAAAAACCUUUGUAAUGGUCUGUGCAUGGAGAUUAUGGUCAGUAAGAAACUUAUUAUUAUGGAACCAAGUACAAAAUUCAGCAGCUCACCCUGUGAAAAGAUGUCAUGCAUUAUAUCUCGGAUUGGGAAGCUGCUCAACGUGCUGAUGCUUUGCAUGGAAAUACCACUGCUACUUUAUAUCAGGGCAGAAAUUUAUUUUAUUCUUCCAACCUUGCUUGUGAUCCUGAAGCCAUUCCUCUCCAAAUUCGUGUGUCAUCUCCAAAUUUGGACAAUUUCAGUUGGUUUUGUCAAGUUGAUGGAACUUUAUUUCAUGCUCAAGAUUUUAUUGGAUACAGUUUUGUUGUGAAAAACUCUGAGGGUAUAUUUCAAUGUGGUGUUUCUGGUUUCUCGGAAGGUAAUGGUACGUCAGUAAUUAUUGAAACUUUAGCUCUCCAUCACUGUUUGCUCUUUGCGACGGAAUUUUUGCCUUUUAAUGGCUGCAUUCUUAUGGACCGUUUGUAGGUGGUUCAAACUUUUCAGUCUCCACAUUUAAAUAUCUCUGAACUGGGUUUGAUUUUAAAUGAUUGUAAAUCUUUGUUAGACUUUAGAACUGAUAUUUCUAUUAAAUGAGUUCGUCCUUAUGUCACUCUACCUACUCAUAUUUUGACUAGAGAAUCUAUUAGAUAUGAUCGUCUCUCUAUUUGGGAUUAUAUAUCUCUUUGUUUAAUUCAUGAAAUUUUAUUAAUACCAUAAGUAGUUUUGUUUUAAAAAAAAAGUAUUAAGCCUAGGCCUUUAUUUGUUAGUAAAAAAUAAUACAUAUUUGAAAAAUAUUUUAAUCUAACAUAUUUUUUAAAAAAUAUUUUUCAUAAAAAUAUAUUUAAGAAAAUAAUUUAUUUUUUAUUAUUUAAUUUUUAAUUUUAAAAAUAAAAGAUAAUAAUAAAUUUAUAUACAGUAGUAUUAAUAUAAUUCUGAAAAAAAAAUAAUUUAUUUUUUUAAAAGAAAAUAUCAUGUUCUUUAAAAAUUAUAAAAUUUUUCAUUUGAAAAAAUAAAUUUCCCUUGAUUAAUUUUUCUAAAUAUUUCAAAUUUUAUAAAAUAUGCAUGAAAUAAAGUUUUAAUCCACUAAUUUUAAAUAAUAUAAAAAUGUAAAUAUAUAUUUAAAGUUAUUUUAGAUCUUAGAUAAAAUCAGUUAUUCCAACUCCAACCUUUGGUGGUGGCACUAAUCAAGUAUAUAAGAAAAAUAGUUUUAAAGGGCUGCUUUUAUUAUAAUCGAGUAAAAUUAUAUAGUUAAAUUUUUUUUUUGAAAUGAUAUAGUUAAAUGUUUAACAGGUGAUAUUGGUCAAUUUUAUAUGAAUUUAUUAUAUUAAUAAUGAAAUUAUAUUUAUUAUGUAUGUAAAAGAGUUGUAUUAAAUAAUUAUUUUAAUAUGUACAUAUAUAUAUAUAUAUAAUAAUUUUAUUUGAUAAAAAAUAAAAUGAUCAUAAAAUUGAAAUUUUAUUUUAUAUUCUCAUUUUUCAAUUUUUAAAGAAUUUCAAUAAAUUUAAAAGCCAUGAUUGUUGAUUGAUAGAGUCUUAGCAUAAGUGUAUCCAUUCAUACGUCUAGGUGGAAAUGACGUUAACCUUAUGCCCUAAUAAACAAUAAACAACUUGUUAUCUUUAUAAGACUUUUAUAUUUUUAUUUUUAUAUAUUUCAUAAUUUUAUAUUGCCCACUACACCAAAUUGAUUGGUAGUUAAAAUAUCUCUCUCAAACAUUUGGAUUGGACCUCAGAUAUAAAUCAUCAAUGGCACCCGUGAGCCCAUUAAAAACAUAAAUUAGGUACAAAUUAAUAAACCUGAUUAGUCUUACUGUAAUGCAUUAAUUUAAUACUUCAAUAUCUAUUUCUUUAUUUAUUAUUAUUUUUCAAAAACCUCAUUGACGAGAUGAAUAGGACCUUCAAAAUUAAAAAAGCAUUGUUGAUAUUUGUCAGCCGGCUUAGAUUAUUAUUUUUAUAAACAAAUUUUAACAAAUAAUAAAAAAAAACUCUUACUAUUUCANNNNNNNNNNNNNNNNNNNNNNNNNNNNNNNNNNNNNNNNNNNNNNNNNNNNNNNNNNNNNNNNNNNNNNNNNNNNNNNNNNNNNNNNNNNNNNNNNNNNNNNNNNNNNNNNNNNNNNNNNNNNNNNNNNNNNNNNNNNNNNNNNNNNNNNNNNNNNNNNNNNNNNNNNNNNNNNNNNNNNNNNNNNNNNNNNNNNNNNNNNNNNNNNNNNNNNNNNNNNNNNNNNNNNNNNNNNNNNNNNNNNNNNNNNNNNNNNNNNNNNNNNNNNNNNNNNNNNNNNNNNNNNNNNNNNNNNNNNNNNNNNNNNNNNNNNNNNNNNNNNNNNNNNNNNNNNNNNNNNNNNNNNNNNNNNNNNNNNNNNNNNNNNNNNNNNNNNNNNNNNNNNNNNNNNNNNNNNNNNNNNNNNNNNNNNNNNNNNNNNNNNNNNNNNNNNNNNNNNNNNNNNNNNNNNNNNNNNNNNNNNNNNNNNNNNNNNNNNNNNNNNNNNNNNNNNNNNNNNNNNNNNNNNNNNNAAAAAAAAAAAAAAAAAAAAAAAGGAAAACGACGGUCCUAACGCUAAAGUUACCUACUGUCUUCCUGCAUCCUUCCUAUAUCUAACUCUCUAUCUCUGACCAUUCACAUUCACACUCUAUAGAAACUCUAUUUUAUAUAUACUCGCAACAAACUUAUGGUCGUGGUUGCAUAAGUCUGCAACUUCAUCGCCUCUCGCUUGGGGAUGAACGGGGCAGAUCGCCGGAUGGAAACUAGAGGUAUUAAUUGUUUUCAGCUGAAACUGUUGUACCAAAUAGUAAUUGUUUCAUGGAGAUUUCAUUUCAUCUAACUAAUUGAGGCAUGUUGUUAUUGAUUGUCACUAAGCACAGAUCAGAAUGAAUCUGGCUUAUCUCCUGAGAAGAGUAUUGGGCCAAAGUCAUAUUCAUACGGUGAACUAGCAAGUGUAACUGGUCAUUUCUCGCUCAAUUAUCUAAUUGGUCGAGGUGGUUUUGGUCAUGUUUUUAAGGCAUCCUUGGAUGGUGAGAUCCGUGCUAUUAAGAGACUUGAUUUUCCGGAUGUACAAUCCGAAGGAGGUUUGGAGAGGGAGAUUAUGGUCGUCAAAAGUGUCAGUCACAAAAACCUCGUUGAAUUGGUUGGUUACUGUAUUGAUGGAGCCAAUAGAUUGCUUAUUUUAAAGUAUUUUCCAAAUGGGUCCUUGAGAUCUAAAUUACAUGGUGAGUUCCAUAUAUCCUUUCUUUUACUUUUAUGUUCGGAUAACUAAUCAAUAUAACAUGAUUAAUCUUAAAAAUUACAAAUGGUAUUGUAGGAAGUGGGGAUGUUUUGGACUGGGAAAAAAGAAUGAAGAUCGCUACAGGUUCUGCAAAAGGAUUGGAAUAUUUACAUGAACACUGUGAGUGUAUACUACUAUAUAACUUUAUCCGGCAGGAUUUUAGCUUUUUGAGUGUGAAUUUAUUUAUUUAUUUUUAUUUAUAUUGAUAAUUUAUUUUCUCUAAAGAUUUAUAUUCUAUAUCUUUUUCAGGUAAACCUAAAAUUAUUCAUUUAGAUAUUAAACCAGAUAAUAUUCUGCUUGAUCAAGAUUUUGAACCUAAGGUGAGAUAAUUUUAUUAUAUCAUAGCAUAUGUAUAGUAGAACUUUCAUCCGAAAUUUUGUUUUUGAAUAAUAUUAGAAAAUUAUGUGAACUCCUUAAUUAAAUUCUUGUGAUUAAUUAAUAAAUCUGAGUUCUAAUUCUUUUGGUUUGGCCAUAUAUUUUUGGCUUUUUUUAAUAAAAUUUAUUGCGUAUAAAAAAAAUUUAAUAAAUCAACCUUAGUAGAUUUCUUGUCUUUUUUUUUUUUCAUGAUUUAAUGUUUUCUUAAUAAACUUGAUUGAAGUACGGAAAAUUGUGUAAUUUACCAAAUAAAAAGUGUAAAAGUAUAUUCAUAGAACUAAGUGUGAAAAAUAACUUUAAUUUUAAAUUAAGAUAUAUAUAUGGCAUAAUAAAUUUAUUAAUUAACUUAAAUAAUUUGUUUAGAUAACAGAUUUUGGACUUGCUCAAUUUUUUACCGACGGUGCUACUCACAUAUCCAAAUCAUCAGUUAUGGGAACCCAUGUGUAAGAUAUAAUUUUCUUUCUAUCAUUUAAUUGCAUUGCUAUUAUUUUCUAUUUUUUCAAUGCCAUUAUUAUCUCCUCUUAAAAUAGUUUAAAAUAAAAUAAAUGUUAAAAUAAAUAAAAUAACACAUAAAAAAAAUAUAAGUACUCCUUAAUUAGAUAGUAUUAGUAAUCUUAACAAAUUUUAUUGCAGUUAUGAAGAUCCAUUUACGAUAAAAUUGGGAAAGUAUUCUGAUAAAUCCGAUAUUUAUUCUUUUGGAGUUACACUUUUAUAAUUGAUUACCGGAAGAAAACCUAUAGACAAUGGCACUGAUAUUGUUACUUGGGUAUGACUCUGUUUGCUUUGAUAAAAUUAUGAUAUAAAAAUUCUAUUUACCAUUUAUAAAGUUUUGAAUUUAGAUCUCAAUUGGAGUUAUUUAGAUUUAAAUUCAAUGCAUUCAUGAUUCAUUAAUAAAUAAUUUUUUAAUCAAUAUCUUGUAGGCAAAUCCUCUAAUUAAAAAGGCUUUGGAGGGAAUGUAUACAAAUUUUAUAGAUUCCAAUUUACAAUCCUUUGACUAUGAACAAAUGUAUCGAAUGGUUUUUUGUAUUAAUUCUUGUCUAAAUCAACCUCCAAGCUCUCGUCCAACAAUGGAAAAGGUAAAAUUUUUCACAUAACUAAUCUCAAACUAUAUAUAGUAUCUCAAAAUUUGUAAUCAUUUUAUUGUUAUGUCAUGCAGAUACGUCUAGUUCUUGAAGGAAAAUCACUCUCGAAAGAAUUAUACGAUAAUAAAUUGCGAAGGAGUAUUAUGCAUAGAGGUCUAUAUUCUUUUAUGUUAAUUUAUUAAAAAUUAUAUGCAUGUUUGAUCUAAUUGAUGCCUAAAUUUUCAUUUAAUUUGUCAUAUCUUAAUAUUUGAAACAAUGUUGAUUUUCAACUGCAAAAAUAUUAGUUUUUUAAUUUGAAAUUUAGAAUAAAGUAGUUUUUAACCAAAAUUGAUAACGUAUUAAUUAAAUAUAAUUUUUUAUCUUAUAAUUAUUCAAAAAACUGUGAAAAGAAUGAAAAUUUACUUUAAAGUUUUCUUUUUUUUUUUUUUUGAAAUUGAAAUCAGAAAUUGAGAGAAUAAAACAUGAGAACUCUCAAAUACACUUACCAUCAGACUAAGUCUAUGAGUGUAAUUAUCUUAAAGUUUUAAAACAUAAAUCUAAAAGUUCAUACAUAAUUAGCUGAAAAAAUUGGGUUGGAACAAAUAUAUGUGGUUUUUUCCUCUAUUUUAUUCUAUAGUUGCAGAUUAUUUAAAAAAAAAAAUAUCUGACCUUUACGUCAAGCUCACAAAAUCUGUUGUAUAAUGGUUCCUUAAAGAAAGGAUGAUAAUUUCAUUUCUUAGCUCAAGUGAAAAAAAUAAGGACAUGUACAUAUAUAGAGGUACUAAUAGUUUUACAGAUCUGAAAGGAUUUAUAUCAUCGCCUGAGUUGAAUAGAAGUAUAAUUGGCGGGCCGAGGCAAUAUUCAUAUGAACAACUAGCAAAGGCGACGAAUCAUUUUUCUAGAAACGAUCUCAUUGGCGAGGGUGGCUUUGGACAAGUUUAUAGGGGAUUACUAGAUGGUGAAUCCCUUGCUAUUAAGAUACUCAAAAAUCAUCCAGAUUUACGGUCGCAAGAAAACUUGGAGAAUGAGAUUAUGGUUGUUAGCAUCAUCUGCCACAGAAAUCUUGUUGAAUUGCUUGGUUACUGCAUUGAAGGGGCCAAUAGAUUUCUUGUUUUUAAGUAUUUUCCCAAUAAGUCCUUGAGCUCUCAAUUAUAUAGUGAGUUUCAUCCUUUCCCUUUAUAUAUAUAUAUAUAUAUUUUUUCAUAACAGUUAUGAAAAUUAAUAUAAAUAAAAAUUGGUUUUUGUAGAAAGCAAUCGGGAUUUGGACUGGGAGACGAGGAUAAAUAUUGCCAAAGGCUCUGCAAAAGGCCUAGAAUAUUUACAUGAAUACUGUGAGUAUAUAAUUAACUAUAUUCAUAUCUAAUAAUUGCCAAACUUUUUAGCUCUUGAGGUUCUAUAUAUCUAUUGUUCUUUCUUUGAGUUAAUAUAUAAUUUAUUUUAUCUUAAAAUUUUUAAUUUUUUUAUAUUAGGUGAGCCUCCUAUCGUACAUUUAAAUGUCAAGUCCAACAAUAUUUUUCUUGAUAGUGAUUUUAAACCAAAGGUAAGAUAUUUUGAUAAUUAUUGAACCCUUUAUACAGUGCAACAUCAAAUAUUGUUGAAUGUCAAAAUUUUAUUUUUAAAAAAUAUUGAAAUAUUAUGUGAAACUCCAAUAAUUUGACAAUGGUAUUUAAAUAAUAAGUGAACAUUAAUAGGUUUGAUCGUCUUCCUUUGUGCUUUAGUGUUUUUAAUCGUAAACUAAUAAUUAAUUAGUUCUUAUGAUUGCAUAAAUUUUUAAAAGACAAUCUAUUUUAUUUCAUAUAAUUUUAGAAAAUUAAUAACUAGAAUUCGAAUCAGAAUUUCAUUGAAGUCUUUGUUAUAAUUUUGAAAAAUAUAUUAAAAUAUUUUUAAAAUUUUAAAAAGUUUAUUGAUUAAUUUUUUUGUUAAUUUUAACUAUUAAAGAUUAUAAAAAAAAUCUAAAAUAACAUCAAUAUAGAUAAACAAAUUAGAAAAUAACUUUUAAAAAUUGAGAAAUUAAUUAAUAAAUUUUUACAUAUUAUAAAAAUUUAAUUAUAAAAUAUUUAAUAGUUAAAACUAACAGAAUGAUUUUAUAUAACAGAUUCUUAUACAAAAAGGAACUAGUCAAAGAACAUUUGUGAUCAACCACUAAGGAAGAGAAGGUGGAGCACUUUGCACACGGCAAACCAUCUCUUUGGCCAUUUCACACUAUCCAAUCCAUAAAUGGUUAACCGAUUCUUCAAGAGACAAGACCACCAACACCAUCCAACUUUGCUGAACCUUUAGCAUAUGCCCGUUAAUGAUCCACACAACCAACUUCACUAUACAUCAAUUAAAUACUAUCAAAGAUACUCCAUCCGCAAAAGUCAAUGCACACCAACAAUGAUAAAAAAAAAAAAAACCCUAGAUGNNNNNNNNNNNNNNNNNNNNNNNNNNNNNNNNNNNNNNNNNNNNNNNNNNNNNNNNNNNNNNNNNNNNNNNNNNNNNNNNNNNNNNNNNNNNNNNNNNNNNNNNNNNNNNNNNNNNNNNNNNNNNNNNNNNNNNNNNNNNNNNNNNNNNNNNNNNNNNNNNNNNNNNNNNNNNNNNNNNNNNNNNNNNNNNNGUUUUUUUUUUUUUUGAAAAUAUAAAUAGAGGGUUUUUAAACUCACAAGAGCUAAUAAUAUUGAUUUUACUAUACCACAAAAACUAAACUGUAUUUUAUCUUUUUGAUGAAUAUUCUUAAAGUACACAACAGUCUAAUUUGUUAGAAUAAGAGUAAAAGAAGUAUAUUUAUGAAAUUUGGUGUGGAAAUAACUACACCUUUUUUUGUGUAUAUAUAUUUAUACAGCAUAAUAGAUUUAUUUAUCUACUCUUUUUUGAAAAUAAAUUUAUUAAUCUAUUUAAAUAAUUUUGUUUAAUUAGGUGGCUGAUUUUGGACUUGCACGCUUUUUUUCGGAGGCUGCUACUCACAUCUCUGAAUCAGCAAUUAUGGAAACCAGAGCGUAAGAUAAUUUGUACAUGUCUGAUUGUUUAGUGUCAUUAUUAUGUUCUACUUCUAGAAUAAUUAAAAUAAAAUAAAAUACAUAUGAAAACAAAAGGAAACUAGUGCUUCUUUAUAUUUUAAUUUCUUGAAUCUUGACAUGAAUUUUGAUUGAACUUACUAAAUUGCAGCUAUAUAGAUCCAUAUGCAAUAAAAACUGGAGAAUACUCUGUAAAAUCAGAUGUUUACUCAUUUGGUGUUAUGCUUCUGGAAUUAAUUACCGGAAGAAGGCCCAUAGAAGAAGACGGCUUUGAUGUUGUUGAAUGGGUAAGGCGUAUGAAAUAGUAUACUUUAAAAAUUUAUGAUAUGUAAUUGUAUAACUAAAAUAUAAUAAAAGCUAUUUAAGAUCCAAAACUCACCAUUCACAUGCAAUCACUGAUAUUAAUGCAUUUGAAAUUUCAUUGAUGUAAGUCCGAGUUAAUAAAUAGACAUAAUUAUAUUUUUAUCGAUAUUCUACAGGUAAAAUCUGAAAUUAAGAACGCUUUGCGGGAUAGAAAAUUUGAAAAAUUUGUAGAUUCUACAUUGCAAAUGUUUGACGAUGAAGAAAUGUAUCGAAUGUUGUUCUGCAUUGAUGUUUGUAUAAAUUUCCAAAGUUUCGCCCAUCAAUGAAGAAGGUAAAAAAAAAUUUUCUUUUUCAUAUAUUAUAAUUGAUAAUAUAUACAAUAAUUUCAUUAUUAUUGUGCCAUAUAGAUACUUCUAGCUCUCGACGGAAUUUUGCCUUUAGACGAAUUAUGCAAUGAGAAGGGUGAUAACAAAUUGCCAGGAUACCCUACUUUAUAUCAAAUUCCAUCUCCUAUGAAUAGAAGUACAAGUAUUGGGCUGAGGCAAUAUUCAUAUCAACAACUAGCAAAGGCCACCAAUUAUUUCUCCUUUAACAAUCUUCUUGGCGAGGGUGGCUUCGGACAAGUUUACAUGGGAUCAGUAGAUGGUCAAUCCCAUGCUAUUAAAAAACUUCAAAAUCAUCGAGAUUUACGGUCUCAAGGAAAACUGCAAGAUGAGAUUAUAGUUGUUAGCCGCGUCCGUCACAAAAAUCUUGUUGAACUGCUUGGUUACUGCGUUGAAGGGGCCGAUAAAUUUCUUGUUUUAAAGUAUUUUCCUAAUAAGUCCUUGGGUUUUCAAUUACAUGGUGAGUCUCCUUCUUCCUCUUUGUAUUUUCAUAACUAUUAUGAAUAUUAAUAUAAAUAAAAAUUGGUUUUGUAGAAAGCGGUAAGGAUUUGGACUGGGAGACGAGGAUGAAUAUCGCUAAAGGCUCUGCAAGUGGACUAGAAUAUUUACAUGAACACUGUAAGUAUAAAAUUAACUAUAUUCAUAGCUAAUAAUUGCCAACCUCUUUAGCUCUUGAGGUUCUAUCUAUUGUUGUUUGUUUGAGUUAAUAAUUUAUUUCAUCCUAAAUUUUUUUAUUUUUUUAUAUUAGGUGACUCUCCUAUUGUACAUUUAGAUAUCAAGUCAGAUAAUAUUCUUCUUGAUGAUGAAUUUAAACCAAAGGUAAGAUAUUUUGAUAAUAAUUUUUUAUAUUGAAGCCAUCAUACAGUGGAACCUCUCAAAAAAUAUUGUUGGAUGUGAAAGUUUUAUUUUCAAAAAAUACUGAAAUAUUAUGUGAAACUCCAAUAAUGUCUACGUUGUAUUUAAAUAAUAAUUGCACCUUAAUAGGUUAAUUAGUUCUUAUGAUUCAAUAAACUUCACAUAUUAGCAUAUUAAUCUACUUAAAUCAUUUCGUUAAUCAGGUGGCUGACUUUGGACUUGCACGCUUUUUUUCGGAGGCUGCUACUCACAUUUCCGAAUCAGCAAUUAUGGGAACCAAUGCGUAAGAUAAUUUAUAUAUGUCUGAGUUAUUUGAGUUUUUUAGUGUCAUUAUUAUGUUCUACUUCUAGAAUUAUUAAAAUAAAAUAAAAUACAUAUGAAAACAUAAGGAAACUAGUGCUUCUUUAGAUUUUAAUUUCUUGAAUCUUGACAUGAAUUUUGAUUGAGCUUACUAAAUUGUAGCUAUAUAGACCCAUAUGCAAUAAAAACUGGACAGUACUCUGUAAAAUCAGAUGUUUACUCAUUUGGUGUUAUGCUUCUGGAAUUAAUUACUGGAAGAAGACCCAUAGAAGAAGACGGCUUUGAUGUUGUUGAAUGGGUAAGACCUAUGCAAAUAGUGUACUUUAAAAAUUUAUGAUAUGUAAUUGUAUAACUAAAAUAUAAUAAAAGCUAUUUAAGAUCCAAAACUCACUGCAGGCUUAACAUGGUGGUAAGUACAUCUACUCCCCCAAUUCCCAAUUCAUAUUUCAAAAAAAAAAAAAAAUCCAAAACUCAUCAUUAUUAUAUUUUUAUUGAUAUUUUACAGGCAAAAUCUAAAAUUAAGAGUGCUUUGCGGGAUGAAGAAUUUGAAGAUUUUGUAGAUUCUACAUUGGAAAUAUUUGACCAUAGAGAAAUGUAUCGAAUGUUGUUCUGCAUUGAUGUUUGUAUAAAUAACCAUCCAAAGUUUCGUCCAUCAAUGAAGAAGGUAAAAAAAAAAAAAAAAAAAUUCAUAUAUUAUGUUAAUAAUUAAUAAUAUAUUCAAUAAUUUCAUUAUUGCUAUGCCAUAUAGAUACUUCUAGCUCUUAAAGGAAUUUUGCCUCUAGACGAAUUAUGCAAUGAGAAGGGUGAUAACAAAUUGCCACGGUACGCUACUUUAUAUAAAGAAAAGUCCUAUAUGGAAGUUUUGAACGAGAAUCAAGGAGAGCAUCACGAAGCAAGCCUUGGUCAGUCUCACUGUAGGCAAGGCUUACAUCAAAUGACUUACAUUGAGAAGUGAAUGGAGCCGUGGUGCAAACUUCAAGUAAGGCUUAUUCAAACUUUGGGCAGGGCUUAUGUAGAGUUAAAAGACUUCUAUAUCCGAUUCUCAAAAUUUUGUGGAUAACUAUUUAGGAAGCUUCCUUUCAUAUAUAAUUUAAAAAAAAAAAAAAAGAAUAUUUUGGGAUCCUUACUUCUAUUUUGGGAUGAGACUUUUUUUAUUCCUCUUAGACUACGAAGUAACCAUUUAAAAAGGAGAGGCUCUUUUAGAUUGGGGAUCUUCUGACACUUUUGAAUAUGUCUUUAUGUUAGUUGCUAUACAAUGUGCUUCACUAGCUAAUUUCAUUUAUAUAGCUAAGGAAUUUUCAAGAUGCGAUUCAUAAGGAUUGUAAAAUCGAAUUAAUAUUAAUACUCUAUCUUUAUUUCUGGUUUCUAAUAUUUUAUAUGCUUGAAAUUGAAUUGAGGAUCAAUUUUAUGUCUUGAGAAACACGCUUUAAAUAUGAAAUUUAUUGAAGUGAACUUUGGUGAAAUUAAACUAUUUCUACUAUCAUCCUAUUGCAUGAAAAUUUGGUUCUUUGUUUUGGACAAAUUAAAUUUGAGAUUGGUUGAGGACAGGACUGUGUUUUAUUGUUUCAUUUUAAUUUUUGUGCUUGAAGAUAAGCAAAGGUGCAAGUGUGGGGGAAUCUGAUGGGUUGUAAAACUCACAAUUUUUUUCUCAUUUAAUUUCAUGAUUUUACUAUAAUUUUGAUAUAAAUAUUUAAUUUUAAUUUGAAUUUAAUUUUGGACAGGUUUGUGGGCAGAAAUUGAGAAAAUGAACGAAAAGACUGAAUUAAAUGAUUUUUGUAAGGUUACAACCUUGAUCAAACUUGUAGUGCUGCCCCAACUUUCUUCUUCUUUUGCUUAGUUGUUAUAAUUUUAUUAUGGUCAUGAGUGACUAAAUAAUUAUUUUCAGUUGAAGGUUAAAUUAAAUUGAGAUUUGUUCAAAUUGGAGGUUAUGCACUUCAAUUCUCUUCAUUUUAUUUAUAUUUUCUGUCAAUGAAUUCAGGAGACCUAUUGAAUCUCUUAGGAAAACAACCUAUAACUAAUUAAUCUAAUUAAAUCCAUAAUCGUUUCAUUGGGUUAAUAAUAAGUAGCAAUUAACAUAUUAGUUUAUGUUAAGAAAUUGAUAGAUUUGGUUUAAAUAAAUUGUGUUUUUAUUGGUCAAAUUUGGAUUUUUCUCUCUUAAUAUAGUUGACUAAUUAAAUCUACACGCGUGUUGGAAUUUUAAUUGACUAGGAAUUAAUUUAAGCACGAAGCGGAUUAAUUUAUUCAUAAGAAAUCAUUGGUGAGAUUCGCGUGCUUGACCACUAUAACCAAACAAUAGAUAAGAUGAAUUAUGAUCAUCUGCAAAAUAUCUCAAUUUAAUUAUCUUCAUCUGAAAAUUCUAACUAUUUAUUUGUUUCUCAAAUUUCAAUUACAUUGUUUAUUAUUAUUUUUACAGGCACAACCACUUUCAUAAAAAAAAAUUCUUUUAUUCUCACUUUUUAAUAUUAAAUUAUUUCUCUAUUUUAAAUUGGUCAUUUAAAUUAAACAGAAUUAAAAUAUUUGUGGAAUCGAUAUUCACUCACCCUAUUUAUAAAAUUUUACCAAUUAAAAAAAAUGAAUUUUAAAUUUACGAAUUCAAUACUCAUCAAAGUUGUUUCAAUUCCCCGUUAGUUCUCUUUAUCAAUUUAUCUAAAUUAAAGAAUGAAUAAUUAAAAAACCAUAAUCAUAUGAAUUAGAUAUUAGACCAUCUAGAUCGUUGACUUUGAAAAAAAAAUGUUAAUAAUAAUUAAAUUCAAAGGCCAUGAUUGUUCAUUGAUAGAGUUAGUAACAUAAGUACAUCCAUUCAUAGGUCUAGGUGGAAAUCACGUUAACCUUAUGUCUUAAUAAACAAUAAAUAACUUGUUAUUUUUAUAAGACUUUUAUAUUUUUAUUUUUAUUCUCAUAAUUUUUUGUUGCCCACUACACGAAAUUAAUUUGUCAAUUGAGUUCAAAUCUCUCUCAGAUAUAAAUCAUUAAUGGCACUUAUGAGCCCACGUCUAUUUAUCACUAAUUAAAAAACUAUUUAGGUACAGAUAAACCUGAUUAGCCUAACUGUAAAUUGAAUUAAGUGGAUUUUAUGUGAUUUUUUUUCUGAGCUAAUAAAAGACCACACUCAAAAGAAUUUGAAAAAAAAAAAAAAAAACCUCAUUGAAACUUAGAAUAAAGAGAAACUCAUUAAUAAAUUUAUAAUAUGCAUUACACAAAAUGACAUUAACUGGAGGCCACAUGCUGCGAAUUCUACGCUCAACGUUAUAUAUAUAUAUAUAUAUAUAUAUAAAAGAAAACGACAGUCCUAACGCUAAAGUUACCUACUGUCUUCCUUCAUCCUUCCUACAUCUCCCUCUCUAUCGCUGACCAUUCACAUUCACACUCUAUAGAAACUCUAUUAUAUAUAUAUAUACGCAACAAACUCAUGGUCGUGGUUGCAUAAGUCUGCAACUUCUGAUGGCCUCUCGCUUGGGGAUGAACGGGGCAGAUCGCCGGAUGGAAACUAGAGGUAUUAAUUGUUUUUAGCUGAAACUGUUGUACCAAAUAGUAAUAGUUUCAUGGAGAUUUCAUUUCAUCUAACUAAUUGAGGCAUGUUGUUUAUUGAUUGUCACUAAGCACAGAUCAGAAUGAAUCUGGCUCAUUUCAUGAGAAGAUUAUUGGGCCAAAGUCAUAUUCAUACGCUGAACUAGCAAAGGUAACUGGUCAUUUCUCGCUCAAUAACUUAAUUGGUCGAGGUGGUUUUGGUCAUGUUUUUAAGGCAUCCUUAGAUGGUGAGAUCCGUGCUAUUAAGAGACUUGAUUUUCCGGAUGUACAAUCCGAAGGAGGUUUGGAGAGGGAGAUUAUGGUCGUCAAAAGUGUCAGUCACAAAAACCUCGUUGAAUUGGUUGGUUACUGUAUUGAUGGAGCCAAUAGAUUGCUUAUUUUAAAGUAUUUUCCAAAUGGGUCCUUGAGAUCUAAAUUACAUGGUGAGUUCCAUAUAUCCUUUCUUUUACUUUUAUGUUCGGAUAACUAAUCAAUAUAACAUGAUUAAUCUUAAAAAUUACAAAUGGUAUUAUAGGAAGUGGGGAUGUUUUGGACUGGGAAAAAAGAAUGAAGAUCGCUACAGGUUCUGCAAAAGGAUUGGAAUAUUUACAUGAACAUUGUGAGUAUAUACUAUUAUAUAUUCUUACCUGGCAGGAUCUUAGCUUUAGAGUGUGAAUUUAUUUAUUUAUUUUUAUUUAUAUUAAUAAUUUAUUUUUUUUUUAAAAUUUAUAUUUUAUAUUUUUUUCAGGUAAACCUAAAAUUAUCCAUUUAGAUGUCAAACCAGAUAAUAUUCUGCUUGAUGAAGAUUUUGAACCUAAGGUGAGAUAAUUUUAUAACAAAUAAAUAUUUUAUUUAUAUUAUCACAUAUGUAUAGUAAAACCUUGAUAAUUGAAUACUGAAAUUUUAUUUUUCAAAAAUAUUGAAAAAUUAUAUGUACUCCUUAAUUACAUAAUUUUAUUUUUGUAUUAAUUAAUAAAUCUGGGUUCUAAUUUUUUUUUUGUUUGGCCAUAUAUUUUUGGCUUUUUUAAUAAAAUUUAUUGCUUAUAAAAAAUUAAUAAAUCCACCUUAGUAGGUUUCUUGUUUUUUUUUUUAUGAUCUAAUAUUUUCUUAAUAAACCUUUUUGAAGUACGGAAAUUGGUGUACUUUAUCAAAUAAAAAGGUAAAAGGAGUAUAUUGGUGGAAUUAAGUGUGAAGUUUCAACUUUAAAUUAAUGUACACAUUAUAUAUAAAUCGCAUAAAUAAAUUUAUUAAUCAACAUAAAUCAUUUGUUUAGAUAACAGAUUUUGGACUUGCUCAAUUUUUUACCGACGGUGGUACUCACAUAUCCAAAUCAUCAGUUAUGGGAACCCAUGUGUAAGAUAUAACCUCCUCUUCUAUCAUUUAAUUGCAUCGCUAUUAUUGUCUUUCUUUUUUCAGUACCAUUAUUAUCUAUUCUUAGAAUAGUUUAAAAAUAAAAUUAAAAUAGAUAAAAUAACACAUAAAAAGAUAUUAGUACUCCUUAACUUGAUGGUAUUAGUUUCUUAAGAAAUCUUAACAUAAAUUUUAAUUCUGUUAAUUUUAUUGCAGUUAUGAAGAUCCAUUGACAACAAAACUGGGAAAGUAUUCUGAUAAAUCUGAUAUUUAUUCUUUUGGAGUUACACUUUUAGAACUGAUUACCGGAAGAAAACCAAUAAACAAUAGCACUGAUAUUGUUACUUGGGUAUGACUCUGUUUGUCUUAAUAAAAUUGUGAUAUAUAAAUUCUAUUUUCAACUUAUAAAGUUUUGAAAUUAAAUCUCAGUCGGAGAUAUUUAGAUUUCAAUUCAAUAUAUUUAUGAUCUAUUAAUAACUAAUUUUUUUAAUCAAUAUUUUAUAGGCAAAUCAUCUAAUUAAAAAGGCUUUGGAGGGAAGAUACACAAAUUUUGUAGAUUCUAAUUUACAAUCCUUUGAUCAUGAACAAAUGUAUCGAAUGGUUUCUUGUGUUAAUUCUUGCAUAAAUCAACCUCCAAACUCUCGUCCAACAAUGGAAAAGGUAAAAUUUUUUACGUAAUUAAUUUAAUUUUAGCUAUAUAUAUUAUAUAUUAUAUAUUUUCAAUUAAUUUUAUGAACUCGAAAGAUUAUAUAAUUGACUUGUAAUCAUUUUAUUUCUAUGUCAUGUAGAUACGUCUAGUUCUUGAAGGAAAAUCGCCUCCAGAGGAAUUAUACGAUCAUAAAUUGCAAUGGAGUAUUAUACAUAGAGGUCUAUAUUCUUUUAUGUUAAUUUAUUAGAAAUUAUGCAUAUUUAUACUAAAACUUGAUCAAAUUGAUGCCUAAAUUAAUUUUCAUUUAACUUGUGUCAUAUCUUAAAAUUAGAAACAAAUGUUGAUUUUCAACUGCAUAAAUAUUAAUUUUUUAAUUUGAAAUGUAGAAUAAAUUUGUUUUUUAGUCAAAAUUGAUAACAUAUUAAUGAAAUAUAAUUUUUAUCUUAUAAUUACUCAAACAAACAGUAAAAACAAUGAUGAAAGUAACCUUAAAGUCAUACAUAAUUUCCUAAUCGUUAAUUUUGUCAAUUAUUGAAUUAAAUCAUAUAGUUGAUAUUUAUAGGAAUGAAUAGUUUCAAGAUUAAACAUAUAAUUUUAUUUAAAUUAGAAGAAUAUAAUUACUUAUAGUUUUAUGAUUUAUCUUAUUAAUUAAUUUUAAUCAUUAUAUGAAACAAUAAAGAAAAUCAUUUAUCAACCGAAACCUCCUUUGUUCACUUAUAUGAAGGGUGUAAAAUUAAAAUUUUAACGUAUUUUAUUUACUAUUUCUUAAAAUUAAAUGAAUAUGUAAUUACAUUUACAUUUAAAUCUGUAAGAGUAUUUAUAAUUAAAAAUAUAUUAUAAAUUUUAAAUAUUUAAUUUACUAAUAUAUAAAUUGGAUAUUUGUAUUAAAUAGUUAUUAUUUGAGUCAAUUUACAAGUCCAUUAACUCAUUUAUAAUUUUACAUAUUACUUUUUUCUUCACAUAAUUUUUAUUUAUUUUAUUUUUUACAUGUAUUAAGAAAUAUAAACUUUUUUAUUAAUUUUUUAAUUAUAUUUAAAUUUUAUUAAAUAUUAAAAAAUAUUUUAAGAAAUUCCUUAAAAAUAAAAAAAAUUAAAUAGAAUUAUAAUAAUUGAUUUAUAUGUUACUAUAUUUUAAAAAAAGAAAAUGAAUAAUAAUUUUAAGAUAAUAAAAUAAAAUAAAUAAAAAUUAUGAAACGGAAAAAAUGUUAUUUAAUUAUUUAAGUAAAGGUAAAUAAAUAGAAAUAAUGAAGCCGUGAAUAGUUUUUUGAUACGAAAAAAAAAUUAAUGUCCAUGAAACCAUUUUCUAUUUUGAGAUAGUUUAAUUUAUUUAAAAAGAUCUUAUAACAUAAUUAUUUUGAGAUAGUUUAAUUUAUUUAAAAAGAUCUUAUAACAUAAUUAUUUGUUUAUAUUAUAUACAUAUUGUUUUUUUUUUUUUAAUACUUAUAUACAUAUUGUUUGACAAAUUCUUAAUAAGAAGAUUUAGAUUGUUUACAUAAUAAACUUUUUUUUUUAUAGUUAGUCUUUGUAGGUAAAUUUCAAUCAUAUAGGUUAUUCGAAUUUGUCUAAAACACUAAUAAUUCACUAUAUGAAAUUAAGAGAAGGAAAAAUAAAAGUAUGAAAAUUAAUUAGUAAGCAUGGUUAUUUGCCUUAAUUAAUAGAGAUAAUUUACUCAUAAAGCUUGCUUUAUGUUCACAUAUGGAACAACUUUAUUUAAAAAAAAAUUAUUGUGAAAACUUACUUAAUUAGUGUCUAAAUAUAUAAUAAGAGUUUUUUAAACAUAGUUAGGAGUUACAAAUUAAUUAGUUGAAAAAAAUUUUGAGUUUGGAACAAAUAUAUAUAGCUUUUUGCUCUAUUUUAUUUCAGAGUUACAAAUUAUAUUAAGAAAAUAAAAAAUCUGAACUUUUCGUCAAGCUCACGAGAUCAGUUGGAAAAUUCUUAUCUUAAUUUCUUUGCCCUCUAUAUAUGUAUAUACAAUGGUUCCACAAAUUAGAUAUAUACACUAACUAAAUAUGGCAUGUUAUGGUUUGCGUAGAUGACGAAUCUAGCUCAUACUUUGAAGAGAUUGAUCAAAUUGAAGAAUCUGGCUCAUUGCAUGACAAGAAUUAUAAGGGUGGGCUAAAGCCAUAUUCAUACAGUGAACUAGCAAAGGCAACUGAUCAAUUCUCGCUCGAACGCCAAUUUGGUCAAGGUGGUUUUGGUCAAGCUUUUAUCGCAUCCUUAGAUGGUAAGAUCCGUGUUGUCAAGAAACUUAAAAAUUUUCCGGAUGUACAGUCGGAAAGAGAUUUCGAGAGGGAGAUUAUGGUUCUCAAUGGAGUCCGUCACAAAAAUCUUGUUAAGUUAGUUGGUUACUGCAUUGAGGGAGCAAAUAGAUUGCUUAUUUCAAAGUUCUUUCCCAACAUGUCAUUGAGAUAUCAAUUAGACAGUGAGUCCCAUAUCCUUUCUUUUGCCUAUGUUCAUAUAACUAAUUAAUAUGACGUAAUUAAUCUUACAAAUUACAAAUGAUUUUGUAGGAAAGGAGAAUGUUUUAGACUGGAAAAAAAGAAUGAAUAUUGCUAUAGGCUCUGCAAGAGGAUUGGAAUGUUUACAUGAAGACCGUGAGUAUAUAAUAGAGAACAUAUUUCUGAUUUCUGCUUGUUAGGCUUUUAGCGUUUGGGAGUAAGUUUUUAUUAAAUUUUAUUUUCAUUUGCAUUAAUAAUUUAUUUCCUCUAAAAGUUUUAUACUCUUCUUGUAUUAUUUUCAGGUAGACUCAAAAUCAUACAUUUACAUAUCAAGUCAGAUAAUAUUCUUCUUGAUAAUUACUUUAAUCCUAAGGUAAGAUAAUUUAAUAAUAAAUAUAAAUUUUAUUUAUAUCAUUACAAUGUGGAAUUAUAUGAACCCAUUAGUUUGAUUGUUGUAAUUCAUUAAUAAUGAGGCUUAACAAGGUUUCUUGUCUUUUUUAAUGCUUUACUACUUUCUUAAUAAACCUUAUUGAAGUACAGAAAACAGUGUAAUUUAUCAAGUAAAUAUAUAUAUAUAUUCAUGAAAUUAAGUAGAAAAUAACUGCACCUUUAAAUUAAUAUAUACAUUAUAUAUAUGUACAGCAGAAUAAAUUUAUUAAUCUACUUAAAUCAUAUGUUUUAGAUUUCAGAUUUUGAACGUGCCCUGUUCUUUAGGGAUGCUACUACUCACGUGUUCAGAUUAUCAACUUUUGGAAUUCACAUGUACGUAAAAAGAAAAAAAAUUUCUUUCUAUCAUUCAAUUACAUCUCUAUUAUUGCCUCUCUUUUUUUCAGUGCUAUUAUUAUCUAAUUUUAGAAUAAUUUAAAAAAUAAAAUAAUAUAAAAACAAAAAAAAACACAUAAAAAAGAGUUAGGGUUUUUUAUUUAAAGAUAUUAGUUUUUUUAAAAAAAUAUUAAUACAAAUUUUAAUUGUGAUGAUUUAAUUGCAGUUAUGCAGAUCUACCGUCAGUGAAAUUACAAAAGUAUUCAGAUAAACUCGAUGUUUAUUCUUUUGGUGUUAUACUUUUGGAAUUGAUUACCGGAAGAAAGCUCAUAAUUGAUGAAAACAUUGACAUUAUUACUUGGGUAUGACUUUUUUACUUGUAAUAGUUUAAUAUAAAAAUUGCAAUAUAAAAUUAUGAUAUAAGAAUCAAUAAGAAAAAAAAAAUAAAUUUAAAUCUCCAUUGGAUUGGAUGUAUGCAAAUAAAAUAAUAAAGCAUUCUUUAUAAUCACAUUAAAAACAUUGAAAAAGACAAAACCAUAUGCUAUAAGUUAAAUACAAAUGAUUCAUUAAUAAUAAAUAACUUAUUAAUCAAUAUGUUGUAGGCACAACCUCUGAUGAAAAAGGCUUUGGAGGGAGAAUAUACGGAUUUUAUAGAUUCAAGAUUGCAAUUUUUUGACGAUCAAGAAAUGCAUCGAAUGAUUUUUUGUGCUAAUGUUUGCAUAAAUCAACCGUUAAGAUCUCGUCCAUCGAUGAAAAUGGUAAAAUUUAUUUAUAUAAUUAAUUUUAAUAUAUUUCAAAACUCUAUAUAUACAUUACUAUUAUUGUUUAUUUUCAAUUAAUUUUAUAAAAGCAUUGAGAGAUUAUAUAAUUGACUUAUAAAUCUUUCUAUAUUGAUAUGUCAUGUAGAUACUUCUAGCUCUUGAAGGAAUUAUUCCUCUAGAUUCUUUGGCAAGAGAUGAAUGACAACAAAUUGCGAUCGGAAGCUAUUCAUAAAGGUCCGUUUCUUAUAAAAAAUGGGAAUAUCUAUUUCGAAUGUUAUUCAUUUUCUUUAGAUUUAUUAAAUAAAAAAAUUAAAAAGUAUAUGAUUUGUCAUAUUUAUUCUAAAUUUAAAAUUUUGAACAAUAAAAACAAAUUCUUUUACAUUUACUUCAAUUAAUUUUUUUUAGAAAAAAUUUUAGUUCAAAUGUCACGUCACAUAGGUUUAUUCUUUGCAAGGCCUGCUCAAUAAAAAAUUCAAACAUUAACAUUAAAUUCAUAUUUAUAUUGAAAAUUUUUGAAUAAUAAAAUCAAAACUUUUUUAAUUUGACACAAUUAUAAUCAAUAGAACUAAAUAAAUUAAAUUUGAAAAGAACUAAAUAAAUUAAAUCUGAAAAGUUAAUGAUAAUUAAAUUACAAUAUAAUCCCUAAAAUUUUAUAUUAACAAAACAUAUAGUCUUUUAAUUUAACAUGUAGUCAUUUAUAAACUAUAAUAUAGUCCUUAAAUUUAUCAUAUGUACUAUUAAAUAUAUUAUAUUCAAUAAAUAUUUAUUAUAAAUAAAUUUUCAUUACAUAAAAUAUCACAUAUAAAUAUUAUAUAAUAAAAUAUUUUAUUAAAUAUUUAAAUUAGUUAUUAUAAAUUAUAUAUAUAUUUUUGAUAUAUAGAAAUUGUACUUCAUAUAAACAAUAUUAAAUAAAAUAAAAUAUUAUAUAUUUUAAUCAGUCAUUCAAAACUUGAUCGAAGAACCCGUGUUUAUUGAAGAAGCUAUAGAGUCGAGUAUAAAAAAUACUAGUUUGAAAGGCUUGUUGGAAUUGAUCUGCUGCAGUAUUUACAUUAUACAAACUUGAUCGAAGAACUAGUGUUUAUUGAAGAAGCUAGAGAGUCGAUUAUAAAAUAUACUAGUUUGAAAGGUUUGUUGAAAUUGAUCUGCUACGGAAUUUACAUUAUACGCAACAGAAGCACCUGAAGUACUAAACGGAAUAGGUAUUAGCUAUAGUUUGGUAAUGGUUGGAGGAGCAAACUUAGAUUUGACAAGAAUCUUAUCUCUUACCCAUAUCUCUCAUAAGUUAUUUUGUUCACCUAUAUAAAUAAGUAAAUUUGUGAUGUCUAGUAAUUUAUUAGUCUAUUGAAAUUGUACUUCAUAUCAUUAAUAUUAAAUACAAUGAAAUAUUAUAUAUUUAAUAUAGUCUAUAAUUAUUUUAUAUUUUAAAUUUUUAUUAAUCUACAAUAUUGUAUAAAAAUAAAAAUGAGAAGUAAAUAAUGAGAUUAACAAAAAAAAAGAUAUUGUUGAAAUAAAAAUAUGUAUUUUAAAAAUUUUAGAGGUUAUAUUAUAAUUUACGGUAACUUUUUCAAAUUUAAUUUUAAUAAUUUUGAUUAUAAUUGUGAUAAAAUGAAAAAAAUUUUAUUUUAUUAUUUAAAGUUUAAAAUUUAAAAUAUAAAUACAUUCAUAUUAUUUCUUUAUUUAAAAGGAGUAGGAUAUGAACUUAAUUCACCUUUUAAAAAAAGAAGUAUCCGUCUCAGUUCAUCUACUUGGUGAUUUUGCUUUUUUCCUUUGAUAAUAUUUUCUCCUUAUAGAGCUGCACUAAUUUAUUUAUUUAUUUAUUUUUUUGGAAACAGAUGAGCCUAAGCCAAGAAGCAACAGAAGCAACUAGUAAUGGUUCCUCCAACAUCAUUCCAGAAACUUCAUUUGAUAAGAUGGAUUGUUUUCCCAAACCCAUUGCCUUUAGGAGAUUUAAUAAAAUCCUUAAACCUUUCUCUUCUUAUUUUUAAUAGACCAGAGUUCUCAUUUAUCAUUUUAAGCCUUUCUCCUUUUAUUAUUUUCUUUAAACGAUAACUUAUUACAUUAUUUUCUAUAUUAAAUAUGACCAAGCUUAAAAAAUAACCCCUUUUAUUUAAUUUCAAUAUCAAACACUAUACAAAAAUUUUUAAAAUAUCAAUAAAUUUUUUCAUUAGUAAUUCAAUAAAAAUCUAUUAGUGAAUAAUAUGAUCUAUUUUUAAAAGUCUCGCUAGUAAAUUUUUACCAACAAAUUUUAAAUUUAUUAGCACCACUACCGAAUUUAUCAAUAUAGAUUCUCAUUUUUUAUUUAAUUCAGAUUGUAGUGUGAAUUUUUCGGAUAGAGUUACAAUUUGAAUAAAUAAUAUAAUUUAUAUUCCAUAGUCAUUAAAAAUGUAAAUAUAUAUUUGGAAAAGAAAAAGAGUAAAUGAUAAAAUAAAGUGAGAAAAAUAGAAAUGAAAGAAAAUAAAAAUAAGAGAAAAGGAAAUGGCGUAAAAUGAGAAAAAAUUAUAAGAAAAAAAAAGAAAAAGGGGAAAAACAAUAGAAAAGAAAAUUAUAGAGAAGAAAAAAGGAUGAAAGAAGAGGAAAAUGAUGAUAAGAGAAGUGAGAGAAAAUGAAAUAAAUAAUUAGAGAAGGAAAUAAACCAAGAGAAAAUAAUAGAAAACGAUGAGUUGUAAAACUCACUAUUUUUUUUUACUAUAAUUUUGAUAUAAAUAAUUAAUUUUUAUUUAAAAUUUGAUUUUAAAUAGGUUUUUGCGUAGAAGUUAAGAGAAGAAAUGAAAAGAGUUUGAAUUGGAAGAUUUUUGGAUGGAGAGGUUAUAGCCUUGGGCAAGUUUGUAACUCAAGGCGAUAGACAACUCCAUCUCACCCCGAUUAGUAAAUGGCAUAAAAUGAGAAAAAAUUAUAAAUGGCAUAAAAUGAGAAAAAAUUAUAAAAAGAAGGAAAAAGGAGAAAAACAAUAGAAAAGAACAUUAUAGAGAGAAAAAAAGGAUGAAAGAAGAGGGAAAGGAUGAUUAGAGAAGUGAGAGAAAAUGAAACAAAUAAUCAGAGAAGGAAAUAAAUGAAGAGAAAAUAUUAAAAAAUAAUGAGUUGCAAACAUCACCACUUUUUCUUAUUAAAUUUUAUAAUUUUGAUAUAAUUUUAAUAUAAAUAAUUAAUUUUUACUUGAAUUUGAUUUUGGAUAGGUUUCUGAACGGAAGUUGAGAGAAAAAAAUGAAAAGAAGCUAAAUUAGAAGAUUUUUGAAUUGGGAUGUAGCCAAAGCCAUGGGAUGUAGCCAAAGCCAUGUACAGCUUCAAAUUUGAAAAUUUGCCACCUCAGCCCGAUUUUUUCACCUAAACAUGGAUAAAAUCAGUUUUAAAUUGGAUCAAAUAUAAUCAGAUUAGAAUACUAGUAAAAUAGGAGAAGCAAAGUUUAUAUUAAAUUAUUAAAUUUUAUCUUUUUGUUGAAGGAAAAACCAAUAUAAAGUCUUUCCAAAAAUUAAACCUACAUCAUAUUCUUUUAUUCUCUCCCUCCUUUUCUCUCUAAGCUGCCUCCUCUCCUCUUCUCCUUUUUUCUUUUCCUCUUCUUUUCCUUUAGAUUUUUGUAAUUUUAUUAUGAUAUUUAAAAGCUAAACACUCUCUUUUUUUUGAAAAUUAAUUUAAAUUGAGAUUUUAUUUAAAUUGUGAGAUUAUGUGCUUCAAAUAUCUUUAUUUUAUUUCUAUUUUCUAUUAAUUUCGGAUUUUAAUAAACACCACCUCUAUUCUUAUCUUUUUAAGAAUUCAAGAAACCUAUUGAAUAUCUUGGGUAACAUAUAACUAAUUAAUCCAAUUAAAUCCAUAAUUAUUUAAUUAAAUUAAUAACAAGUAGCCAUUAAUAUAUUAGUUUAUAUUAAAAAAUUAGUAAAUUUGAUUUAAAUAAAUCACGUAUUUUUAUUAAUUAAGUUUGGAUUUUUAUUUCUUAAUACGGUUGAUUAAUUAAAUUUAUAUGCGUGUUGGAUUUGUUAGUUAACUAUAAAUUAAUCUAAGCGCGAAACGUAUUUAACUACUAUAACCAAAUAAUAGAUACUAAAAUGAAUUAUUUUUCUAAUCUAUAAUAACGGUCAAACCCUUCAAUUUGAUUACUUUCAACUGAAUUUAAUUUAAUUAUUUAUUUUACGAUCUCAAUUUGCAUUACUUGUUUUUUUUUUAAAAGUAUUUUUGACUUGUCCAAGAUAAAAACUAAUUUUAUAAAAAAUUCUCUUCUUUUUUACUUUUUAUAUUAAACUACUAUUUGAUUUCAACUAGUCGUUUAUGUGAAAUCAAUAUUCAACUAUCCUAUCUACAAGUUUUUGUUAAAUCAAGAAAAGAGAAAUAAAUUUUAAUUAAUAGAUUUGAUAUCUGUUAGAAAUAAAUAGAAAAAAUAUAGAAGAAAAUAAAAUUAGAGAAACUAAUAUGAAUAAAAAUUAUAUAUAAAAAAAGAGAUGGAGGAAAGAAAAGAAAAAUGAUGAAAGAAAUGAAAAAGGUGAAAUUAAUAGAAAGAAAAAUUAUAGAGCAAAAUGAAGAAAAUAAGAAAAGAGGGUAGAGUGAGAGAAAAAGAAAAAUUGAAAAAAGGAAAAUAAUAAAAAAAUAAGAGAAAAUAAUUAUGAGGUAAGAAAGUCAAAAUAAAAAUAAUAAUAAGAAAAAAAAGAGAGAAAAUAGAAGAAUGAAAAAUUAUAUAUGAAUGGAUGAUAAAAGGAGGAUAUCGCGUUAAUAUUUAUAAAUGCAAAUUAUUAAUGAAUUUCAAAUUUUUUUUAAAAAAUGUGGGCUUUUUUUUUAAAAAAAUUACUAAUAAAUUUAAAAUUCGUUAUUAAAUUAUUAGUAAAUGAAAAAUAGUAAAAUUUUUUAAAAAAUAACACAAAAAUUUUAUGCAUAAUCUUAUAUUAAAUUUAUCCAAAAAAAUUUUUUUAUUUAUUAAUGAUAAUAAAAAUUAAUAAUAGAUUUUAAAAUUUAUUGGUAAUCUGUUGGUAAAGUAUUAAUAGAUUUAAUAUUUGAUUGGAAUGAAAUUUAGAAUGAAUACACUUAACGUAUGAAUCAUUUAAAAAAUAAAUGUAUUUGUUCUGUAGCAUCAAUUCGGAUUGGUUUUGAUUCGUUUAAAAAAUAUAGUUUGAGAGACUAUAUGUGAAGCAAUUAGGUAUAAAUUGAUAUCGAACUCUCAAAAUUUGAUAAUUUCAACUCCAUUAACAACCACCUAUGAAUAUUUUUUCAGAUUACACCCAUUAUUUCAAGUUUUAGAUCGAAUUAAUCCAUUAACCUAAAUAGUUCAUGGGAGAAAAUUGACUUACUUGGAUUCUGGAGGAUUAACGGACCAAGUGCUCCAUUAACCUAAAUAGUUCAUGGGAGAAAAUUGACUUACUUGGAUUCUAGAGGAUUAACGGGACCAAGUGCUAGUUUUCGGAUACAAAAUUCAGUAGUUUUUCAAAUGUACUAUAUGAAUGGAUGGAUGACAAAAGGAGGAUAUGGCGUGAAUAUUUUUAAAUGCAAAUUAUUAAUGAAUUUAGUAAUGAAUUACAAAUUUAAAAAAACGUGGGCUUUUUUUCACUAAAAAUUAUUAAUAAAUUUAAAAUUCAUUAGUAAACGAAAAUAAUAGAUUUAAAAAAAAAUAACACAAAAAUUUUAUGCAGAAUUUUAUCUUAAAUUUAUCAAGAUGAAAAUUUUUUUAUUUAUUAAUGAUAAUAAAAAUUAAUAAUAAAUUUUAAAAUUUAUUGAUAAUUUGUUGGUAAAUUAUUAAUAGAUUUAAAAUCUAUUAAUAAUUUCAAUAGUUUUUCAAAUGUACUAAUAAAUUGAAAUUCAUCAAUAAAUUACAACAUAUUUGUUAAUUGAUUUUAAGAUAAUUAUUAAAUUUUGAUAUUAAUUAUUUUAUAUUUAUAAAUUAUCAAUCGUAUUUUAAUUAAAAUCUAUUAAUAAGAUUAACAGAUUUAAACUUUAAACAAAAUAUUUAUAUUAAAAAUUAUCAAUUAAUUUUAAAAUCGAUUAGCAAAUUCGUUAAUAUAACUAUCAAUUAAUUUUAAUUAAAAUUGACUGGUAACUCAACAGAGUUUUUAAAGAAAAUAUGAGGAAAUUUAUUACUGAAUUUCAAUAACUUAUUAGUAUAUUUGUACGCAUUCUCUUUAUUAAAAAAUGACCAAGCUAGCUAUUUAAAAAUGACUCUCAUAUUAUUGGCUAAUAUGUCAAACUAACUACUUUGUAGUUUCUUUCAUUUAUUAAUACGUAAUGGAUUUAAUUUAUAAUAAAUAGACCAACACUAAUAGCUCAUUCGCCCAAACAAAUGCAUUAAUAAUUCAACCAUCUUCUAUGACAGCCUGGCUGCUGUGUGGAGAUUACUUGCUCAAGUUUUAUUUUUUAUUCAAUUAUUUUCAGUUUAAAUAAUUGAAAAAGGGUUAAAUACUAAUUAAACUUAAAGGCCAUGAUUGCUCAUUGAUAGAGUCUUAGAUAAGUAUAUCCAUUCAUACGUCUAGGUGGAAAUCACGUUAACCUUAUGCCCUAAUAAACAAUAAACAACUUGUUAUCUUUAUAAGACUUUUAUAUUUUUAUUUUUAUAUAUUUCAUAAUUUUAUAUUGCCCACUACACCAAAUUGAUUGGUAGUUAAAAUAUCUCUCUCAAACAUUUGGAUUGGACCUCAGAUAUAAAUCAUUAAUGGCACCCUUGAGCCCAGUAAAAAAUAAAUUAGGUACAAAUAAACCUGAUUAGUCUUACUGUAAUGCAUUAAUUUAAUACUUCAAUAUCUAUUUCUUUAUUUAUUAUUAUUUUUCAAAAACCUCAUUGACGAGAUGAAUAGUACCUUCAAAAUUAAAAAAGCAUUGUUGAUAUUUGUGAGCCGGCUUAGAUUAUUAUUUUUAUAAAUAAAUUUUAACAAAUAAAAAAAACUCUUACGAGCACAUAUGACUUCUAUUUUAAUCUGGUGUUAUAAUUUAACAUUCUUUUAUGCUCAAAAAUAAAUUGAGCAUGUGGAAAUUGAUACAUAGCCCCUCAUACUUUUUAUUAUUAUUAUUUAAAAAAGAUUGUGAUCAAACAAUUAAAAAUUUAGAUUCCUACAAUGAAUAAUUUUCACCGCUAAAGGGUUUUCCUUUGUCACAAAAAGCUUAUAUGAUAGAUUUAUGAUAAAAUUAAUCAUGUGAUUGAUAGCUUCGUCACAAACUUUUUGCAAUAAAACUUGUGUCUAUCGCUACUAUGUCGACGAACUUUGUGAUUGCACUGCUAAAUCAACGGCAAAAUUUCUUCAUUGCAAAAAUUUCUUCAUUGCAAAAUGGUAUGUAUUGUUACUCUCAAACUCUUAUUAAGUAUGAAGUUUAUAAGAUCUAUUAUCGUGUUAAUGGCUUAAAAAAGCCUUUCAUUAAAAAAAAAAAUAUAAGUUACAAAUUAUCUUAUUGCAAAAUGGUGAUGUUUGUUUCACUUUGAUAUUUUGACUCUACAUAAAUUUUAGGACCAUGUAUUAUUAUGGGUCAUCUUAAGCAAAUUUAAUUUUUAUAAUUUUAUAUAUUUUACAAGAAUUAUUUUACAGAUGAGUCUUAAUAGGCUAUGUUAUCUAUAAAAGAGAUACAAAUCUAAAAUGAUAGUGCGCUAUACAUAUUGAAAGAUUCUUCUUCAAAUUCAAGUGAUCUAUCGCUCACACGAUGUAAGAGUGUCCUUAAUUGAUAGAAGAGUACUUUUGUUAAAUUAUUUAUGUAAUGAUGUUCAUUUUAUUUUUUUAUAUAUAUUAAAAAAUAUAAUUUUUUAAUUAUAUUAAAAUAUUUAGAAAUUUUUUUAAAAAUAAAAUAAAAUAAAAUUAAAUACAAUUAUAAUAAUCAAUUUAUAUACUUUUAUAGUUUAGAAAAAAUAAAUAAUAAUUUUAAAAUAAUAAAAAAAAAGAUAAAAAUUUAUAGAGCAGUAUUUUAUUGUAAUAUUUUAAAAGCCUUGGGUCUAGGUCGGUCUUUAUUUUGUUUUAUUUUAUGGGUCUUGGUCUAUAUAUUAUAAAACGUUAAUUCUAGAAGGCUUAAUAAUCAAUAAUUCAACGUGCUUUUAUCUCAUUGGAUAGAUAUUAUUGAUUAAUUAGAUGGUCAUCACCUAAUAAUUAUCUCAGCUCCACAAUACGGCUUCAACCUCAAUAUCUUUCACACUUGUAAGCUCUACAAAUAUAUUAAUAUUAAUAUUUUUUAUAAUGUUUAUAUAUUAAUAUUUAAUAGAUUUUAUUAUUAAUAUUUAAAUAAAAAUUAUUGGUGUUACAUAAUUUCAAGUUAUAAAAUUAAUAUUAUAUUGCGAUUAAAUACAUCAAAAUAAUUCAAUUCUAAAAUUAAUUUAAUUAUAUUGUAUAUAUUUAUUUAAUAAUAAAUUUUUUUAUUAUUUUAAUAAAUUAAUAUAGUAAUAUUGUGAUUAAAUAAUAUUAGCAAUCUUAUACGCCUUUAAUCACAUAAUAAUAUUAUUGUAUAAUUUUAUUAGGAUCAAUUAUAAAUUUAUUAAUAUGUAGUUAUUAUAUUAUAUAAAAAUAUUUUAAUAUAUAAAAGUCUUAUAAAAGAGUACUAAUCAAGUAUAGAAGGAAAAUAGUUUUAAAGGGCUGCUUUGAUUAUAUUCGAGUAAAAUUGUACAGUUAAAUAUUUAACAGGUGAUAUUGGUCAAUUUUAUAUGAAUUUAUUAUAUUAAUAAUGAAAUUAUAUUUAUUAUGUAUGUAAAAGAGUUAUAUUAAAUAAUUAUUUUAAUAUGUACAUAUAUAAAUAAUAAUUUUAUUUGAUUAAAAAUAAAAUGAUCAUAAAAUUGAAAAUUUAUUGUGUUUUUUUUGAAAAAUUAUAAUUUUAUUUUACAGAGGGCAUUAAAACCACAAGCAUUCCUAGAUAACCACAAGCAUUCCUAGAUAGCCACAAACACCAUAUUAUAGCAUAAAAGAGAGAGCACCAAAAUUUUCUUUGAAAACUUCCAUGGCAAAGAGAGUUCCAUUCCUCCAUUAAAGAAGCUACGGAGGAGGGAAGGCAAAACUGAAUAUUCCACCAUCAGAAAAACUAAUUUCAUAUAUCAUAUGCAAAGCCACAAAUGAAGAAAGAUGUGUGAGACAAUUUCAAUUAUGGCAUGAAAUUAAGAGUAGUUGUUGAUUCCAAUUUAUUAAACUCUUUUUCAUGUUUCAAAAGGUAGGGAUUAUUUUUAAAUAAAAUCUCCUGAUUUAUUCUUUGACGGGUGUCAUUUAAAAUUUACUUUUCUUUUCUUUGAAUUUGUAGAUAGAGUAAGUGAGUAUUGAUUCCACAGAGAACUAAAUUUGAAAUAGAAGAGUAAUUUAAUACAAAAAGUGAGAAGUGGUUUUGCUUUGGGUAAGCAAAGAAAAAUAAACUUAAAAGAAAAAUAAUAAAUAAUAAAUAAUGUAAUUUAAUUAAUUAAAACUUUCAGCUAAAAGUAAUCAAAUUGCGGUGUUUUGCAGUUGAUCAUUGAUUAGAAAAAACAUAAUUAUAUUAUUAUUUAUUGUUUGGUUAUAGUGAUUAAACACGCGAAUUCCACCAAUUUUUUAUUAUGAAUAAAUUAAUCAGUUUCGCGUUUAAAUUAAUUUCUAGUUAACUAGCAAACUCCAACACGCGCGUGUAAGAACCUAAACUUGAUCAAUAAAAACACACGUUUUAUUUAAAUCAAAUCUACUAAUUCCUUAACAUAAGCUAAUAUGUUAAUUGCUACUUGUUAUUAACCCAGUUAAAUAAUUAUGGAUUUAAUUGCAUUAAUUAGUAAUAUGUUGUCUUUCGAAGAAAUUCAAUACCCUUUGAAUUCUCAAGAAAACAACAAUGGAUAUGGUGUUCCUCAAAUUCAAAAAUUAACAGAAAAUAGAAAUAAGAUAAAAAUAAUUGAAAUACAUAACCUCACAACUUGAAUAAAAUUUCAAUUUAAAACUGAAAAUAAUUGUUUAGCCUCUAAAGGUUAUAAUAAAAUUGCAACAACUAGGAAAAAAAAAAAGAAAAAAAAAAUUAGAUGAAGAAGAAAAUAGGGGAGGCAGCAAGAGAGGAAAGGAAGAAGAGAGGGAAAAAAUAUAUGAUGUCCCUAGGUUUAAUGCUAGGAGCCUUUAUAUAGGCACAAAAAGAUAAAACUUAAUAGUUUAAAAUAAAAUCUACUACUCCUAUAUUAUUUCUAUUUUAUUUUAUCUUUAUUUUAAUUUGAUUCACUUUGAUUUAACUUGAUCUUAUUUGAAACUGAUCUUAUCCUUAUUCAGGUGGCAAAAUCUAUCUUAUUCCCAUCGCCUUGGGUUACAGGUUUGGCCAAGAUUGCAACCUCCCAGUAUAAAAAUAUUUUAAUUCAGUAUUUUUUCGUUUCUUUUCUCAACUUUUGCUCAAAAAUCUGUUUAAAAUUAAAUUUCAAGUAAAAUUAAAUAUUUAUAUCAAAAUUAUGGAAUUAACAAAGGAAAAAGUUGUGAGUUUUGCAACUCAUCAUUCUUACUAUAAAAAGAAUACUAAUUCACUUAAAAUAUUCUUUUUAGCUUUGAUGGAAACCUAUAAUUAAUAUUAGAGUUAUUGAUAAAGGAUUAUUUAGACUUUGUCAGAAAUUUUAAUCAAUAUUGCGUGACUAAGACGAUAUAAGAGAAAGGCUAGAAGCCGAAAAAAUCUUAUUGAAAUUCUUUAAAAAUUGAAAAGUGAGACUCUAGUAGUUAAGUAAGACUAUUUAUAAUAGAAAAAAAACUCUAAUAUGUAAAAUUAUAAAAAUAUCUAAAAAAUUAAUUAAAAUGUAAAAUUAACCCCUAAACGAUGGAAUUUCUAUAUCGAACUAUGUGACAGACUUGCGGCCCUCAUCACACUUUUAAAAGUCGUGCGCCUCGAAAUUCUCUUUUCGAAAAGUUAUUGUGAGUCUCUAUCGGAUGUCGACAGUAAAAAUUAAGACCGGUAUAGGUCUGUCGUAAAAUUCAAGACUAGUUACUCCGUAUCAGUUAUGACAACUAAUAAAGAACAUAUUAAAAACUUGAAAGCUAGACUUGGUGAACCCCAAUCCCAUUUUAGUUGAAUCGAGAACGGUGUGAAUGAAAAGUUGCAACAUAUGGAAUCUGCCGUCGGCAGAAUUUCUAAACUCAUAAUCUCCAAUCGCUAUUUGUUGGCAACAAUUUGGAGACACCAGCCACUUCUCCCAUUCAACUUAUGAACACGUACAGAGAAGAGUGAUGAUAUCAAUAUGAGGAGAGCAGACACUUGUUUGCUUCAAAGCUCACUAAAUUAGAAUUCCCUCAAUUCAAUGAUAAUGAUUCUACUGGAUGGUUUGCAAAAAUUGAAAAAUUCUUUGAUUACCAAGAUACUCUAGACGAACAAAAGGUUCCUCGGAUCAUGCCAUAUAACGAAAUAUGAACACGCCUACAUAGGCAACAUGGGACGUGAGCACACUUACAUAUAGAACGUGAGUGGCCCAUGUAACGUGAAGAAGAACGUGGCCUUAUUUGUUGAUAUGCUUGCCUCACCUACAAUCAGGCCAAAUUAUUAUCUAUUUUUAAUAUUGUUAUUUCUUCUUCACCUAGCUAUGAAGUUAGAAGUAGUUAUGGAUUCUAAUUUGUAUUUAAACUCUUUUUCAUUUAUGAAAAAAAGCAUGCAUUAUUCUGAACAAAAAUUCAUGGUUUAUUCUUACCAUGAACGGAAUAUUAGUUCACUUAAAAUAUUCUCUUUAGUUUUGAUUGGAACCCAUUAUCCAAGGCUCUUCAGUUUUUGCAUUGAACUGAAAUUAUUUACAUCUGAUGCUGGACCUUGGGAAAAUUGGGUAUGCAUUUGAAUCUGGUGUAUCCCAUACUCCACUAUUGUGAAUUAUUAUAUAUCCAUUCAUACGUCUAGGUGGAAAUGACGUUAACCUUAUGCCCUAAUAAACAAUAAACAACUUGUCAUCUUUAUAAGACUUUUAUAUUUUUAUUUUUAUAUAUUUCAUAAUUUUAUAUUGCCCACUACACCAAAUUGAUUGGUAGUUAAAAUAUCUCUCUCAAACAUUUGGAUUGGACCUCAGAUAUAAAUCAUUAAUGGCACCCUUGAGCCCAGUAAAAAAUAAAUUAGGUACAAAUAAACAGUGACGGAGCCAGGAGCUUCCCUUUAGUAGGGCACCACUGGCUUAGCGCGACAUUAAUAAUUUAUCAAAAUUUUAGCAAAACAUCCCUAAAAUAUGGAUAUUUUCCAAAUGAUUAUUUCCAGCCGCCUUUCUUCUUCUUCAUCCUCCAAACCAAAACGCUGCAACUGCACUGCUGCGGCACCUUCAUCCCCUUUUAAAGUAUUUUCCGGUCGCCGGUAUGGCACGUGCCCCUUGCCGUACCGUCCCUCCGCCCCUGCAAAUAAACCUUAUUAGUCUUACUGUAAGUGCAUUAAUUUAAUACUUCAAUAUCUAUUUCUUUAUUUAUUAUUAUUUUUCAAAAACCUCAGAUAUAGGACCUUCAAAAUUAAAAAAGCAUUGUUGAUAUUUGUCAGCCGGCUUAGAUUAUUAUUUUUAUAAACAAAUUUUAACAAAUAAAAAAAAACUCUUACGAGGGCAUAUGACUUCUAUUUUAAUCUGGUGUUAUAAUUUAACAUCCUUUUAUGCUCAAAAAUAAAUUAAAAAAAAAAAAGGGAAAACGACGGCCCCAACGCUAAAGUUACCUACUGUCUUCCUUCAUCCUUUCUACAUCUCCCUCUCUAUCUCUGACCAUACACAUUCACACACUAUAGAAACUGUGUUAUAUAUCUACUCGCAACAAACUUAUGGUAGUGGUUGCAUAAGGAGAAAAACAAUAGGAAAGAAAAUUAUAGAGAAGAAAAAAAAGGAUAAAAGAAGAGGGAAAGGAUGAUUAGAGAAGUGAGAGAAAAUGAAAUAGAUAAUUAGAGAAGGAAAUAAAUGUAUAGAAAAUAAUAGAAAAUGAUGAGUUACAAAAUUCACCAUUUUUUCUUAUUAAAUUUUAUGAUUUUGAUAUAAAUAACUAAUUUUUAUUUAAAAUUUAAUUUUAAACAGAUUUUUAAGCGAAAGUUAAGAUAAAAAAUAAAAAAAAGGCUAAAUUGAAAGAUUUCCAGACGGAAAGUUAUAGCUACAAACUUGUACUCCAAGGCGAUAGACAGCUCUAGAUUUUAAAAAUUAUUAUCUCAACCUGAUCAAGAAAUGGCAUAAAAUGAGAAAAAAUUAAAACAAUAGAAAAAAAAGUUAUAGGAAAGAAAAAAGGAUGAAAGGAGAGGGGAAGGAUGAUCAGAGAAGUGAGAGAAAAUGAAACAAAUAAUUAGAUAAGGAAAUAAAUGAAGAGAAAAUAAUAGAAAAUGAUGAGUCGGAAAACUAACCACUUUUUUCUUAUUAAAUUUCAUUAUUUUCAUAUCAUUUUGAUAUAUAUAAUUAAUUUUUAUUGAAAAUUUGAUUUUGAAUAUGUUUUUGAGCGGAAAUUAAGAGAACAAAUGAAAAGAGUUUGAAUUGGAAGAUUUUCGAACUGGAAGGUUAUAGCCUUGAGUAAGCUUGUAAUCCAAAGUAAUGGAUAAUUCUAAAUUUCAAAAAUUGCCACCUCAGCUUAAUUUUUCCACCUAAGCAUAGGAUAAAAUCAGUUUCAAAUUGAAUAAGCACAAUAGAUUAGAAUAGGGGUAAGAUAUGAAUAAUAUAAUUUAUUUUAAAUUAUUAAAUUUUAUCUUUUGUCGAGGAAAAACCAAUAUAAAGUUUUCCCAAGAGUUAAACCUACAUCAUGUUCUUUUAUUCUUUUCCUCCUCUUCUCUCUAAGUCGCCGCCGCCCUUUCUUCUUCUCCUUCUUCUUUUUUCUUUUCCUUUUCUUUUUCUUUAGAUUUUUGCAAUUUUAUUAUAGCAUUUCAAGGCUAAACACUCUCUUUUCAAUUGAAGGUUAAUCCAAAUUGAAAUUUUAUUCAAGUUAUGAGAUUAUAUGCUUUAAUUCUCUUCAUUUUAUUUAUAUUUUAUGUUAAUUUCUAAUUUUAAGAAACACCAUCUCCAUUUUGUUUUCUUAAAAAUUCAAGAGGCCUAUUAAAUCUAUUGAGAAUAUAACAUAUUGCUAUUAAUCCAAUUAAAUUCGUAAUUGUUUAAUUGGGUUAACAACAACUAGCAAUUAACAUAUUAGUUUAUAUUAAGAAAUUAGUAGAUUUAAUUUAAAUAAAUAGCGUGUUUUUAUUGAUAAAGUUUGGAUUUUCUCUCUUAAUACAGUUGACUAAUUAAAUCUAUAGCGUGUUGUAAUUUAAUCAUAACUUAAUUAUAAAGAAAAAUUGGUAGGAUUCACGUAUUUGACCACCGUAACCAAACAUUAGAUAAUAAAAUGAAUUAUUUUUCUAAUAAAUGAUUACGGUUAAACUCCUCAAUUUGAUUGCUUUCAAGAUCUCAAUCUGCAUUGCUUGUUUUUCUUUUAAGUAUUUUUUAUUUGUCCAAAACAAAAAUCAAUUUCAUCAAAAACUCUCUUAUUUUUUACUUUUUUUAAUUAAAUUAAUAUUUUAUUUCAAUUAGUCAUUUAAAUUAAAUAAAAUUAAGUUCUCUAUUUGAUUGAUACUCAUUUACUUUAUCUAUAAGUUUUUAUUAAAUCAAGGAAAUGAAAGUACAUUUUAAUUGAUGGAUAUCCGUAAAAAAAUGAUAGAAGAAGACAAAAUUGGAGGAACCAAAUUGAAUAAAAAUUAUAUAUAAAAAAAGAGUUUGGAAAGGAAAGAAAAAUGAUGAAAAAAAAAUGAAAAAGGUGAAAUUAAUAGAAAGAAAAAUUAUAGAGCAAAAUGAAGAAAAUAAGAAAAGAGGGGAGAGCUAGAGGAAAAGAAAAAUAAAAAAAAUGAUAAAAAAUAAGAGAAAAAAAUUAUGGGUAAGAAAGUCAAAAUAAAAAUAAAAAAAAAAAGAAAAAAGACAAAGAAAAUAGAAGAAUGAAAAAUGAUAAAUGAAUGGAUGACAAAAGGAGAAUACUGUCUUAAUAUUUAUAAAUAUAAAUUACUAAUGAAUUUAGUAAUGUAUUCUAAAUUUUUUAGAAAAAAUGUGAUUUUUUUUUCUUUAAACCAACAUAUUUAAAAUUUGUUAGUAAAUUUAUUAAUAAAUGAAAAAUAAUAAAUUUUAAAAAGAUAAAAUAUAAAUUUUAUGUAAAAUUUUAUUUUAAAUUUAUCAGGAAAAUUUUUUAUUUAUUAGUGAUAAUAAAAAUUAAUAAUAGGUUUCAAAAUUUAAUUUUAAUUUAUUAGUAAAUUACUAAUAGAUUUAAAAUCUAUUAAUAAUUUCAAUAGUUUUCCAAAUGCAUCAAUAAAUUAAAAUCUAUUAAUAAAUUAUAACAUAUUUAUUAAUUAAUUUUAAGUUAAUUAUUAAAUUUUAACACCAAUUAUUUUAUAUUUAUAAAUUAUCAACAUAUUCUAAUUAAAAUCUAUUAAAUAAGAUUAACAAAUUUAAAUUUUACACAAAAUUUUUAUAUUAAAAAUUAUUAAUUAAUUUUAAAAUCGAUUAGUAAAUUCGUUAAUAUAAUUAUCGGAUGAAAAUAGACCGAGUAACUCAACAGAUUUUUUAAGGAAAAUAUGACGAAACUUAUUACAGAAUUUUUAGGCAAUCGAUUGCCUACUUAGGCGACGUAAGAGCGCUCUUUCAGACAAUCGAUUGCCCACUUAGGCGACGUAAGAGCGUCUUCUCAGACAAUUAAUUGCCCACUUAGACGACGUAAGAGUACCAUUUUAGACAAUUAAUUGCCCAUUUAGGCGACGUAAGAGCUCCUUUAGAUAAUAUAAGAGCACCCCUUAGGCAACGUAAGAACGUUCUUUCAAAAAAUCAAUUGCCCACUUAGACGAUGUAAUAGCGCCCUUUCAGAUAUCAAUUGCUCACUUAAGCUACAUAAGAGCGCACUUAGACGAUGUAAGAGUGCCCUUUUAGGCAAUCAAUUGCCCACUUAAGCGGUAUAAGAGCGUCAUUAGGCGACAUAAGAGCGCCCUCCAGGUGAUAUAAGAACCCCUUCAAGUAAUCAAUUGCUCAUUUAGGUGACGAAAGAGCGCCCUUUCAGGCAAUUAAUUGCUCCCCUUAAGCAAUUUUUACUCCCUCAUCAACAACCGAUUGCCAUGCAGUUUGUUAUGAUGGCAUCAUAGUACCAAAUCUCAUCAAUGCAAGUUGUUAAAGCAGACGGGAAUAUAAGUCAAGUAACAUUUAUUUAAACAUACAAGUUCAUCUAUUAAAACACUUAUAUUUUAGUUAUAUAUUGGUAACUUUAGUCUUCUCAUCUAGAUUAAAAUACACUCAUAAAACAUCAUUAGCACAAAACAAGUAACAAAGAAACUAAAGCCUCCAAAGUCAAAAUACAAGGCGACAAGUUCGUCAAGGGAAAAGUCAAGGCAAUCACCAAAGUGAUAUGUUGCCAAAUUCCCGUAAGGAGGCAAGUUCGUCAAAGAGAAUAAUCUAGUAUCGAACCUAAAGAUUCGACCAUUGUAGGAGGGACUACCGAUAUAGUUAUAUCUCUAUAACAAAAUACAAAAUAAUAUUAAUAAAAUAGAGUCUAAGGGAGAAGAAAGAAAAACUCUAAUAGAGGAAAGCAAGCUCAAUCUUUUAAACCAAUUGCCCCUCUUUCCAUGAAACACCCUUUUUCUCUCUUAUUAUAGAGAAUGAUUGUUGAAAAAUGAGUUGUAGGAGACUUUUAAGGUGACUCCCCUUGUGAAUGAGAAAAAAUGGAAUUUUUAUAGUGUUUUGAUGUUUAACUUAGGGUUUUGGAGUUAAAAUAAGAAGAAAAUGAUAUCUUUAUAGUGUCUCAGGACUAGGCCGUGCGUGUAAGGAGUCUUUCUCUCAACCUAGCGGUGAGAACCACUGUCCAUUUAGGGACAAAAGUAUGUCUCACGAUCAGACCGUGAGAUAUUUUGACCUCAUUCUUCUAUUCAUUGCUCCUCAUAGCCUGUUUGUGAAUUUUUGUUGAUUUUCAUGGCCUAGUCAUGAGAAGUCUUAUCUCUUGAUCUCCAAAAUCUUCAAAAUAAACUCCAAUUUUAUUUAGAAAUAAAGAAAAUUAAUAAAAGUUAGAUAUUUGAAAAUUAAUAUCUAUCAAAUAAAAAUUGUAUAAAAAACAUAAGAAAUAACUAUAGAAUUGUAUUUAAAUGUGGUAAAAAUAAAUAUAAAAAUUAUUAUAUUAAAAAAGUGAAAUAUUAGUUAACUUAAAAUAUAUAUUUUUUAAUUUUGAUUGCCUAGGUUCUUCAGUUUUUGCAUUCAACUGAAUUUAUUUGCAUCUGGGUAUGGAUCUGAAAUUUGUUGUGGACAAGAUAUACAUAUACACACAUAUAAAUAUGGUUACAACAAUGGAGAAUGAUAUUGUAGCAAUGGGAGAUUGAACUGGUAGCACAAUUAUUGGCUUCCAUUAAUACAAUUAGACCAUAUACUGAGAGAAAUCAUCAUCUCAUUUAGAAAGUUUAAUUAAUGUUACAGAUUCUCUUUAUCAAUUAUAAAAAAAUCUGAACGAAUUAAAUAAAACAUUUGUUAGUAUGUAAAUUAAAGAAUGGAUAAUUAAAAAAUCAUAAUCAUAUGAAUUAGGUUCGCCUUCCACAUCGUCGAAAAAAAAAGUCACAAUCAUUGAAAAAAAAAGUUAAUAGUAUUUGAAUUCAAAGGCCACGAUGGUUCAUUGAUAAAAGUCAUUAGCGUAAGUGUAUACAUUCAUAUUCUAGGUGAAAAUCAAGCCAAUAUUCUCCAUUACCUUAAUAAACAAUAAGCAACUUGCUAGUGUUAUAAGAUUUAAUAUUUAAUUUUAAUAAACAAUAAAGUAUUUGAAUUCGAACAUUUCUCUCCAAACCUUGAGUUGAACCUUAAUAAUUUUUUAAACAAAUUUUAACAUGCAGAAAAUAACAGUUUUUAUAGGACUAGUUAUUAUUAAUAUAUUAAAAUAAUUAAUAUUUUUGAGCUAUUAAUAAAAAUUAUAUCUAUUUUCAGACUUCAUUUAAUCUGAUGGUAAAUUCAUUUAAGUAAAUUUAAGAGAUUUCAGAUUCUAUUCCUCUAAUUCUUAUUUAAAAAAAAAAAAUUAUAUCAGAUAUGUGAUUUGUUUUUGAGCUAUUAAUAAAACCCGCAUGCUGCGCAUUAAUAAAAAGAAACUCAUUAAUAAAUUUAUAUGCAUUGCACAAAAUGACAUUGACUGGAGCUGGACACCACAUGCUGCCUAUUCUACGCUCAACGUCAACAUUAUAUAUAUAUAUAUAUAUAUAUUUUAAAGGAUAACGAAGGUCUGAAUGCUAAAGUUACCUACUGUCUUCCAUCAUCCUUCCUACAUCUCCUUCUCUAUCUCUGAUCUUUCACAUUCACACUUUAAUAUAAGAACUGUAUUAUAUAUAUACUUGCAAGAAAUCAUUGGUUGUGGUUGAAUAAGUCUGCAACUUCUGAUGGCUUCACGGUGGGAAGAUCGCCGGAAUGAAACUGGAGGUACUAAUCGUUCUAGCUAAAACUGUUUAAUGAGUUCAAAUAGUAAUAUUGUUAUGGAACUUUCAUUUCAUGUAACUUAUUGAAGCAUGUUGUUUAUUGUAUGGUCACUAAGCACAGAUCCGAAUGAGUCUGAUCCAUUUCCUGAGAAGAGUCCAAGUCAUGCUUAUGCAUCUGAUAAUUCUAAGGUUAUUGGGCCAAAAUCAUAUUCAUACAGUGAAUUAGCACAGGCAACUGGUCAUUUUUCGCUCAAUUACCAAAUUGGUCAAGGUGGUUUUGGUCAAGUUUUUAAGGCAUCCUUAAAUGGUAAGAUCCGUGCUAUCAAGAAACUCAAUAAUUUUGUAGAUGUACAGCCCGAAGGAAAGUUGGAGAACGAGAUUAAGGUCGUUAAUAGAGUCAGUCACAAAAAUCUUGUUAAGCUAGCUGGUUACUGCAUUGAUGGAGCCAACAGAUUGCUUAUUUUAAAGUAUUUUUCCAAUGGGUCCUUGAGAUCUAAAUUACAUGGUGAGUCCCACACCUUUAUUUUAUGUUCAUAUGACUAAUUAAUAUAACAUAAUUAAUCUUAUAAAUUAUAAAUGGUAUUGUAGGAAAUGAAAAUGUUUUGGACUGGAAAAAGAGAAUGAAAAUCGCCAUAGGUUCUGCAAAAGGAUUGCAAUAUUUACAUGAAGACUGUGAGUAUAUAUUAAUAGAAUAUAUUCGUUCUUAGUAGGCUUUUAGGCUUUUUUAGAAUGAAUUUUAAUUUUUUUCUUUAUUUGUGCUAAUAAUUUAUUUCCUCUCAAAGUUUUGUUCUCCUUUUUUAUAUAUAUAUUUUUUCAGGUGAACCUAAAAUCAUACAUUUAGAUGUUAAGGCAGAUAAUAUUCUUCUUGAUGAUAACUUUGAACCUAAGGUAUGUUAUAUAAUUUGAUAAUAAAUAAAAAAAAAAUUUUAUAUCAUCAUAUAAGUAUAGUGUAACCUUGAUCAUUGAAUACCAAAAUUUUUAUUUUUGAAUAAUAUUGAAAAAUAAUGUGAACCCAUUAAUUUGAUUGCUUAGGUUUCAGAUUUUGGACUUUCCCUAUUUUUUUCGGAUGCUGCUUCUCAUGUCUCAAGAUCAUCAAUUAGAGGAACCCAAAUGUAUGUAAGAUACAAAUUUCUUUCUAUCAUUUAAUAACUGUCUAUUGUUUUCAGUGCCAUCAUGAUAUCUUCUCUUAGAGCUCCUUAAUUUAAAGAUAUUAUUUUCUUAUAGGAAAUCUUAAUAUGAACAUUAAUUGUGAAGAUAUUAAGUUGAAUUGUAUGAUUGAAUUGCAGCUAUGCAGAUCCAUUGACAACCCAAUUGGGAAAGCACUCUGAUAAAUCUGAUGUUUAUUCUUUUGGUGUUACACUUUUGGAGUUGAUUAGUGGGAGAAAACCCAUAGAUCAAAAAGGCGUUAGUAUUGUUAUUUGGGUACGAAUCUAUUAAACUUUAACAAUUUAAUAUAAAAUUUGUGUUUUUAGCUUUGAUAUAAGAAUUGAUUUUUAAAAAAAAUGGAUAGAGAAAAUCACAAUUGGAUGUAUUAAGAUAAAAUAAUGAAACUUUCUCUCUAGCAACAUCUAAAAAAAGACAAAAACAUAUGCUAUAUGUUAAAUAUAAAUUUACACGCAACAUGUAUUUAUAUCCAUUAAUAAAUAAUUUUUAAUCAAUAUUUUGCAGGCAAACUCUUUAAUUGAAAAAGCUUUGAAAGGUGAAUAUGGGGAUUUUGUAGAUUCCAGGUUACAAUCCUUUGACCAACCCUUUGAUUACGAAGAAAUGCAUCGAAUUAUUUUUUGUGUUAAUGCUUGCAUAAAUCUACCUCUAGAAUCCCGUCCAUCAAUGAAAAGGGUAAAUUCUGUUCACAUAAUUUAAUUUUGAUAUAUAUAUAUAUAUAUAAAAUACAUGUUAUUUGCAAAAAAAUUUAUGGAAGCAUUUAGAGAUUACACAGUUGACUUGUAAAUCUUUUUAUCAUUGCUAUGCCAUGUAGGUAGCUCUAGCUCUUGAAGGAAUUCUGCCUCUGAAGAAUGACAACAAAUUGUACUCCGGAGUUUCAUAUAAAGGUCUGUUUUCUUAUAAAAAAUGGAAUAACUUUUGCAAAGUAUUAUUAUUUUUUUAGAAGACUUACUAUUUAGUAAAAUUUAUUAGUUAGUAUCUUAAUUUUAAAAAAUAUAUUAAAACUUUCAUGAGACAUUAAAAAGUCUACUAAUUAAUUUUAUCGUUAAUUUUAGUCAUUAAAUAUGAAAAAAAAAUCUAAAAUUAGAGACUAAUUAACUUAAUAUAUAUAAAAUUAAGAUAUCAAUUAAUAAAUUUUAUUGAUAUUAUAGAGACUAAAUAAUAAAAACACUUAAUAUUUAAAGUUAACAAAUGACUAAUUAGUAGAUUUUUUAAUAUUUUAAAAAUAUUUUAAUGAGUUUAAUGAAUUUCAUUAUUAUAUUUGAGGGACUAAAUAAUUAUUUUUUCUUCUCUUUAUAUAUAAAUUUAACUUAAUGAUAAAGUGAGAUCAUUUUAAUGUUAAAAAAACCCCUAAUAUUAGAACAAAAUUUGAUUUUUAUUUAAAUCUGAUUGGCAUAUAAUUCCUUUAUUUAAAAGGAGAUGGAAUGAUAUGAACUUAAUUCAUCUUUUUUUUGAAAAAAAAAAAAAAAAAGUAUCCACCUCUGUUCAUGUAUUUAUAAUUUCUCCCUGUUGAGUUGCACUAAUUUACCCUUCUUUUUCCGGAAGCAGAUAAGCCUAAGCCAAGCCCCAAGCCUUCGUUCAUUCCAGAAACUAAUAGAUCAUCAAAUCAAGUUUACAAACCAAGGAGAUUUACUUAUAAACAACUAAUAAAUAUAACUUAAUGAUAAAGUUGGAUCAUCUUAAUGUUAAAAAAAUCCUAAUAUUGGAAUAAUUUUUAAUUUAUUUAAAUGACAUAUAAUCCUUUAUUUAAAAGGAGGAAGGGAUUUAAUUAAUUCACCUUUUUGUAAAAAAAAUAUAUCCACCUCUGUUCAUGUACUUGAUCCUUUUUUUUUUUUUUCCUGAAGCAGAUGAGGUUAAGCCAAGCCUCAAGCCUCCUAUCAAUCAAGAAACUAAUAAGCCAAGCUCCAAGCCUCCUGUCAUUCAAGAAACUAAUCAAAUCGUUGUACGGAAUGGUCGAAGCACCAGUCGACAACCAACAGAAGCAACUAGUAAUGGUUCCUCCAACAACAUUGGAGAAACUUCAUUUGAAGAGAAGACUCAAGUUUACAAACCGAGGAGAUUUACUUAUUUUGAACUAACAUCUGCGACUCGAGGUUUCGCUAAAAACAACCUUCUUAACGGGGGUCCUUUGGGUAAAGUUUAUAAGAGUAUCCUAAAUUAUGAUGAAACGGUGAUAGUGAAGAAACUCUAUAUAUACAUGUGUGAAGGGAAAGAAGAUGAAUUCAAGAAGAUUAAAGACAUCAGCACUAGUGUCCAUGAUAAAAAUGUUGUUAACCUGAUUGGAUACUGUGAUGAAGGAGACAAAAGGUUGCUCGUUUACGAGUAUUUUCCAGCCAAGUCCUCCUUGAGAUCUCAUUUAGAUGGUAAGCCCUUUAUCUUAAGCAACUCAUCAAUAAAUGUGUGUGUUACUAUAGGAUUUAUGGCUUUAUAAAGAUAAUGUUUAUUAAAUUUUGGAUCAGACCUAACUCAUUCCAAAAAUUAGUUCACUGAGAAGAGUGUCCAAAACCCAUAUAAGUGGCACAUUAUCCCUAUAUCUCAAAUCAUUAUCAGAUUCAACACAAUCUCCAUGUACAGGACUAAAUUGGGGAGUGAAAUAUUUAUGUAAGACUCAAUAUUGAAUGAGAAGACUAUAAACCAUGUUAAGUUUUGGGUAAGUCUAAUUCACCCCAAAAUCUAAUUCUGAAAAUCCUUAUAAGCGGCAUAUUACCUCUAUCCCAAACCAAUGUAGGAUUCAACAAUGUUAAAUGAAAAAUUCUUAUUUGAACCUGGACCUAGAACAUAGAAAAUUGGAUUUCAUUUAAUUUUUUUAUGGAGUAAUCCACUUACAUGUAUUUUUAGUCCAUAAUGAAUCGAGUCCGAAUACCGGCUUUACAUGUUAAAUGGAUACCUCCAACAGUCCUUAAAACAAAAAAAGUUGCAAACGUCAACGGCCAUUACUUCAUUCAAUGGCCCAUUUAAUAGCCAUAUCGAAAGAAGGGAUGAAGGCCAUCAGUUCCAAGUGUGAUGUGAAAAAAUUUCCCUUGAACCCGAGGUCACAGUGAGGUGAGCUGUUGGGAGCUAUGGGUAUUUUUUCCUCCAGAUUUAGAGUAGUUGCUUCAGUGGGAUGACUUAAACAUUGAGUAUGCGAGAGUAAGAUUUAUUAUUAGAAUACUUUAUUUAUGAGAUUUAGAGUGUUAUUUGAUUUAGUGAAAUGACUUAAAUACUGAUUAUAUGUGAGAGUAGUAUUUACUUUGGGGCAUUUUUUCUAAGGGAUUUAGAAGGUUGUUUAUUGCAUUAGGGUGACUUAAAUAGUGGGUAUGUGGGAGUGGUAUUUUCUAUCUGAGAUUGAAAAGAGUGUUCCUUUAGUGAAAGUUGCUUAAACACUUAGUGGUAAUAACAUGAGUCUUCAUAUUUAUAUGAGAGGAAUAUACAAAUAUUAUGGAAAAUAUUAUAGGAAUUACUCAAAUAAUUAUUAUAAUAUUUGUACAUAAUAUUAUUCGCAUAUAGUGAAAAAGUAUUUUAUUGCUAUCUAUAAACGUAGGCUGGCAUUCAGCUAGUCGAACCAAAUUAAAAUUUUGUAUUUUUUAUUUUUUUUACGAUUUCUAGAAAUAAUCCCUAAUUUUUUCCGAACGGAUAAUAUGGCAGGGAAUGGCAGUUUGGAUUGGCCAACCAGAAUGGAGAUCGCUAUACGCAUCGGAAGAGGAUUGGUAAAUCUGCAUGACUUAUGUGAGUCUUCGCUUGUAUGCUUAGGCCUUGGCUAUAUCAAAGCUUGAUUUUUCCAGAUUUUCUCCCUUAAUAUUUGUGAUCUCUAUAUUUCUCAGACAAGCCCUGGAAUAUAUACGAGCAUUAUAAGGAUAAUAGCAUCUUUCUUGAUGAAAAUUUUCAACCAAAGGUGAUUAUAUAUAUGGCAGAUUUAAACAUUUUCGAAUGAUCAAUUAGUAUUAUGUAAAAAAUUUCUUAAGCUUAUUAUUCAAUAUGCAACUAUACUUAACUGUAAAUAUAUGGUGCAAUAAAUUUACUUUGAUUAUCAUUUUAAUCAGUUUGCAGAGUAUAAACGUGACAAAUUUUUCUCAAAAGAUUCUGGAAAUUCUAUUCCUAGAAGGUAAAGAUGAAACUUUUGUUUAUGUUUUCUCUUCGUCAUAUUGUUUGCUCAAGCUUAUAGAUACAUGAUCAAUUCUCCAACUGCAGUUCUAUGUCUUCAAGAUAUGUAAAGCUAGAUGUUUAUUUCUUUGGUGUAAUUCUUUUGGAGAUGAUUACUGGGAAAUUACCUGAUCUUCGUUCCUAUGAUUCCUUCAACUUAAUUGAAUGGGUACGUAUUAAUUUUUUUGUUUUAAUACAAAUGAAAAGAGCUUCUUGAUUUGAGUAUGUAAGGGUUUAUUUAUUUAUUAUUCUUAACGUUCAGGCUGUUCCUACAAUUCAAAAUGAUUGGCCCCAAGGCAACUAUAAGUUUGUUGAUGAAAAAUUGGGGAGAAACUUUGACGAGGAUGAAAUGGAUAGAAUGAUAGAAUGUACUUUAGCAUGUGUAGAGCGUUAUCCACAAAAUCGACCAGAAAUGAGCAAGGUAAUUUCAUAAAGCUUUACAUUCUAUUUUAUAUUAUGCAUAUAUACAUGUGAGUUCGUUUUUUAAACGAUUCAAUCGAUAUAUUUUAGUAUUUAGAUAAUAAUAUUUUUAUUACGAUCGUAAAAUUAUUAUCUUAAUGGCUAAGAUAAUAAUUUAAAAUUAUUAUAAAAAAAUUCAUUCGAUAAAAUUAUAAUUUUAAUUAAAAAAAUAAUUAAAUUAUUACUUUAUUUUUAACAACAAUGUAAAUAUAAUAGUUGUUAAACUGUUAUUAUUAAUUUAUAAUUAUUUUUAAAUAUAUAAAACAAUAAUUUAUAAUUAUUGUAUUAAAUUUAUUUUUCUAAUAGUAAUUAUAAUAAACUAAUAACAUUCAUGUGUUGGAAUCAUACUCUAAUUUUGGGAAGAAAAAAAAACUCAAUUGCUAAAAGUUAAAUUUUGUAAGAAUUAUUGAUGAAGUUAUUUUAUUCCAUUUAUUAGCAGAUCAGUACUCUUUUGUUUCCCUUUUUCUAAUUACUUUUCUCGGUAAAGCAGGUUGUUGAAGUUCUAGCAGGAAACAUUCCUCGGAAAAAUCUCAAGAAUUGAGAUGAAAUGUUUGAAAAAGAAAAUUAUUUUUUUCCUUUUCAAUAGAAGUUGGAAACUUCCUUGAAAGGCCGAUUGGACAUUGAAAUAAAAGAUAGACCUCAGUUGAAAUGGCAAAGGAGUGUAACUGGAAGACUUUCUGAAUUUUGCUUGUAUUGAUGUGUCUUGGAGACUAUUGCAAUUUAAAAAAAAAAAAAAAAGUUCCGUUUGAAAUAAAUCGAAUGUAAAAAAGUGAUUUAGCUUAGAGUAAUUUUUUUAAUUAACUCUUUUUAGUUAAUAAAAUUAAAAUUUUAGUUAUUAUGUUUCUAAAUAUACAAAUUAAAUUAAAUUCUUCUAAAUUUUUAGUUUUCAAACAGGAAAAUAAAAGGUUUUGGAAGGUUUGAAUCCAAAUAAGAACCUUGAGAGAAUUAUAUCACCACCGCCAAAUUGCUGGACUAUCUACAGUAGCAUUUCUUUUUCAAAACAAUUGAAAAUGAGGUUACUUCUUAUUAUUAAUUUAAUUCCAAUAACUUAUCAUAUUUGUCGUUAUUAUCCAUAUUAAACAAUGACCAAGAUUUUAAAAUGACUCUCUCUAAUUUAAUUCUAAUAUUAAAAAUGACCAAAUUUAUUAUCUAUAUUAAACAAUGACCCUAAGAUCAAACUAACAACUUUGUAGUUUCUUCAUUUAUUAAUAUGCAAGUGGGACAUAAAAAAAUCAUUAGUUAAUUAAUUUAGUACGUCCUAUUUUAUAAUACACUGACCAAUCUGAAAGCUGAUUGGCCCCCACAAAUGGAUUAAUUAAUAAUUCAACCUUCUUAAUUAAUGCCGCCUUCACUGACAGCCUGGGUACUGUUCAGAAACUAACAAUAUAGUAAUCUUAGAUUGCACCGACUCUGCAUAAUUUGUAUUUUUUUAAUACUCCCUACUUUGAAACUUUAAUUUUCGCUAUCAGUCCUCAUUCAAUCUAUUCGAUUUUAAAAAUUAAAUCCAUCGAAAAUUAAAAUUUAAAUAUUUUUAAAAAUUUUAUUUUAAAAAAAAAAUAUAUUUUUCAAAGUUAAAUUAAAUUAAUUUUAAUUAAAAAUUAAAUUAAAUUGAAUUCAUUUAAUUUAAUUUUAUUCAAUUCAAUUUCAUCAGUUAAAUUUUUAAUAAUUUUUAUUUUUUAUAUUUUAAAAUUUAAUUAAAUUAUUUUUAUUUUAAUAUAAUUUAAUAUAUUUAUAUUAUUAAAAAUAAUAUAUUAUUAUCCUUAAUCGGUUCAGUUUAAUUUUUUUUUAUUUUUUUUAUUAAAAUUAAACUGAAUUGAAAUAAUUAAAAUUUUUAAAAUUAAAAAUUAAAUCAAAUCAAAAUAAAUAAAAAAUUAAAUUAAUUAAUUUUUUCCAUUUAAGCUGCAUGCGAAUCACUAUCAUCUUUGCCAUGCUGUCAAAAUUAGAUAACAUAUGUUUUUAUUAAAAAAAUAUUAUGCCCAUGUAAAACAUAUAGGUUAAAUAUAUAUUUAUAUAUUUAUAUUUUAAUAUUAUAUACAAAACGAUACAAGAAUAUAUAUAUAUAUAUAUGACUGACUCUCUCUCUCCUUGGCUUUUCAUUUCCUACCUUGACUGACUCUCUCUCUCUCUCUCUCAUCGUAACCUUGUGGGCAGCCAUGGCUGGGUCUUACUUUCGCUGGUUCAAGAAUAACGAAGGAAACGCCAAUGACCAAAACAGAGGAGGUAUAUCUUUGCUUAUACUGUAAGAUAAAUCCAACUCUGUUGGAAUUUCUUACCUUCUAAUAUCUAUAUUAAUAUAUAAAAAUCCAAAUCACUGUAUCAUGAUCAUAUAUGAUUAGAUUUGUUUGUUAUGUUAUAGACCUAUUUUUCUUAUUUGAUUUAUCAAUUUUUGUUUUUCAGAUAUUAAUUAUUGACAAUAAAACUUAUAUUUAAAAAUAAAAAAAGAAAGCCCUUCUCAUUUGAUUCUCUUUUGUUUUCAAUUAUUAAAAACAGAGGAAAAUGCAAUUCCAGAACCAAGCAGAGGAGGUAUGUUACAAGUGAAUUGCUAAACAUCCUAUUUGAAAUUUCGAUUAUGUGUGAAAUUUAUAUUUGCCGUACUACAUCUUUUAGUUUCGUAAGGAAUUAUUGACUUAAAAGUAGACCUAGCUAGAUCUAUGGAACGGAAUAAAUGGAAAAUUGAAAUAUGAGUAUUUUAAUAAUCAAACCGAAUUGAUUUUAAUCAAAAAUUAAAUCAAAUCGAAUCGAUUUGAUUCAAUUUAAUUUAAUGAGUUUUAGUUUUUAAUAAAUUUUUUUAUUUUUUACGCCGUUUUUUAAUAUUUUAAAAUUUAAUUGAAAUAUUUUAAUCUAUAAUCUAAUCUCUUUAUAUUAUUAAAAAUAAUAUAUUAUUACCAUCAAUCAGUUCAGUUUGAUUAUUUUAAUUUUUUUUUUAUCAAAAUCAAACCGAAUUGAAAUAACUAAAAUUUUUAAAAUUAAAAUUCGAAUUGAAAUAAAUAAAAAAUUUAACUUAAUUUUUAAAUUAAUUCAGUUCGGUUAAUUUUUUCGAUUUGAAUUCAAUACUGCUCACUCUUAACCAGAUUUAUUCAAGCCGUGAAUUGAAUUGAAAUGAUCAAUUAAAUUCUAAGGUGACUCCCCCUUAUGAAUGAGAAAAAAUGGGAUUUUUAUAAUGUUUUGAUGUUUAACCUAGGGUUUUAGAGUCAAAAUAAGAGGAAAAUUAUAUUCUUAUAGUGUCUCACGACUAGGCCGUGCCUGAGGAGACUUUGUCUCGGCCCAGUUGAUCAAGUAUAAUUUAGCGACAUUUUUCUUAUUAUUAUUACUAUUUAAAUAUGUAUUUUCUUACCUUAAUUUAUAUUUUUACAAUAUUUUUGCAGAAAAGGAGAAAAAUGGAAACUUGGAGAAAAAUAGCUUGAAAUGCUAGAAAACUGAUUUGGCCGAAGCGAUUUGACCAAAUCAAGCCUCAAAGAAUGCCAAAGGCAGCUACAAGAAGAGGAAGCUAACCUACAAGACUUGAUAUGCCUAUGUUGAUUUGCCCGGAUCGUUGGCCAAAUCACCUUAAGAAAAGUUGAAACUGAAACCCGGAGGAAACACGCAGAAAUGAUUUGGGCGAGGGAUUUGCUCAAAUCACUGUCUAAAUCAACGGUCCUCAGCAAGAAAAUACAGAAGCACGGAAAAGCAAAAAUCCAAAGAUUCAAACGUCUUAGAGUCCUAUCCUACUUCAAAUACACCAAGACCAAUCCUAUGACACCACAUAAACUGCACCAAAAGGAGUCCUACACCAAAUGAGAUCUAUUCAUGCUAGAAUAUAAGAUAAAGAAGAAAUAAAAAAAAGACCAUCAAAGACCAAGUCUAAAUAAGAUUCCAACUCCAAGAAGGAUUAAGACUUCUCACCUAUAAAAAAGGGCAGCAACCAACAGCAAAAAAAUAUCAGAAUUUUGGGCAGAAGCUUCGACAACACCUCUCGCUCUCAUUUUCUUCUUCUUUUUCUCUUUUAUGUGUUCUUUAUCCACCAUGAGUGGCUAAAAACUUUUAUCUCUAGUUGAAGUUGGAGAAAUUUCAGUUUGUUAUGAAUUGGGAGAUUUGAAACUCCAUUGUUAAAACUUUUAUUUUUCAAGAUUUAUGCAACUUGUUCUUCAUGUCUAUUAUUGCCUUGCUAUUAGAAUCAAUAAGGGCCCAUUGCUUUUAAUUAUAGGUAAUAUAUUGUUAGUUUAAAUAAUUUAGGUCUGUAAUUGCUUAGAUUAUUUGAACACAAGUAACAAUUGGUUGCAUGAUCUAACUUAACCACGCGGUUGACAUUAGAAUUAGGUUUCUCUAUUUUUUAAUGCAGUUAACAGUUGAAAAGUGAAAAACUCUAAAGACGUUCCUUGGCAAUUUGUUAACUAGUGUUUGAUUAACGAACAUUUCCUAAUCAAAUUAAAACUAAUGAGGAAUUUGGUUGUGGGAAGCGUCUUCCACAACCUAAACUAAUUUAUUAAUAUAAAUAGAAGUAUCCAAGCGUCAAUGAUCAAUUCUAAACUGAAAUGGAUCAUAUACUUCAAUUAGAGUCUUUUUAUUAUUGAUUUACCCAUCUUUUAAUUAUUGCUCUCUUUACUACUUUAGUAUUAAUCUUAGAUCAUCAUCAUAAAAAACAACCCCCUUUAUUUUAUUUUUGUUAGUUGAUUUGCCCCGGUCAUUGUUAGGAAAGUCUUUAGUGUCAAAUCUCUGUGUUUCGAUCCUAUUGCCACUAUCUACAGUUCUUUUUGGUGAUUAUUAAUAGAUUUAUUUUUUACGAUUUCGACAACCGCUAUCACUAGUGGUGAAAACUACUGUCCAUUUAGGCAAAAAACAUGUCUCACGACAAGGUUGUGAGACAUUUUGACCUCAUUUUUUUUUUCUAUUCAUUGCUCCUCAUGGCCUAUUUGUGAAUUUUGGUUGGCCAUGAGAAGUUUUGACUUUUGAUCUCCAAAAUGUUCAAAAUCUUCAAAAUAAACUCCAAUUCUACUUUAGAAAUAAAAAAAAUUAAUAAAAGUUAGAUAUUUUAAAAUUAAUAUCUACCAAAUAAAAAUUAUAUAAAAAAUAAGUAUAGAAUUGUAUUUAAAUGUGGUAAAAAUAAAUAUAAAAAUUUAUUAUAUUAAUAAGUGAAAUAUUAGUUAACUUAAAAUAUGUAUUUUUUUUAAUUUUAAUUGGAACCUAUCAUCCUAGGUUCUUCAGUUUUUGCAUUCAACUGAAUUUAUUUGCAUCUGGGUAUGGAUCUGAAAUUUGCUGUGGAUAAGAUAUAUAUACACACACACGUAUAAAUAUGGUUAACAAUGGAGAAGGAUAUUGUAGCAAUGGGAGAUUGAACUGGUAGCACAAUUAUUGGCUUUCAUUAAUACAAUUAGAACAUAUAUAGACUGAGAGAAAUCAUCACCUCAUUUAGGAAGUUUAAUUAAUGUUACAGAUUCUCUUUAUCAAUUAUAACAAAACCUGAACGAAUUAAAUAAACCAUUUGUUAUUAUGUAAAUUAAAGAAUGAAUAAUUAAAAAAUCACAAUCAUAUGAAUUAGGUUCACCUUCCAGAUCGUUGACUUUUGAAAAAGGGUUAAAAUACUAAUUAAAUUUGAAGGCCAUGAUUGUUCAUGGAUAGAGUCUUAGCAUAAGUGUAUCCAUUCAUACGUCUAAGUGGAAAUCACGUUAACCUUAUGCCUUAAUAAACAAUACACAACUUGUUAUUUUUGUAAGACUUUUAUAUUUUUAUUUUAUUUUCAUUGUUGGCCACUACACGAAAUUGAUUGGUCAAUUAUUGAGUUAAAGUUAGAAUAAAGAGAAACUCAUUGAGCUAAAGUUACCUACUGUCUUCCUUCAUCCUUCCUACUUACUCUCUAUCUCUGACCAUUCCCAUUCACACUCUAUAAGAACUGUAUUAUAUUUAUACUUGCAACAAACCUCUGGUCGUGGUUGCAUAAGUCUGCAAGUUCCGAUGGCCUCUCGCUUGGGGAUGAACGGGGCAGAUCGCCGGAUGGAAACUAGAGGUAUUACUUGUUUUUAGCUGAAACUGUUGUACCAAAUAGUAAUAGUUCAUGGAGAUUUCAUUUCAUCUAACUCAUUGGGGCAUGUUGUCUAUUGAUUGUCACUGAGCACAGAUCCAAAUGAAUCUGGCUCAUCUCCUGAGAAGAGACCAAGUCAUACAUCUGCAUCUGUCAAUUAUAAUGAUAUUGGGCCAAAGCCAUAUUCAUACAGUGAAUUAGCAAGGGUAACUGGUCAUUUCUCGCUUAAUAACCUAAUUGGUCGAGGUGGUUUUGGUCAUGUUUUUAAGGCAGUCUUAGAUGGUGAGAUUCGUGCUAUCAAGAAACUUGAUUUUCUGGAUGUACAAUCUGAAGGAAGUUUGGAGAGGGAGAUUAUGGUCAUCAAAAGCAUCAGCCACAGAAACCUCGUUGAACUGGUUGGUUACUGUAUUGAUGGAGCCAAUAGAUUGCUCAUCUUAAAGUAUUUUCCAAAUGGAUCCUUGAGAUUUAAAUUACAUGGUGAGUCCCAUAUCCUUUCUUUUACUUUUAUGUUCAUCUAACUAAUCAAUAUGACAUAAUUAAUCUUACAAAUUAUAAAUGGUAUUAUAGGAAGUGAUAAUGUUUUGGACUGGGAGACAAGAAUGAAGAUCGCCAUAGGUUCUGCAAGAGGGUUAGAAUAUUUACAUGAAAAUUGUGAGUAUAUACUACUACAUAUUCUUAUAUGGCAGGAUUUUAGCUUUUGAGUGUAAAUUUAUUUAUUUAUUUUUAUUUAUGUUGAUAAUUUAUUUUCUCUCAAAAUUUUAUAUUCUUUUUUUUAUAUUUUUUUCAGGUAAACCUAAGAUUAUACAUUUAGAUAUUAAACCAGAUAAUAUUCUUCUCGACGAAAAUUUUGAACCUAAGGUGAGUUAAUUUUAUAAUUAAUAAAUAUUUUAUUUAUAUUACUGUUCUCUAACAAAAAAAAUAUCAUUAAAUACCAAAAUUUUAUUUUUAAACAGUAUUGAAAAAUUAUGUGAACUCAUUAAUUAUAUAAUUUGAUUGUUGUAAUUAAUUAAUAAAUUUUGGUUCUAACUUUUUGGUUUGGCCAUAUAUCUUAUAAAAAAAUUAAUAAAUCAAUCUUAGUAGGUUUCUUAUCUUUUUUUUUUCAUGAUUUAAAGUUUUCUUAAUAAACCUUAUUGAAGUAGGGAAAAUAGUGUAAUUUAUCAAAUUAAAAAAGUAAUAAACUUAUUAAUCUUCUCAAAUCAUUUGUUUAGAUAACAGAUUUUGGACUUGCUCAAUUUUUUACGGACGGUGCUACUCACAUAUCCAAAUCGUCAGUUAUGGGAACCCAUGUGUAAGAUAUAAAUUUCUUUUUUAUCAUUUAAUUGCAUCGCUAUUAUUGUUUAACUCUUUCGUUGCCAUUAUUAUCUACUCUUAGACUAGUUUAAAAAUAAAAUAAAAUUUAAAACAGACCAAAAAAAACCCACGAAAAGAAAUUAGGACUUGAAGAUCUUAGUUCGUUAAAGAAAAUUUUAACAUGAUUUUUUUUAGAAAUUUAUAAUUUAGUACCUCAAUAUUGCAAUUAUUAACAAGUCAGUUCUCGUAUUUUCAGAAAUCUAUUAAAAUGUCUUUAUUUCUGCUGUUAAAAAUAUAUCAAAAAACCAAAUUAUCUCCCUUCUUUUCCUCUUCCUUCUUCUUCAUUAAUUCUUCCUCCUCUUCUUCUUCUUUGGUUCUUCUAUUUCUUCUUCUUCGAUUUUUUUUUAUUCUUAUUCUUUAAAGAGGAGGAGACGAUUCUUCUUCUUCUUCUUCUUCUUCAUCAUCAUCAUCUUCUUCUCCUUCUUUUUCUUCUUCUUCUUCUUCUUCUUCUUUUUCUUCUUCUUUUUCUUCUCCUUCAUCAUCAUCUUCUUCUUUUUUUAUUCUUCUUUGAGGAGGAGGAGGAGGAGGAGGGACUAUUUUAUUGACGGAAAGAAACGAUAAAGACGUUUUAAUGGAUAUGAGAAAAGAUAAGAACGUUUUAAUAGAUUUCUAAAAAUAUAGGGACUAACUUGUUAAUAAUAACAAUAUCCAAGAACUAAAUAAGGGGUUUUAUUUGAAAGCAAAAUUGUAUUUUAAAAGUUUUUUCUCUCAUUCUUUAUCUAUUUUUAAUGGAAAAGAGGACGGAAUGACUAUUUCGUUGACGGAAGAACUAUUUCGUUAACAGAGAAAAAAGAUAAAGAAGUUUUAAUAGGUUUCUAAAAAUACAGAGAUUGACUUAUUAAUAAUAACAAUACUCAAAGACUAAAUAAUAAAUCUCUCUUUUUUUUUGGUAAGUACCUUAAUAUGAAAUUUAAUUGUGAUGAUUUUACUGCAGUUAUGAAGAUCCAUUUACAACAAAAAUGGGAAAAUACUCAGACAAAUCUGAUAUUUAUUCUUUUGGUGUUACACUUUUAGAGUUGAUCACCGGAAGAAAACCCAUAUAUAAUGGAAUUGACAUUAUUACUUGGGUAUGACUCUAUUUGCAUUAAAGAUUUUAUUUUAAACAUUCAAUUGAAAAAAAAAUAAAACUUUUGAAUUUAGAUAUUCUAUUUAGAUUUGAGUCUAAUGCAUUUAUUAUCCAUUAAUAAAUAAUUUUUUAAACAUUCAAUUGAAAAAAAUAAAACUUUUGAAUUUAGAUAUUCUAUUUAGAUUUGAGUCUAAUGCAUUUAUUAUCCAUUAAUAAAUAAUUUUUUAAUCAAUGUCUUUUAGGCAAAUCCUUUAAUUGAGAACGCCAUAGAUGGAAGAUAUGUGAAUUUGGUAGAUUCCAAAUUACAAUCCUUCGACCAGGAAGAGAUGCAUAGAAUGAUUUCUUGUAUUAAUUCUUGUCUAAAUCAAUUACCAAACUCUCGUCCAACAAUGGAAAAGGUAAAAUUUAUUCAUACAAUUAACUUAAUUUUAAUAUAUUCAAAACUAUAUAUAUAUAUUACACAUUAUAUAUUUUCAAUUAAUUUUAUGAAAGCAUAUAUCUCGAAAGAUUACAUAGUUAACUUGUAAACAGAUACGAUUAGUUCUUGAAGGAAAAUUACCUCCAGAGAAAUUAUACAAACACAAAUUGCAAUGGAGUAUUACACAUGAAGGUACAUAUUCUUUUAUAUUAAUUUAUUAUAAAUUAUAUGUAUAUUUAUUCGAAAGUUUGAUCUAAUUGAUGUCUAAAUUUUGAUUUAAUUUGUGUCUUAUCUUAAUAUCAAGAAACAAAUGUUGAUUUUCAACUGUAAAAAUAUAAUUUUUUUUUUUAAUUUGAAAUUUAUAACAAAUUAGUUUUUAACCAAAUCUAAUAGCAUAUUAAUGAAAUAUAAUUUUAACAAUGAUGAAACAUUUACCUUAAAAUUCAUUCACAUAAUUUAAUUCUGGUACAUUUCAAAAUUCUCUCUAUUUUACGGACUAUUUUCAAUUAAUUUUGUGGAAACAUUGAGAGAAUACGUAAUCGACUAUUAAAUCUGAUUGGCUAUAAUUCCUUUAUUUAAAAAGAGGAAGGAAUGAUAUGAACUUAUUUCACCUUUAAAAAAAAUGUUUCUGCCUCAGAUUUUGCUUUUUUCCGUUAAUAAUUCUCCUUACAGAGCUGCACUAAUUUACCCUUUUUCUUUUUUUUGGCAAGCAGAUGAGCCUAAGCCAAGUCCCAAGCCUCCAAUCAUUCAAGGAACUAAUAAUAAUAGUACACGAAAUAUUCGACUUGCCAGGCGACGUCGACCAACAGAAGCAACUAGCAAUGGUUCCUCCAACAUCAUUCAAGAAACUUCAUUUGAUGAUGAGAUGAUAUAUGAAAAGCCCGUUUUGGACAGAGGAGAAAACUGUUGCAUUUCAUAAAACCUUAAACCUUUCUCUUUCUUAUUUUUUAUAGACCAGGUCCUCCUUAUCAUUUUAAGCCUCUCUUUUUUUUUUUUUUUAAAACCAUAACUUAUUACAUUUCUACACAUUCUCUCUAUUGGAUAUGACCUAACUUUAAAAAAUAGCCUCUUUUACUUAAGUCCAAUAUCAAAUUUGGAGUAUCAACAAUUCUUUUCAUUGAUAAAUCCGUUGGUGGAUAUAAGACGAAGCAACUAAUUUUAAAUUUUAUGACAUACUUGGAUUGGACCUAACUUUUAAUCGACGUCGGAUGGAGACCCACGAUAGCUUUUUAGAAAAGGAAUUUCGAAACGCAUGACUUUUAAAAGUGUGAUUAGGGUAACAGGCCUGGUCACAAAAUUCAAGUGGUCAAUUUUUCAUUUUAAUUAUUUUUUUAAAUAUUUUUAUAAUUUUGCAUAUUAGAAUUUUUUCUAUUAUAAAUAGGUUUUGGCUAUUUGAGACUCACUUGUCACUUUUUUAAGAAUUUCGAUAAGACUUUUCCACUUUUAACCAUUCGUUUUUUUCAUAUCGUCUUAGUCAAACAAUAUUGAUAAAAAUUACAGACGGAGUUCUUUAUCAAAUAGUACCAUUCAUUUUUUAAAAGUCUGGUUGUUAAGAUUUUACCAACAAAUUUCAAAUUUGUUAGCGCUAUGUACUACUGAAUUUAUCAACAUAGAUUUCCAUAUCUUAUCUAAUUUGGGUUGUAGUCUAGAACUUUUCAUGUUGAGUUAUAAUAUGGUGCAUAAAUAAAGUAUACUUAAAAUUCAAGCCAUAUAAAUAACAUAAUUUAUGUUUAAUAUUUAUUAAAAAUAUAAAUAUAUUUAGAAAGAAAGUGUAGAUGAUAAAAUAAAGUAUGAAAAAUUAAAAAAAUGAGAGAAAGUAGAAAUAGUAGAAAAGUAAAUGGUAUAAAAUGAGAGAAAAUUAUUAAAAAGAAAAAGAAAAAGGAGAAAAAACUAAGAAAAUGAUUAAAAAGAAAAAUUAUGGAGAAUAGAAAAGAAUAAAAGAAGAGGGAAAAGAUAAUUAAAGAAGUGAGGGAAAAGGAAAUAAAUGAUUAGAGAAAAAAAAAUGAAUGAAGAGAAAAUAAUAGAAAAGAAAAAGAUAGAUAAAAAAAUAAUAGAAAAAACUAAAAUUAGAGAAAUUAAUAUGAAUAAGAAUUAUAUAAAAAUAAAAAAAUGAGACAUAAAAAAGGAAGAAAAAUAAUGAAAGAAAAGAAAAUGAAAAAAGUUAUAGAAAGAAAAAUUAUAGAGCAAAAUGAAGAAAAUAAGAACAGAUGAAGAGAAUAAGAGAAAAAAAAGGAUAAUAGAAGAAUGAGAAAUGAUAAAAAAAUAAUAAUAAUAAGAGAAAAAAGAUUAUGAGAUUAGAAAGUUAAAAUAAAAGAAAAUAAUAAAAAAUGAAAAAAAUGAAAAAAAAAAGGAAAAUGAAAAAAUAAAAAAUAAUAUAUGGAUGGAUGACAAAAGGAAAAGGAGAAGUGUUAAUAUUUAUAAAUCAAAUUAUUAAUGGAUUAUAAAUAUUUUAAAGAAAAUGUGUUUUUGAAGAGAAAGAAGGAGAAGCAUGCCUUUUUCCUUUUAUUCAAGAUGUAAUGAGUUUUUACAAGAGUAAGAUAAUCCCGAAACUUAGUUUUAGAGGAGCUUAUAUACUCCUCACGUGGAGCGUAACAGGUGCUCAGAUUGUAAAAGGACAAUUAUGCCCAUAAGACAGCAAAGAAUAAAACAAAACAAUAUAUAUCAACUAAACUAUGAUUAUCUUGCAUUCUCUUCACGCCUCCUGCAAGUUGGAACUGGGAUGGAGACCAGGGGCAACUUGGAACAAAGGUGGUGAUGCUGAUCAGAAGAUAAAGGCUUGGUGAGCAAGUCUGCAAGUUGAGCAGUGGUGGAAACAUGCGAAGGGUGAAUGAAGCCCCGCUGAAGCUGCUCACGGACAAUGUGGCAGUCAAUCGAAAUGUGUUUUGUACGUUCAUGAAACACCGGGUUAGCAGCGAUAUGCAAGGCAGCCUGAUUGUCACAGUGGAGAGGGAUUGGCAGCUGAGUAGGCACCUGCAAGUCUUGAAGAAUAUAAGAAAUCCACAAUAAUUCACAAAUAGUACUUGCCAUAGCACGAUAUUCCGCCUCAGCGAAUGAUUUUGAGACAGUGGGUUGUUUCUUGGUUUUCCAAGAAACCAAUGAGGAUCCAAAAAAAAUGCAGAAUCCAGUGAGAGAUUUGCGCGAAAAGGGGCAGGAGGCCCAAUCAGAAUCACAGUAAGCUGUGAGAGGCAUGGUGGCAGUAACAGGAAAGCAUAGCCCUUGAUGUAUAGUGCCUUUCAAGUAGCGAAGGACAUGCAUGGCAGCCUCCCAAUGAGGCUUGCGGGGUUGAUGCAUGAACUGGCUCAGAUGUUGGACAGCAUAACUGAGGUCAGGCCGUGUAAGAUUAACAUAUAGCAACCUCCCAAUUAGACGUCUGUAAGCAUGGGGUUCAGGAAGAAUAUCUCCUGUGUCCAGAGAGAGAUGCAGCCCUUUAGGCAAGGGAAAGGAGGCUGGUUUGCAUGAGUGCAUACCAGCAUCCCUCAAAAUGUCAGAAAUAUACUUGGUUUGGCUUAAAAGAGUAGCAGUAGAUGAUCUGGCCACUUCUAGGCCAAGAAAGUAUUUCAGAAACCCCAAGUCUUUAAUGGUGAACUUGGAAUGUAAAGCAUUUUUAACCUCAGUCAUAGCAACAGUAGAGGUACCAGUAAGAAGAAUGUCAUCCACAUAUAUUAACAAGGCCAAAAAAUAGUCAGUAGUGCAUUUAACAAACAGGCAGUAGUCAUGGGCAGAUUGGGUGAAACCUAGUGUCUGUAAAAAACUUGUAAACUCAAGAUUCUAUUGCCGAGAAGCCUGUUUAAGUCCAUAUAAGGACUUCUGGAGGAGGCAGACUUGCCCGGGCAGAGCUUUAUCAUAACCCUGUGGUGGAAGCAUAUAGACUUCCUCAUCUAAGGUGCCAUGUAAGAAAGCAUUGUUUAUGUCAAGUUGAAACACAGGCCAUUGUUUAUGAGUAGCAAGGGCUAUGAGAAUACGAACUGUAGCCAAUUUGGCAACAGGAGAAAACCGAUCUUUAUAAUCAAGACCUUCAAUUUGAUUGUAACCCUUGGCGACCAACCGGGCUUUGAAUCUAUCAAUGUCACCAUUUGGUUUACAUUUGACCUUAUAGACCCAUUUACAACCUAUGGCUUUCUUGCCUUUAGGAAGGGUUGUAAGGAUCCAGGUGUUAUUCUGUUCGAGGGCAUGCAAUUCAUGUUGCAUUGCAUUAACCCAAUCAGUAUUUUGCGAUGCCUGAAUGUAGGUGGCAGGUUCUGGAAUGUGAGAAAUGUUCAGGACAUAUGUUUGAUAUGAAGGUGAAAGGUGAAUGGUGGAAAUGGGAGGAUGGACAGUGGUGAUUGCCGUGGCAACAAAGUCAUCCAGCCACGCUGGUGGUUUAAUGGCUCUGGAAGACCUUCGGAGGCCAGAGAGAUCAGGAGAAGGCUGAGAAGGUGAGGAUAUAGAUGUGAUAGGCUCUGAAUCAGGUAUGGGAAUAGGCAGCACCACAGGGGGUUGCAGAGAUUGUGUGCUAAAGGGAAAAAUGUGUUCAUAGAACACAACAUCACGGCUAACAAAGAUAGCACCAGUAGCUAGAUCAUAGAGUUUGUAAGCUUUGUGAUUACUGGCAUAACUAAUAAAGGCUGCCUUAAUGGACUUGGUACCAAAUUUGUCUUUGUGAGUGUUUGUUUUGGUGGCAAAACAAAGGCAUCCAAAUUUUUUUAGAUGGAAAUAAUCAGGGGCUUUCCCAUAGAGACGCUCAUAAGGGCUCUGCCAACCAAAUUGGGCCAUAGGAAGUCUGUUUAUUAGAUAGGUGGCAGUAAGGACACAUUCAGACCAAAAAGUGUGUGGGACAUGAGAGUGUAUUUUGAGAGCUCUAGCCAUGUCUAAAAGAUGUCUGUGCUUUCUCUCAACCACUCCAUUUUGUUGAGGAGUGUGAGGACAAGAUCUUUGAUGUAUUAUGCCCUUUUGAUUUAAUAGUCUAGAGCAAUCAUUACUAAGAAAUUCACAUCCGUUAUUUGUCCUUAUUGUCUUGACAGAGGCAUUGAAGUGAGUUUGCACCAUAUUCAGAAAUGUAGAUAAGAUAUGAACAGUUUGACUUUUAAGGCGCAUUAAGAAGGUCCAGGUGGCCCUGGUAUUGUCAUCAACUAAAGUGAGAAAGUAUUUUGCUCCUGUGACACUUUCUAUGUUAUAAGGGCCCCAAAUAUCUAUGUGGAGGAGAUCAAAAGGUUCCUUAGCAACAGUGGUACUAAGGGAAAAGGGUAACCUGGCCUGCUUGGCUUGGGAACAGGUUUGGCACUGUAAAGGAGUACCCUUAGUGUGUUUAAGCACAUCAAUAUGUUUGAGUUUCCCAAGGGAUGCAUGCCCUAGUCUAUCAUGCCAAUCAACAAUAUUACUAGCAUACAUACAAGAUUCAGUUCGAGAAGAUUGGCUUUCUUUAUUUAUAGAAUGUGUAGAAAGCAUGGUAUUUANNNNNNNNNNNNNNNNNNNNNNNNNNNNNNNNNNNNNNNNNNNNNNNNNNNNNNNNNNNNNNNNNNNNNNNNNNNNNNNNNNNNNNNNNNNNNNNNNNNNNNNNNNNNNNNNNNNNNNNNNNNNNNNNNNNNNNNNNNNNNNNNNNNNNNNNNNNNNNNNNNNNNNNNNNNNNNNNNNNNNNNNNNNNNNNNNNNNNNNNNNNNNNNNNNNNNNNNNNNNNNNNNNNNNNNNNNNNNNNNNNNNNNNNNNNNNNNNNNNNNNNNNNNNNNNNNNNNNNNNNNNNNNNNNNNNNNNNNNNNNNNNNNNNNNNNNNNNNNNNNNNNNNNNNNNNNNNNNNNNNNNNNNNNNNNNNNNNNNNNNNNNNNNNNNNNNNNNNNNNNNNNNNNNNNNNNNNNNNNNNNNNNNNNNNNNNNNNNNNNNNNNNNNNNNNNNNNNNNNNNNNNNNNNNNNNNNNNNNNNNNNNNNNNNNNNNNNNNNNNNNNNNNNNNNNNNNNNNNNNNNNNNNNNNNNNNNNNNNNNNNNNNNNNNNNNNNNNNNNNNNNNNNNNNNNNNNNNNNNNNNNNNNNNNNNNNNNNNNNNNNNNNNNNNNNNNNNNNNNNNNNNNNNNNNNNNNNNNNNNNNNNNNNNNNNNNNNNNNNNNNNNNNNNNNNNNNNNNNNNNNNNNNNNNNNNNNNNNNNNNNNNNNNNNNNNNNNNNNNNNNNNNNNNNNNNNNNNNNNNNNNNNNNNNNNNNNNNNNNNNNNNNNNNNNNNNNNNNNNNNNNNNNNNNNNNNNNNNNNNNNNNNNNNNNNNNNNNNNNNNNNNNNNNNNNNNNNNNNNNNNNNNNNNNNNNNNNNNNNNNNNNNNNNNNNNNNNNNNNNNNNNNNNNNNNNNNNNNNNNNNNNNNNNNNNNNNNNNNNNNNNNNNNNNNNNNNNNNNNNNNNNNNNNNNNNNNNNNNNNNNNNNNNNNNNNNNNNNNNNNNNNNNNNNNNNNNNNNNNNNNNNNNNNNNNNNNNNNNNNNNNNNNNNNNNNNNNNNNNNNNNNNNNNNNNNNNNNNNNNNNNNNNNNNNNNNNNNNNNNNNNNNNNACAGGUGCAUGGAGGAAGGGUCUCCAUUGAUCCCAAUUCAUCCCAAAACCCUUUCAAUUUAGUGAAAUAGACAGAUGCAGAGGCAUUGUCUUGAGAUAUCAAGGAUAUUUUCCUACGCAACUCAUAGAUCAUGGUUCCAUUACACUCACCGAAUCUUUCGGUAAUUUCAAGCCAGAGAUCCCUAGGUGAGGCUGUGUAAAUGAAGCCAUCGACUAACUCUCUGGAUAUAGAAUUUAGAAUCCAGGAUGUGACCAUAAAGUCACAUCGCUUCCAUUGUUCAUAGGAAUCAGAUCCUUUAUCAGGUAUUGUAACGGUGCCUUCUAUAAAUUCCAGUUUCUGUUUGGCUCCUAGGGCUAUCCUAAUGGCUCUACACCAAGACCUAAAAUUUGUCCCUAUCAGAGGAGCAUAUACUAAAACCAUACCUGGAUGGUCCGAAGACUGGAGAGUCAGAGGAUCUCCAAGAUUCUGAGUUCCGAUCUGGAUUUUGUCCUUCGCCUCCGUGAUUUUGCCUUCUUUACUGGUAUUCCCUCGUUCUGCCAUGAUCGACAAGAUUUGUCCGUUUUAGCCACAGAUCGUGGUGUAAGUUUGUAGAUCUGACUGAGUUGAGGCCGUCUUGAAGGAAAACGGAAAGAUUAACGAGAUCUGCUUGUCAUGCAAGCCAGAUUCGGUGUAGGACUGGUGAUGGCGUUCACCUGGAGUGUAAGCCGGCUCUUUUCGGUAAAGGUUGUUUUAAAAAAGGAAUGGCGAGGAUGAACGGAAGAGACAGGGAAAGGUGCAAACCCUAAUCCGCUCUGAUACCAUGAAGAGAAAGAAGGAGAAGCAUGCCUUUAUCCUUUUAUUCAAGAUGUAAUGAGUUUUUACAAGAGUAAAAUAAUCCCGAAACUUAGUUUUAGAGGAGCUUAUAUACUCCUCACGUGGAGCGUAACAGGUGCUCAGAUUGUAAAAGGACAAUUAUGCCCAUAAGACAGCAAAGAAUAAAACAAAACAAUAUAUAUCAACUAAACUAUUAUUAUCUUGCAUUCUCUUCAUUAUCCUUUAAAAAUUAUUAAAAUAUUUAAAAUUUAUUAAUAAAUUUAUUGGUGAAUGAAAAAUAGUAGAUUUUAAAAAAGUAACACUCAAAUUUUAAGUAAGAUUAUAUUUAAAAUUCAUUAAUAAAUUUAUUGAUGAAUGAAAAACAGUACAUUUUAAAAAAGUAAUACUCAAAUUUUAAGAUUUAAUUUUAAAUUUAUUGAAAGAUAAAAAUACCUUUUCUAUUUAUUAAUUUAAUAAUAAGAAUUAUUAAUAAAUUUUAAAAUUUAUUGGUAAUCUAUUUACAAACUAUUAAUAGAUUUAAAUUUUAUUAAUAAUUUUAAUAGUUUGUUCGGAAGUAUCAAUAAAUUACUAACUGAUUAUUAAAUUUCUACCACAAUAAUUUUAUAAAUUUAUAAAAUUAUCAACAAAUUCUAAAAUCCAUUAUUUAAACUUUUACACAAAAAUAUGACGGAACUUAUUAUUGAAUUCCAAUAACUUAUUAGUAUAUUUCUACGCAUUCUCUUUAUUAAAUAAUGACCAAGCUAUUUAAAAAUGACCCUCAUAUUAUUGGCUAAUUAAUAAUUCAACCAUCUUCUGUGACAGCCUGCUGCUGUGUGGAGAUUACUUGCUCAAGUUUUCUUUUUUUAUUCAAUUAAUUUCAGUUUAAAUAAUUGAACUCAAAAAUAUUGUUGACUUUGGAAAAAGGGUUAAUAGUAUUUAAAUUCAAAGACCAUGAUUGCUCAUUGAUGGAGCCACUAGCGUAAGUAUAUGCAUUCAUAUCUCUUAGGUAGAAAACAAGCCAACCUUCUCUAUUGCCUUGAUAAACAAUAAACAACUUGUUAUUGUCAUUUGACUUUUUAUAUUUUAAUUUUUUUUAUAAAUAUAUGUUGCCCAUAUCACAAAAUUAAUUGGUCAAUUAUUGAAUUCGAAUAUCUCUUUAACCCUUAAGUUGGAUUUUAAUAUAAAGUAUAAAGAAAUCUUAAUUAUAUAAUUUACUAAUUGAAUAAUUGAGGUUUUUUCUUGAAAAAAUUGUAAGUUAGAAGUAAAACGCAUUUUAAAAGUCAUUCAUGAAUAUGCACACAAAAAUAUAUCAGUAGUGAGUGCCAUUUUAAAAAUUUAAUAAUUUGAAAAAAAAAAUAAAAAAAAAGGAAAUUAAGAGAGAUAAACGAAGUGGAAAAGCAAAAUUGAUAAACUUCACUUACAUCUUAAUUUUCAUCUAUUUAUAUUAUUUUUAAAUUGAAUUUUCUUUUUGAUUUUCCACUGAAAUAAAAGGAAUUAUAAAGUAUAUACCAAAACCUCAAUCUCAAUGAAGUAAUUAGGUUUAUUAAAAUUAUUUACUUUCUUAAAAGAUGAAAGGGUGGAAAGGAUAAGAAUAGCAUUUUUUAAUUAUAUAGUUAAAUUCAUUAAUCUUGAUUUUUAUAUAAAAAACUUAUUUGAUCACUUGAUUGAUGGAAAGAUAAAUAUUAAAUUACUAUUUUUUUAAAAAAAAACAUAACAUUAUCAAUAAAUAUAUAUAAUAGAUACACAUUUUUAUUAUUAUUCAUAGCUUAUCUAAUUCGUAAGAGUGACACUCAAGUAUUAAAGUCAAUUGUUAUUCUAAAAAAAAGUCAAUUAUUUAGAUGUCACAAUGAAAAUAUGACUAUUAUUUUUUGUUUAGAAUAGGAAACAACUCAAUAACAAUUAAAUUUAUAUCCAUUACACAAAAUGUCAUUGACUGGAGCUGGAGGCCACAUGCUGCACAUUCUACGUUCAACGUCAACGUUAUAAUUCUUUUUUUAAGAAAAACGAAGGUCUGAACGCUAAUGUUACCAGCUGUCCUUCCUUUAUCUUUCCUACAUCUCCUUCUCUAUCUCUGAUCUUUCACAUUCACACUUUAAUAUAAGAACUGUAUAUAUAUAUACUUGCAAGAAACCAUUGGUUGUGGUUGAAUAAGUCUGCAACUUCUGAUGGCUUCACCGUGGGGAGAUCGCCGGAAUGAAACUAGAGGUAUUAGUCGUUCUAGCUAAAACUGUUUAAUGAGUUCAAAUAGUAAUAUUGUUAUGGAACUUUCAUUUCAUAUAACUUAUUGAAGCAUGUUGUUUAUUGUAUGGUCACUAAGUACAGAUCCGAAUGAAUCUGACUCAUCUCCUGAGAAGAGUCCAAGUAAUGCAUAUGCAUCUGAUAAUUCUAAGGUUAUUGGGCCAAAAUCAUAUUCAUACAGUGAUUUAGCAAAGGCAACUCGUCAUUUUUCGCUGAAUUACCAAAUUGGUCAAGGUGGUUUUGGUCAAGUCUUUAAGACAUCCUUAAACGGUGAGACCUAUGCUAUCAAGAAACUCAAUAAUUUUGUAGAUGAACAGGCCGAAGGAAAGUUGGAGAACGAGAUUGAGGUCGUCAAUAGAGUCAGUCACAAAAAUCUUGUUAAGCUAGUUGGUUACUGCAUUGAUGGAGCCAACAGAUUGCUUAUUUUAGAGUAUUUUUCUAAUGGGUCCUUGAGAUCUAAAUUACAUGGUGAGUCCAAACCUUUAUUUUAUGUUCAUAUAACUAAUUAAUAUAACAUAAUUAAUCUUAUAAAUUACAAAUGGUACUGUAGGAAAGGAAAAUGUUUUGGACUGGAAAAAGAGAAUGAAAAUCGCCAUAGGUUCUGCAAAAGGAUUGCAAUAUUUACAUGAAGAUUGUGAGUAUAUAUUAAUAGCAUAGUAGGCUUUUUUGAGAAUGAAUUUUAUUUUUUUUUCCUUAUUUGUGCUAAUAAUUUAUUUCCUCUGAAAGUUUUGUUCUCCCUUUUUAUAUAUAUGUUUUUUUUUUUUUUUUCAGGUGAACCUAAAAUCAUACAUUUAGAUGUUAAGGCAGAUAAUAUUCUUCUUGAUGAUAACUUUGAAUCUAAGGUAUGAUAUAUAAUUUGAUAAUAAAUAAAAAUUUUAUUCUUAUCAUCAUAUAACUAUAGUGGAACCUUUACCAUUGAAUAUCAAAAUUUUUAUUUUUAAAUAAUAUUGAAAAAUAAUGUGAACCCAUUAAUUUGAUUGCAUAGGUUUCAGAUUUUGGACUUUCCCUAUUUUUUUCGGAUGCUGCUUCUCAUGUCUCAAGAUCAUCAAUUAGAGGAACCCAAAUGUAUGUAAGAUACAAAUUUCUUUCUAUCAUUUAAUAACUGUCUAUUGUUUUCAGUGCCAUCAUGAUAUCUACUCUUAGAGCUCCUUAAUUUAAAGAUAUUAUUUUCUUACAGGAAAUCUUAAUAUGAACAUUAAUUGUGAAGAUAUUAAGUUUAAUUGUAUGAUUGAAUUGCAGCUAUGCAGAUCCAUUGACAACACAAUUGGGAAAACACUCUGAUAAAUCUGAUGUUUAUUCUUUUGGUGUUACACUUUUGGAGUUGAUUAGUGGGAGAAAACCCAUAAAUCAAAACGGCGUCAAUAUUAUUACUUGGGUAUGAAUCUAUUAAAUUGUAACAAUUUAAUAUAAAAUUGUGUUUUUAGCUUUUGAUAUAAGAAUUGAUCUUUAAAAGAAUGGAUUCAACAAAUCACAAUUGGAUGUAUGGAGAUAAAAUAAUGAAACUUUCUUUCUAGCAACAUUUAAAAAAAACAAAGAAGACAAAAACAUAUGCUAUAUGUUAAAUAUAAAUUUACAGGCAACAUGUAUUUAUAUCCAUUAAUAAAUAAUUUUUAAUGGAUUUUUUGCAGGCAAACUCUUUAAUUGAAAAAGUUUUGAAAGGUGAAUAUGCGGAUUUUGUAGAUUCCAGGUUACAAUCCUUUGACCAUGAAGAAAUGCAUCGAAUUAUUUUUUGUGUUAAUGCUUGCAUAAAUCUACCUCCAAAAUUCCGUCCAUCAAUGAAAAGGGUAAAUUCUGUUUAUAUAAUUUAAUUUUGGUAUAUAUAUAAUACACGUUAUUUGCAAUAAAUUUUAUGGAAGCAUUUAGAGAUUACAAGUGUUGACUUGUAAAUCUUUUUAUCAUUGCUGUGCCAUGUAGGUAGUUCUAGCCCUUGAAGGAAUUCUGCCUCUAAAGAAUGACAACAAAUUGUACUCCAGAGCUUCAUAUGAAGGUCUGUUUUCUUGUAAAAAAUGGAAUAACUUUUGUAAGGUGUUAUUAAUUUUUUAGGAGACUUAUUAUUUAGUCUAUCAAAUAUAGUAAAAUUCGUUAGUUAGUCUCUUAAUUUUGAAAAACAUAUUAAAACGUUCAUAAGAUAAAAAAUCUACUAAUUAAUUUCUCCGUUAAUUUUAGUCAUUAAGCGUUAAAAAAAUCUAAAAUUAAGAACUAAUUAGUUUAAUUUUUAUAAAAUUAAGAGAUCAAUUAAAAAAUUUUAUUUAUAUUAUAGAAACUAAAUAGUAAAAACACUUAACGUCUAAAGUUAACAUAUAACUGAUUAGUGGUUUUUUUAAUAUUUCAGGGAUAUUUUAAUGAGUUCUUUAAAUUAGUGGAUUAACUAGUCAAUUUUAUUAAAUCUGAGGGACUAAAUAAUUAUUUUCUUUCUCUGUAUAUAUAAAUUAUAACUUGAUGAUAAAGUGAGAUCAUUUUAAUGUUAAAAAACCCUUAAUAUUAGAACAGAUUUUGAUUUUUAUUUAAAUCUGAUUGGCAUAUAAUUCCUUUAUUUAAAAGGAGAUGGAAUGAUAUGAACUUAAUUCAUUUUUUAAAAAAAUAAAAAGUAUCCACCUCAGUUCAUGUAUUUAAUAAUUUCUCCUUGUUGAGUUACACUAAUUUACCCUUCUUUUUCCGGAAGCAGAUGAGCCUAAGCCAAGCCCCAAGCCUCCGAUCAUUCCAGAAACUAAUAGAUCAUCAAAUGAAGUUUACAAACCAAGGAGAUUUACUUAUAAACAACUAAGUUCUGCAACUAAAGAUUUCUCCGAAAGCAACCUUCUUUACAGGGGUAUUAUGGGUGAAGUAUAUAUGGCAUCCCUAAAUGAUGUCGGACAAGUGAUAAUCAAGAAAUUUCAUCUCGAAAAAGAAGAUGAAUUCAAGAAGAUUAAAGGCAUCAGCAGUAGUGUUCAUCACGAAAAUCUUGUUAACCUGGUUGGAUACUGCAAUGAAAGAGAUAAUAAUCUGCUUGUUUAUGAGUGUUUUAGGUUUCGAUCCUCUUUAAGAUUUCGUUUACUCGGUAUGCUCUUUAUAAUUAAAUAACUUGCAAAUUCUACAUUUAUCAAAAACCUUAUUUUAUUAUUUUUUGGCCGGAUUUUUAACUAGAUGCGUAUAUAAUACAGGGACAAAAAUAAUGAGUACAUCAAUAAUGGAAUGGCCAACCAUCAAGGGCAUAGCUUUAAGCAUCGCAAAAGGAUUAGUACAUCUCCACGAAUUAUGUGAGUCUUAAACUGAACCAUUAUUUGUUUCUAGUUUUUUUUUUUUUUUUACAUUUUAUUUAUGAUGUCUGUAUUUCCAGAUAAACCUUUGAAUACCUACGAGCAUUACCUGGAUGAUUGCGUAUUUCUUGAUGAUAAUCUUGAACCAAAGGUAGUUAUGAUAAAUUUAAAUAUUUUCAAUGAUCAAUUAUUGAUAUAAAUCUUGGAGAUUAUAUUCUGUGUGUGAUCAAUUAUAUGUAAAAUUAUCAUUCAACAUGUAAUUAUAUCUUUUUUGUUGUAAUUAAAAAUACACUUCUUGUUUCUGUUCAAAAAAAAAAUACACAUCUUGGUUAACUUAGCAAAAAAUAAAAAGAAAGAAAGAAAGAAAGAAAAGCACACACUUUUUUUAAAAUAACAAACCAAAGGUAAAUUUUAUAAAUAUUAAUAUUUAAUUUAUAUGUGUAAUUAGUAAUAGAAAUAAUAAUUAAAAAAAUCAAUAUAGUUGAGUUUCAAGUUGAAUAUAUAUGGCCAUUAUUGGAUUGUGAAACUAUUGAAGUUUACUAAUUGUGUUUGAUGUUGAUCUAUAUGGUGCAAUAAAUUUAUUUGGUUCUUUUUUUUAUCAGUUUGCUGAGUAUGGACGUACCAAUUUUUUCUUAAAAGAUUCUGAAAUGCUUCUUUCUAGCAGGUAAAAAUGAUUAUUAUAUUUUGUUUCUUGAUUAGAUUAUUUGCAACUACAUGACUUAUAUUUGAUAUGUUAGGAAUUUUUUUUUGGCAUUUAAGGAAGAAAAACAUCUUAGCAUUCUUAUACUUUUAGUGAAGAUUUGUCGACAAUUAUUCUUAUAUUUUCUUUUAUCUUCUAUUGCAGUUCAACGACUUCUACAUAUCUUAAGUUUGAUGUGUAUUUUUUGGGUAUAAUUCUUCUGAAGCUUAUUACUGGGAAACAACAACAUAAUGACAUCAGUUCUAUUAAUGACUAUAACUUGAUCGAAUUGGUAUGUAUUUCUUCCCAUAGUCUAAAAUGCAAGUAGCAAAAUUCAAAAUAGAUCAAAUAAUUCAUUGUUGAUAUUAGCCAUAGUCUAAAAUGCAAGUAGCAAAAUUCAGAAUAGAUAAAAUAAUUCAUUGUUGAUAUUAGCAAUGAGGAUUUAGUGACAUGCUAACUCCAUUGCUGAAGUUAAUUUUAACUAGCAAUAUAUAAUUGUCAAAUUAAAAUAGUCACUGAAAAGCUUGUCAACAAUUUAAAAAUGGAUUAGCAAUGGAAUCGAUUGUGAAUCUACAUUAUUAGCGACAGAUCUAUCAAUCCAUCACUUGAAGUCUAUUUUUUAUUAUUUUGUAUUGUAUGUAUAUAUACAUUCUUUUAUAUGUCAAUGAUUUUUUUAAUGUAUUAAUUAUAAUUCAGAUGGCGAUUCACCUAAAAAAUAAUUGGCCCAAAAGUGACUAUAGUUUUGUCGAUCCAAGAAUUGAGAGUUAUGACAAACAUGAAAUGGAUCAAAUGAUUGAAUGUGCUAUAGCAUGUGUAAAUCCUUGUCCACAAUAUCGACCUCAAAUGAGUCAGGUAUGUAAUAAUUCUUUUAAAAAGGAUUGUAGAAAUGUGUAUAUGAAUAAAUAUUUACAAUUAAAACUAAAAAUCAGAAUUAAUUGAACUCAUUUCAGCCUAUUUAAUUUAACUGUUAGAAUAUAUUUAAUAGCAGAUAAUUUUUUGUAAUGAGUAGCUAACAAAUAAGUCGAGUUGAUAUAUCUUAGAUGUUUUAUAAAUUAUGUCUAAUUCAUAUGAUUAAUAUGUCACAUGAGUAAUUGGCAAAUAUCAAUUUAUUAUACUAUUGAAAUAAAUAUAAAAUUAUUAAUUUAUUAUACAAUAUAUAUAGUAAUUAAAAGCAUAAUUUUUCAAAAUAUAAUUGUUUUCAUGCAUAUACAUAAUUUUUUGUUCUAUAAUAAUUAAUAUUAUAAAUAUUUUAAUUGUUAUUUAUAAUAUUUUUAAUUUAUUUAUUAUCUCUUAUAAUUUUAAGUAAUUUAUUGAUAUAAAAAUUUAAUUUAAAAAUUAUUAUUAAGAAAAUUUUAAAAGAUAAUAUAUUCUAAAUAAAAAAUAAAAUUAAAAUAACUAUUAAGUAGUAAAAAACAAUUCUAAUAUUCGAGCUUAUGUGAACUACAACUAAUAAGUCUCAUAUAAACUACUAAUUGGUUUUUAAACAUUUAAAAAAUAUAUUAAUUAUAGUUAUAGCCAUUGCUGUAAACAAAUUCUGAACUAUGACUCAUCUUUAUUUAUUCCAUUUCUUAUGAAAAGCAGGUGGUCGAAGUUCUAGCAGGAAAUAUUCCUGCGAGAAAUCUCGAGAAGAAUUUUUUCUUUUUUCAUGAAAAAAAAGAAUGAAAGAUUUUUGGAUUCUGGGGAUGAAGUAUAUAUGUAUAUCUGCAGCAAAGCUAAAGAGUGUAAUAGUUAUCUUUUAUCAGAUAAUUUCAGAUUGGCAACUCAGUAUCAAAUUGAGAAAAUAAAAAUUAUUCCAUUAAUUGUAAGCAUAAAUAACUUUGUAUAAUUUUUUUUUUUUUUUCUAAGCAUACUUUGUAUCAAUUUACUAUUUAAAUAAAAAGUAAUAUUUCAUAUAUAUUGUUAAUUCUAUUAAUUAUAAUAAAACCUUAAUGACUUAAAUAAACCUCUUGUUAGUAUCUAAAUUAAGGAAUGAAUGAAAAUCAUCACCAUAUGAUGAAUUAGAUUCCACCUUGCUUAAAUUCAAAGGCCAUGAUUGUUCAUUGAUAGAGUCAAUAGCGUAAGUGUAUUCAUUCAUAUUUUUAAGUGGAAAUCAAGCUAACCUUCUCGAUUGCCUUAAUAAACAAUAAACAACUUCUUACUUUUAUAAGAUUUUUAUAUUUUAAAUUUUUUUUAUUUUUAUAAUUUUAUGUUGCCCACAAUACAAAAUUAAUUAGUCAAUUAUUGAAUUCGAAUAUAUCUGUAUUCUAACCCUUGAGUUGGACUUUAAUAUAAAGUAUAGAGAUAUUAAUUAUAUUAAUAAUAAAAUAUUAAUAAUAUCUCCAUCAUUGAGGUGUUUUUCUUAAAAAAAAAUGUUAGGUGUAAAAUCCAUCAGAUGAAUACACAUUAAAAUGUAUAAAUAUCAAGUGCCUUCAUAAAAAAUUAAUAAUUUGAAAAAGAAAAGAGAAAAAAGAAUAAUUAAGAGAGAUAAAUGAAGUGGAGCAAAAUUGAUAAACUUAAUUUUCAUCUAUUUAUAUUAUUUUUUCCCUGCAAAAUAUCGAGCUGGAGGCCACAUGCUGCGCAUUCUACGCUCAUCGUCAACGUUAAUUUUCUUUUUUUUAAGGAAAAUGAAGGUCUGAAUGGGCACAUCUCCCUCUCCAUCUCUGACCAUUCGCAUUCACACUUAAUAAGCACUGUAUUUUAUAUAUAUAUACUUGCAACAAACCUCUGACUGUGGUUGGGCAAGUUGAUCUGCGACUUCCGAUGGCCUCUCGCUGGGGGAUGAACAGGGCAGAUAGCCAGAGUGAAACUAGAGGUAUUAAUUUUUUUUUAGCUGCAACUGAGUAACGAGUUCAAUAGUAAUAGUUUCAUGGAACUUUCGUUUCAUUAAACUAUUUGAGGCAUGUUGUUUAUUGAUUGUCACUGCGCACAGAUCGGAAUGAAUCUGGCUCAUCUCCUGAGAAGAGUCGAAGUUAUGCAUCUAACAAUUAUAAGGGUAUUGGGCCAAAGUCAUAUUCAUACAGUGAACUAGCAAAGGCAACUGGUCUUUUCUCGCUCAAUAACCAACUUGGUCAAGGUGGUUUUGGUCAAGUUUUUAAGGCAAUCUUAGAUGGUAAGAUCCGUGCUAUCAAGAAACUUAAUAAUUUUCCAGAUAUACAGUCUGAAGGAGAUUUGGAGAGGGAGAUUAUGGUCGUCAAUAGAGUCAGUCACAAAAAUCUUGUUAAGCUGGUUGGUUACUGCAUUGAUGGAGCCAACAGAUUACUGAUAUUGAAGUAUUUUCCCAAUAAGUCCUUGAAAUAUACAUUACAUAGUGAGUCCCAUGCACAUUCUUUCUUUUGCCCAUGUUCAUGUAUAAUUAAUAUUUCGUAAUUAAUCUUACAAAUUACAAAUCAUUUUGUAGGAAAGGAGAAUGUUUUAGAUUGGAAAAAAAGAAUGAAUAUUGCAAUAGGUUCUGCAAGAGGAUUGGAAUAUUUACAUGAACACUGUGAGUAUAUAAUAGAGAACAUAUUUUUGCUUGUUAGGCUUUUAAAUUUUGGGAGUGAGUUUUUAUUAAACCUUGUUUAUUUCUUCUAACAGUUCUGUGUUUUCUUUAUAUUAUUUUCAGGUAAACCUAAAAUUAUACAUUUAGAUAUCAAACCUGAUAAUAUUCUUCUUGAUAAUGAUUUUGAACCUAAGGUAAGAUAGUUUGAUAAUAAAUAUAAAUUUUAUUUAUAUCAUCGUAGAUGUAUGCUGAAAUUUUGAUCAUUUUAUUCCAAAAUUUUAUUUUUGAAAAAUUAUAUCAACCCAUUAAUUUGAUUGUUGUAAUUAAUUAAUAAUGAACCUUAAUAAGGCUUCUUAUCUUCUUUUCAUGCUCUACUACUUUCUUAAUAAACCUUAUUGGAGUACGGAAAAUAGUAUAAUUUUCCAAAUAAAAAAUAUAUAUAUUCGUGAAAUUAAAUGUGAAAAAUAAUUAUACCUUUUAAUUAAUAUUUAUAUUACAUAUGCAUGGCAUAAUAAAUUUACUAAUCUACUUAAAUCAUUUGUUUAGGUUUCAGAUUUUGGACUUGCCCUAUUCUUUAAGGAUGCUGCUACUCACGUAUCCAGAUCAUCAACUUUGGGAACUCAUAUGUACGUAAAAAAAAACUUUCUUUCUAUUAUUUAAUUACUUCACUAUUAUUGCCUUUUUUUUUCAAUGUCGUCGUUAUCUAAUCUUAAAAUAAUUUAAAAAAUUAAAUUAAAUUAAAAAAAAAAAAGAAAAAGUAAAAAAAGAAAUUAGGCUCUUAAUUUGAAGAUAUUAGUUUUUUAAAGAAAAUCUUAACACAAAUUUUAAUUGUAAUUGUAAUGAUUUAUUAACACAAAUUUUAAUUGUAAUUGUAAUGAUUUAAUUACAGUUAUGCAGACCCAUUAUCAACGAAAUUGGAAAAAUAUUCUGAUAAAUCCGAUGUUUAUUCUUUUGGUGUUACGUUGUUGGAGCUUAUUACUGGACAAAAUUCUAUUAUUGAUGCAAGCACCGACAUCGUUACUUGGGUAUGACUCUUUAUUAUUAAUAGUUUAAUAUAAAAAUUACAAUAUAAAAAUUGUGAUAUAAAAAUCAAUCUAAAAGAAGAAUUGAAUUCAAAUCUCAGUUGGAUGUAUUUAAUAAUGAAUCAUUCUCUAUAGCCACAUGAAAAAAAUAGAAAAGGACAACCCAUAUGCUAUAAGUUAAAUACAAAUGUACAUGCAACAUACAUUUAUGAUCCAUUAAUAAAUAACUCAUUAAUGAUAUUGUAGGCAAAACCUCUAAUACAAAAGGCUUUGGAGGGAGAAUAUGCAGAUUUUGUAGAUUCAAGAUUGCAAUCUUUUGACCACGAACAAAUGCAUAGAAUGAUUUUUUGUGCUAAUGCUUGCAUAAAUCAACCGCUAAAAUAUCGUCCAUCAAUGAAAAUGGUAAAAUUUAUUUUUAUAAUUUAAUUUUGAUAUAUUUCAAAACUUUGUCUAUAUAUAUAUAUAUAUAUAUAUAUAUAUAGAUUACAUAAUAUAUUCAAUUGAGUUUGCAGAAGCGUUGAGAGAUCACAUUGUUGACUUAUAAAUCUUUUUAUCAUUGAUAUGCCAUGUAGAUACUUUUAGCUCUUGAAGAAAUUUUGCCUCUAGGAAAUCUGUGCGAUGAGAAGAACAACAACAAAUUGCAAUUGAAAGCUACUUACAAAGGUAAAUUUCUUAUAAAAAAUAAAAAAUAUCUAUUUCGAAAUGUUAUUCAUUUUUUUUAUGGAUAAAAUAUAACUUAAUGAUAAAGUGGAAUCAUCUUAAUGUUAAAAAACUGAACAAAUUUUAAUUUAUUUAAAUGACAUAUAAUCCUUUAUUUAAAAGGAGGAAGGGAUGACAUGAACUGAACUAAUUCACCUUUUUGUAAAAAAAAAGUAUCCACCUCUGUUCAUGUACUUGAUCCUUUUUUCCUUUAAUAAUUUAUCCUUAUAGAGCUGCACUAGUUUACCAUUUUGUUUUCUGAAGCAGAUGAGCUUAAGCCAAGCCUCAAGCCUCCUAUCAAUCAAGAAACUAAUAAGCCAAGCUCCAAGCCUCCUGUCAUUCAAGAAACUAAUCAAAUCGUUGUACGGAAGGGUCGAAGCACCAGUCGGCAGCCAAGAGAAGCAACUAGUAAUAGUUCCUCCAACAGCAUUCGAGAAACUUCAUUUGAUGAGAGAAACCAAGUUUACAAACCAAGGAGAUUUACUUAUCAUCAACUAAGAUCUGCGACUCAAGGUUUCGCUGAAAACAACCUUCUCAACGGGGGUCUUUUGGGUGAAGUUUAUAAGGGUAUCCUAAAUUAUGAUGAAUGGGUGAUGGUAAAGAAAUUCUAUAUAUACAUGCAUGGAGGGAAAGAAGAUGAAUUCAAGAAGAUUAAAGACAUCAGCACCAGUGUCCACAAUAAACAUCUUGUUAACCUAAUUGGAUACUGUGAUGAAGGAGACAAUAGAUUGCUCGUUUACGAGUAUUUUCCAGAUAAGUCCUCCUUGAGAUCUCAUUUAGAAGGUAUGCACUUUUAUCUUAAGCAACUCUUGUCUAUAUUUUAUUUUUUUAUAAUAUUUACUUCUAAACCAAUCAGAUAUUUAUUUUCCCAACAGAUAAUAUGGCAGGGAAAUACCGUUUGGAUUGGCCAACCAGAAUGGCGAUCGCUUUACGCAUCGCAUUAGGAUUGGUACAUCUGCAUGAUCGAUGUGAGUCUUCCCUUGUAUGCUUAGGCCUUGGCUAUAUCAAAGCAUGAUUUUCCCAGAUAUUUCUCACUUAAUGUUUGUGAUCUCUAUAUUUUUCAGACAAGCCCUGGAAUAUAUACGAGCAUUAUAAGGAUAAUAGCAUCUUUCUUGAUGAAAUUCUUCAACCAAAGGUGAUUAUAUAUAUGGCAGAUUUAAACAUUUUCGAAUGAUCAAUUAGUGGUAAUAUUUCUCAUAUUGGACAUUGAUGAUCUGAGAUCCAGAAAAUAGGGUUUUUUACAAUGGGUUUGUGAAUCUUAGCUAAGAAGAAAAUCCCCCAAGGAGAGAAUGUUUCUUCUAUUUAUCUGUUUCCAUUGCCUAUCCGUGACGUGUAACGGCCCAACUUCCAUUGGGCCACCUGUCUCUGCCAUACUGAUACGAUCGUACAAGGAUAUCAGAUUCCUGCCCCAUGCAUAACAGCCUCUGAUUUCCUCUGGGCGCGCAUAUGGAUGGACCCACAAGACAGACGGGUCGAUCCACUUCCUGAUUCUGAGUUGGAUCCGAAGAUUGGAUUAAAACUGAGCCCAAGCCGGAUCUGUCUAAUGGGCCGUGGGGAUUGGGUCGACCUGUUUGAGGAAGAUAGCUGGAUCUCGGUCUUAAAGCUGAGUGGACCGGACCUGGUUCAUGUGGGAGACUUGAAGGCCUCCAGAUAAUGGGCUGUUGUCAUGGGUCCGGCCCCAAACCGUGAUGGCGAAAACCAGCGGUCAUCAAUUGCCCCUUUACCUCCUCGUCAAUUAUUGCCCGACUGAAGAGGGAGUAAAUACCGAGAGUCAUCAUGACCGCGCCACCCAAGGACAAAACUAUUCAAAACAUCUUUUCGGCUCUUUAUUGUUUCAAAUUUCAUUUCCCGUCAAUCUCCCCAGAACGUUGGCUCUUCUCUGUUCUACUGCUCUCUUUGCUUUCCUCUGCUCAUUUGCCCUAAUCACUUUUCAGGUACGCCUCUUCUUUUACUAUGGAUAGUUCUAGUCUCCCCGAUGUCGUCGACCAGGAGUCUAGCAUCACCCAGUCUAACAUUAGGAGUUUCAUCUCUAGGAAAUACCUGGAUACCCCUCUUUAUCACAUCCGGGCUCCUUACCCGAAUGAGAGAAUCGUUCUUCCUAAUCCUUCUCCCCCUGGCCUAAUCGACCCUCAAAGGGACGUCAGUCUAGUUUUCUUUAUCAAACAGAGGGAGUACGGUCUGUCCUUUCCCUUUUCUCCUUUCUUCAAAAAGGUCUUCCAGUAUUUCGUGAUCACCCCUCGAAUGCUAACCCCUAACUUCGUUCUUUUCAUGUCUUGCUUUGAAUCUGUGUGUUUGAGCUGGGGGUUUACACCCACGGUUCACCUGUUCGUCAGCUUCUUCAGGCUAGUCAAAGUGAGCCAGAAAUUUUAUUACUUUGCCCCUCGCGGAGGGUUGUCCAUUUUCACGGGUUAUAAAGACUCCAUCAAGGGCUGGGUAGAGGGGUUUCUGGUGGUGGAGUUGAAGAAGAAUACGGGGUUGGCUUGGGAGCUCGAUCUUGCCUGGGAGGAUGUCUCUCUAGGUUGCAACGACCUGCCCCAGUUGGACCUUACUGAGCAGGUCGGAUUCCUUCGACUGACUUCUGUGGAUAGGAAGUAUGCCAUCGAAAAGUGCUUGUUCGCAUCCAACCUUAGGGAUAUUAAGGACGCGGGUAUCUUAUUCUAUCUGCCUGUGUUAGUUUUUGCUUACGCGAUCUUUGGUGAGAACUGUUCUGAUUUGCUUUGAUUUUUAAUUUUGUAGCCUCUGAGGUGAAAAUGGAUCGGAUUAAGCCUCCCAAGAAUCUCAUACUGUCCCGGGAGAGCAUGGACACUGCUCUGGAUGCCCUCCUGGCUGGGCAAUCCAUAAGGGAGGCUACUCAAAGGGUGGCCGAGGUUAUUUCUUCCAGAUCGGGUACCCGACCUCCUCCUCCUUCGGUCUCCUCACAAGCUCCUAGGCCAAACUCCCGACGUAGUAAGUCGUCUCGGCCCUCUAGUCGCAGCAAACCGAACUCGACUCACCAGUCCUUUCAAGCCCCCCGACCUCAACACUCUUCUACUGAGAGGGCAGAAGAGACUCCAAGAAUUAUUUCUGAAGUGGCUGAGAAAGCCAGGCUGACGAGGACGGAUCCCGCCCUUCCUCCUGUGGACGCUUCUGAUGUGGGGCUUGAAGUUCCCGCUGUUAUUGAGGAGGAGGUCUCCAAGGUGGGGUUCGAGGCCCCCAUUACUGAAGAGGAAGCUCCAGGGAAAAGUAAGGAGGUUAUUCUUAUAGACGAAGAUGUCCAGGAGGCCCUUACCGGAGAUGUUGGAUCCGGCCCUGCUAAUGACGGAGGAGUCACAGAGAAGGCUGGGGACAAGCGUCCUGCCUCUCCCGAAAUGUCUGCCCCAGCUCCUGCUCGGAAGAAAUCCAGGGUUUCCAAGGGAUCAGCUCCAGCUCUCUCUCCUAUUGGAAAGAGAAAGGAAGCUUCCAAGGGAUUAGCUCCCGCUCUCCCCCCUCUCGAAAAGAAGAAGGAUGUUCUUGUGAUACCCCUGUUGUCUGCUCUUGACAACGACAUUUUGAACGCUGAGAACAUAACUCAUCAAACUCCAGCGAGUGUCGUAACGGAGAUCUUACGGGAGCGAAUGUUCGGGGGAAUCACAGAGGCUUCAGACUCUCGUCUACUUGCUUUGACCGGCCAUUUGGCUGGCUUCACACGGGAGUAGACAGCCUUCCGGUCUCUACCUCGAGGGGAGCUUGGAGAUAGGAUUAGGGAGAUGCUUCUGAUGGUAAGUUGUUCGUUCCAAUUUCUGCUCGUAUUCCAAUUUUCUUUGUUUCUUUGUUCUGACAGCUUUCUCUUUUUGUACUAGGUGAUGGGCCUCUUCAUGGUGGUGGACGCUCGUGACCUCUCUCUCUUAGAAUCUGUUGAUCGUCGGAUCGAGGAGGCGCGUCUGGAGGAGAACCUGUCUGCAACCAGUGAUGCCAGGAGCAACCUUGCGGCAGCUCGAGAGCAUGCUAGGUCCCUAGAGGCGGAGUUGUCUCACGCUCGAAGGGUUCUUAAAGAGUCUAACGAUAGGGCAGCUGCUGUUGAAGUCCGCUGUGAAGAAGUCCUGAAGCAGCUGUCCUCUACGGUAGAUGCCCUUCGUGAAAAGGACGAGGCUUUAAAUCAAAGGGACGAGGCCCAGCGUCAGUAUGAGGCCUUGAAGGCUGAUUUCGAGGGAGUCCGGGCACGUCUUAUCAAGGUGGAAGUCCAGAAGGAGGGGGCACUAGCUCGGGUCGAGGUUCUUGAGCAGGAGUUGAGUAAGAGUUCAGAUCGCAUCAGAGAUUUGGCCUCGGCGGCAGAGGAAUCUAAACUUCUCAAUCAAAAACUCUGUCAUGAGGUCGAGACUAUGGAGCAUAGAUGUUCAGCCCUGCUCAAGGAUGUCAGACUCGUUGAAGACAGGGUCCAGCUAGAGUGUGAGAGGCGUCUGAUGGAGUAUAAAGAGUCUCCCGAGCUGAAAAAAGAGAUCGAUCAGGCCUGUGAAGCGCGCCUCCAGGAUUAUAAAAGUUCUUCUGAAUUUAAAGUCAAGAUAGCUGAGGCCUGUGAGAAGCGACUUGCGGAGUUCCAAGGCUCUGAUGAAAUGAAAACUGCCAUAUGGAAUAGGGGCUUCCGCAUGUUCAUCUCUGGGUAUAAUAGAGGUCUGAGGACAGCCAGAUACGCUCUCUCUACCCCGUUGGCUGAACUCCGAGCUGUAGAGGAAGACUCUGAUGGCGAGGAGGUGCUUUAUGGGGAGGAUGACAGGCCUUUGCCCAAAGGGGCUCCUCGCACUGCAGCUGGGCCUUCUGAGGUAGGCGCCGAGCUGGGAGAUGGAGAUGCUGGGCCUCAAGGGGAAGAGAUUGUGCCUUUUGUGGGUACUGAAGAGUCUAAGCCAGAAGGUGCUGGGCCUCCCAUAGACAGUAAUGUAAAUGUAGAUAGUACAGGGGGUAAUGUAGAUGAUAAUGCCCCCAGACAUGUAAGUCCUUUAAGGACUGUUUUUCCUUCAGUAGAGUAGACUGUAAAGUAGGUUGUAAUUACUUUUAUUUUUAAUGAAAUUUAAUUUUCGAGUUGUGUUGGCGUUUUGAGUUAUUUUGAUUGUUACUUAUUUCUCUAGCUUUAUUUGUACUUGAGUUGUUCUUACCUCGGCUUGUUCUUCCCUCCUCACCGGGCUACUUGUUCUGCUUAAACAGUCUGACUUGUUUAUUUUUAGAGAUUUGAGAAUAGAACACUUAGGCAGUGUCUAACAAAUCUUGUAAGGAAUUGACUACAUUGCCUUCCCUUUCUCGCCCCUCAAUUAAUCAGGGCUGAAAACUUAGCAAGAGACUUAGUCUCUGACUUAUAAUCUUUUUUAAUUUCACAAAGGCGUUCUCAUCUGUAAAUUUUCUCCGAGCUGGAUUUGCCUUAAGGCUAAGAUCUUCAAGCUGUACUUUUUUAUGGAUUUAGGUCUUCACUAUGAGCUUGGUUUUUAACAGCUGACUUAAUAUCGUCAACUUUCUUUCCCUUAUUGUAUAUGUACGAGCUCGGGCGUGUAGCCCUUAUACGACUGAAGUAAAAAGGAUUAUGUACCUCUUUCGAGCAGGGUUGAUCUUCUUCUUUUCAGUUCUGUUUCUUAUCUGCUCACGCCGUUGAACUUCCUUUCAGCUCAUGAGAGGUUUGUUAUCUUCAUUUUAUUCUUUGAGUUUUCUGAGCUUGGUUCUUCUUCGUUGCUUGGUUUUUCGAGUUCGCGCUUCCAGGUCGGCACUUUUGGCCUUUUGUUGUCUUUCUUUUUAAUUUUAGUUUUCGAGUAUGUCUCUGCCGGGCCCUUUGCUGCUUGGGUCUUCUCCUAGACUAGUCGAACUGGUUCAGUGCUAGUCAUCAAGUUUUGAGGUCGGAAUCUUACCAGCCUGUAAUAUGAGUUUGGACGGGUAUUGUGAGAGUGAAACUCUGGUGAUGAAAAGAUCUCCUUCGUUCCCACAGACGGCGCCACUUGAUGAUCUGAGAUCCAGAAAAUAGGGUUUUUUACAAUGGGUCUGUGAAUCUUAGCUAAGAAGAAGUACCCCAAGGUGAGAAUGUUUCUUCUAUUUAUCUGUUUCCAUUGCCUGUCCGUGACGUGUAACGGCCCAGCUUUCAUUGGGCCACCUGUCUCUGCCAUACUGAUACAAUCGUACGAGGAUAUCAGAUUCCUGCCCCAUGCAUAAUGGCCUCUGAUUUCCUCCGGGCGCGCAUGGAGAUGGACCCACAAGACAGACGGGUCGAUCCACUUCCUGAUUCUGAGUUGGAUCCGAAGAUUGGAUUAAAACUGAGCCCAAGCCAGAUCUGUCUAAUGGGCCGUGGGGAUUGGGUCGACCUGUUUGAGGAAGAUAGCUGGAUCUCACUCUUAAAACUGAGCGGACCGGACCUGGUUCAUGUGGGAGACUUGAAGGCCUCCAGAUAAUGGGCUGUUGUCAUGGGUCCGGCCCCAAACCGUGGUGGCAAAAACCAGCGGUCAUCACACAUUAUUAUGUAAAAAAUUUCUUAAGCUUAUUAUUCAAUAUAUGCAACUAUACUUAACUGUAAAUAUAUGGUGCAAUAAAUUUACUUUGAUUAUCAUUUUAAUCAGUUUGCAGAGUAUGAACGUGACAAAUUUUUCUUAAAAGAUUCUGGAAAUUCUAUUACUAGCAGGUAAAGAUGAAACUUUUGUUUAUGUUUCCUCUUCGUCACAUUGCUUGCUCAAGCUUAUAGAUACAUGAUCAAUUCUCCAACUGCAGUUCUAUGUCUUCAAGAUAUGUAAAGCUAGAUGUUUAUUUCUUCGGUGUAAUUCUUUUGGAGAUAAUUACUGGGAAAUUACCUGUUAGUGAUAUUAGUUCCUAUGAUUCCUUCAACUUAAUUGAAUGGGUACGUAUUAUUUUUCUGUUUUAAUACAAAUGAAAAGAGCUUCUUGAUUUGAGUAUGUAAGGGUUUAUUUAUUUAUUAUUCUUAACGUUCAGGCUGUUCCUGCAAUUCAAAAUGAUUGGCCCAAAGGCAACUAUAAGUUUGUUGAUGAAAAAUUGGGGAGAAACUUUGACGAGGAUGAAAUGGAUCGAAUGAUAGAAUGUGCUUUAGCAUGUGUAGAGCGUUAUCCACAAAAUCGACCAGAAAUGAGUAAGGUAAUUUCAUAAAGCUUCAUAUUCUAUUUUAUAUUAUGCACAUACAUUUGAGUUUUAAAUAAUUAAGCAUUAACAGUAUUUUUAUUAUGAUUAUAAAAUUAUUAGUUUAGUACUGUUAAAGAUAAUAAUUUAAAACUGUCAUAAAGAAAAUUCAUUAAAUAUUUAAUAAAAUUAUAAUUUUAGCUGCGUUUUUUAUUCAUUGUGAAAAAAUAAUUAAACCGUUACUUUAUUUUUAACAACAAAAGUAGAUGUAAUAAUCAUCAAUCUGUUAAUAUUAAUUUAUAGUUAUAAUUAAAAAUAUAAGAUAACAAUUUAUAGCUAUUGUUUUAAAUUUAUUUUUAUAGUAAUAAUUAUGAUAAACUAAUAACAUUCAUGUGUUGUAAUUAUACUCUAAUUUGGGGAAUAAAAAAAAACUUAAUUGCUAAAAGUUAAAUUUUGUAAGAAUUAUUAAUGAAGUUAAUCUAUUCCAUUUCUUGGCAGAUCCGGUACUUUUUUUUUUUCCCUUUCUCUAAUUACUUUUCUCGGCAAAGCAGGUUGUUGAAGUUCUAGCAGGAAACAUUCCUCGGAAAAAUCUCAAGAAUUGAGAUGAAAUGUUUGAAAAAGAAAAUUAUUUUUUUCCUUUUCAAUAGAAGUUGGAAACUUCCUUGAAAGGCCGAUUGGACAUUGAAAUAAAAAGAUAGACCUCAGUUGAAGUGGCAAAGGAGUGUAACUGGAAGACUUUCUGAAUUUUGCUUGUAUUGAUGUGUCUUGGAGACUAUUGCAAUUUUUUUUUUAAAAAGUUCCGUUUGAAAUAAAUCGAAUGUAAAAAAGUGAUUUAGCUUUUAUAAAAUCAUAUUAUCUUAAAGUAAUUUUUUUAAUCAAAUCUUUUUAGUCAAUAAAAUUAAAAUUUUAGUUAUUAUGUUUUUAAAUAUACAAAUUAAAUUAAAUUCUUAUAAAUUUUUAGUUUUCAAACAGGAAAAUAAAAGGUUUUGGUAGGUUUGAAUCCAAAUAAGAACCUUGAGAGAAUUAUAUCACCCCAAAUUGCUGGACUAUCUACAGUAGCAUUUCUUUUUCAAAAAACAAUUGAAAAUGAGGUUAAUUCUUAUUCUAUUAACUAAAAUUAAAAAACUUUUUUUUUUUAAAUGAAGAUUGGAGAAAUAAAAUUUAAGAUCUCACAUAUUUAUUUUUUUUAAAAUAACAAGAAAACUUCAUUAAUUCAAAGAGAACAAAGAAACAAUAUGAGAAUGAGGGAUAUCAAUCCAAACUCCUUGACCUGACUCAGAAUGAGCCGAUAUUGCUAGAAUAUGAGCGACAUCAUUCGCAGAUCUAUGAACAAAAACACACUUUGCUUCCUCAUAACUAGAUAGAAGCAGUUUACAAUCUUGAACCAAAAGGGCAAAAAACGAUAAAUCAUCUAACAAAACACAAUUAACUGACAUCACAAGUACCUGAGCAUCCAAUUCGAAAAGAACUCGAUCCCAUCUACACUCUUUAAUCCAGCUCAAUGCUUCCCGGAAUGCUAUAGUUUCAGCACACUUUGCAUCCAUCUGGCUAUAAAAAGAUGCUGCUCUAGCAGCCACAAAACUCUCAUCAUCCUUCCGGAUUACACAACCGAAACCUACCGAACCUCGUUGCAAGCUUAAAUAGGCGUCAAUGUUCGCCUUGAUCCAACCGUGCGGCGGAGGAGACCAGAUCGGGCGAGCCGGGUCGACAAUGGUGCUUACUGAGGACACGACCCGGGCUACUUUUCAUUGCUGCAAAAAAUUCAGAGCCAUGAAGAACACACCACUCGCAGUCUGACCCUGACUCUUCCAUACAACAUUGUUCCUAUUUUGCCACAAAGCCCAUAAGAUCAUUAGCAUAAGGGAGGCAUUUUCCACAGAAGCAGAAGAAAAGGCUAAAGAAAACCACUCAUUUAAAGAAGAUGCAGAAGGCGCAGGCCAACCCAAUGGCGAGCUUAACCAGCAGCUGCGGGCAAAAGGGUACUGAAUCAGAAUAUGCAAGACAUUCUCAGGGGCUACAUGACACAACAGGCAUGAAGGAUCAACUGGGACUCUCUUGGACUGAAGUGACGAGAGGCAAGGGACAACAUUAACUAGAGCCCGCCAGCAGAAAUUGAGCACUUUUGGGGGAACUUUAGCUUUCCAGAACCUUUUCCAUAUCUCGCUCCCUUCCCUAUGUUGAAAGCCAUCAACCAGGAACCUAUAUGCACUCUUAACCGAAUAGUGACCUUUGGACUCGAAUUUCCAGCACCAUGUAUCAGAACACGAUGAAAGACUAAGAGGGAUGUUCAAAAUACAACUUCUAUCUCUUUCGUUGAACAUCUGUGCAAUUAAACUCUCGUUCCAUCUGUAGUUAAUUAUGAGAUCUGAAACAACAACUCUAGCACAGUUCAAAGGAGGGGUUGUGGAAACCAGGGACUCAGGCAACUCUCUCAACCAGGGUUGCCCCCAGACUGAAACUGACUAACCAUUCCCAAUCCUCCAGUAAGCCCCAGCUCGAAUUAGACCCCGAGUUUUCCAUAUGCUGCGCCACAAAAAACUAGGGUUACUUCCCAAAGGAGCUUCAAAGAAAGAUUGUGUCGAAAAAUAGCGGGCCUUAAGGACACGAGCCACUAAGGACUGAGGCCUAUUUAAAUAUAUUUAUCACCAGAUUGUGAGUGUAAUAUUUAUUAUAUUUUAAUUAUAUUUUAAGAAUUUAAUACGCUAAUAAAUCCUAUAGAGAUGUAAUUGUAUAUUUAAUAUUAUUUUAAUCUUUAAGUCAAAAUCAAUAAUUUCAACUCCAACCAUAGGUUAUGGCACUAAUCAAGUAACAGAGAAAAAUAUUUUUAAAGGGAAAUACUUAUUUUUAAUAAAACAAAUUAACUCAGAGUUAGCUUCUUUUAUUAGUUUAUAUGAAUUUUAUUAUAUUAAUAAUAAAAAUAUAUUUGUUAAAUAUGACCAAAAUUUUAAAAAUGACCCUCUUUUAAAUUCCAAUAUUAAAAUGACCAAGCUUAUUAUUAAUUUAAUUCCAAUAACUUAUCAUAUUUCUCCUUAUUAUCCAUAUUAAACAAUGACCAAGAUUUUAAAAUGACUCUCUCUAAUUUAAUUCUAAUAUUAAAAAUGACCAAAUUUAUUAUCUAUAUUAAACAAUGACCCAGCUUUUUAAAAAUGAUCCUAAGAUCAAACUAACAACUUUGUUGUUUCUUCAUUUAUUAAUAUGCAAGUGGGACAUAAGAAAUCAUUAGUUAAUUAAUUUGGUACGUCCUAUUUUAUAAUACACUGACCAAUCUGAAAGCUGAUUGGCCCCCACAAAUGGAUUAAUUAAUAAUUCAACGUUCUUAAUUAAUGCCGCCUUCAUUGACAGCCUGGGUACUGUUCAGAAACUAACAAUAUAGUAACCUUUGCACCGACUCUGCAUAAUUUGUAUUUUUUUAAUACUCCCUACUUUGAAACUUUAAUUUUCGCUAUGUGUGAUUCAGUAGAUUCGAUUGAAAAUUAAAAUUUAAAUAUUUUUAAAAAUUAAGUUGAAUUAAUUUUAAUUAAAAAUUAAAUUGAACUGAAUUUAUUUAAUUCAAUAUUAUUCGAUUCGAUUUGAUCGAUUUAAAUUUUUAAUAAAUUUUUUAUUUUUUAUGUUUUAUUUUUAAUAAUUUAAAAUUUAAUUAAAAUAUUUUAAUUUUAAUAUAAUUUAAUAUUUUUAUAUUAUUAAAGAUAAUAAAUUAUUAUCAUUAAUCGGUUCAGUGUAAUUUUUUAAUUUUUUUUAUUAAAAUUUAAAUAAAUUGAAAUAAUUGAAAAUUUUAAAAUUAAAAAUCAAAACAAAUUAAAAUAAAUAAAAAAUUAAAUUAAAAUUUUAAAUUAAUUCAAUUCGACCAAUUUUUUCGAUAUAAACCAAAUACUAUUCACCAUAAUUUUUAUCAUUGCGGUCAAAAUUAGAUAAGAUAUUUUUUUAUUAAAAAAAUAUUAUGCACAUGUAAAACGUAUAGGUUAAAAAUAUAUUUACAUAUUUAUAUUUUAAUAUUAUAUACAAAACGAUACAAGAGUGUAUAUAUAUAUAUAUAUAGAUGACUGACUCUCUCUCUCCUUGGCUUUUCAUUUCCUACCUUGACUAACUCUCUCUCUCUCUGUCAUCGUAACCUUGUGGGCAGCCAUGGCUGGGUCUUACUUUCGCUGGUUCAAGAAUAACGAAGGAAACGCCAGUUGCCAAAACAGAGGAGGUAUAUCUUUUGGGCAUAUACUGUAAGAUAAGUCCAACUCUAUUGGAAUUUCUUACCUUCUAAUAUCUAUAUUAAUAUAUAAAAAUCCAAAUCACUGUAUCAUGAUCAUAUAUGACUAGAUUUGUUUGUUAUGUUAUAGAUCUAUUUUUCUUAUAAGAUUUAUCAAUUUUUGUUUUUCAGAUAUUAAUUAUUGACAAUAAAACUUAUAUUUAAAAAGAAAAAAAAAAAACCUUCUCAUUUGAUUCUCUUUUGUUUUCCAUUAUUAAAAACAGAGGAAAAUGCCAUUCCAGAACCAAGCAGAGGAGGUAUGUUACAAGUGAAUUGCUAAACAUCCUAUUUGAAAUUUUGAUUAUGUGUGAAAUUUAUAUUUGCCAUACUACAUCUUUUAGUUUCGUAAGGAAUUAUUGACUUAAAAGUAGACCUAGUCGGAUCUAUUCAAGCCGUGAAUGAAAUGAUCCGUUAAAUUUUAGGAUAGAUUAAUUAAUCAUUUUAAUUUUUGAAUAGUUUAGAAAUUUUAAAUUAGAAAGACUUUUAAAAUUUUAAAUUUGAAAUGACUAAAACGAAAAGAUUUCAUGUUCUACCCUCUCAAUCUCCAUUUAAAAUUAAAAAAAUUUCUCUUCUUAAUCAUAAUUAAAAUUACACUACAAUCUAUUCAAUUUAAAUUAACAUCUUUUAGUUUUCGUUUAAUUUUAAAUUUUUAAAAUAAAUUAUUUUAUAAAAUUCUACCAUUUUUUAAAAUUAAUAUAUAAAUAAAUUAAAUUAUCAAAUAAUUAAAUUAAUUUUUUUACUUGUAAAAAAAUAUUUUCAUUUAAUUUUUUUUUAUAUCAUAUGAAUGGGUAUAUUUUGUAAAAAAACUUAUUUAUUGAAUUAUGAAUUAAAUAAUUUUUAGUACUCAUAUUUAUUUCUUUACGAUUUAUUUAAUUUUAAGUAAUUUUUUUUUAAUUUAUUUUUUUACGUAUGUGUGGAAUUUAUGUUUGAUUUUAAUCCCAACCCACAAAAUUGCAGAAUAACAAAAUUAGCAUUUGAUCCAGGUGUUCACAAGUACAGCUUUGAAGAGCUAGCAAAGGCAACAGGUGAUUUCUCCAACAACAACCGCGUUGGACUGGGCGGUUCUGGUCAAGUUUAUAAAGGAACACUUCCAAAUGGUAAACAAGUUGCGAUUAAGAGGCUUCAAUAUAAUUCAGAUCCUGAGAAACAGCGAAUGGAACUUCUAUUUGAGGAUGAGGUUAAAACCAUUAGCCGCACUUGUCACCGGAAUAUUGUGGAGGUCGUCGGAUACUGCAGCGAAGAAGCUGAUCGAUUGAUUGUUUACGAGUUCGUUUCCAACAAUUGCUUGAAAUCUCAUAUCUAUGGUGAGUACUUCUCAAAUUUUCUCAUUGGAUUUAUAAUUUAUUUAUCAUGAGAAUUAAAUGAUUAAGCCAUCUUGUUUGGUUACAUAAGUGGGAAGAAGACAGCAGAAAACGGUGACCGCCCCGAUCGAUUGGCCAACCAGAAUGAAGAUUGCUUUGGGUACAGCAGAAGGAUUGGCAUAUUUGCAUGAAAAGUGUGAGUUUUUAACUAUAUUUAGUUUUUUUUUUUUCAAGUUUUUCUAUAUUGCACUUUAUGCUUUUUAAUUUUAUGCAUUCUCAGGCAAAGGUAAACCAAGAAUCAUCCACAGAGAUAUUAAAAGUGACAAUAUUCUUCUUGAUGAUGAAUUUAAUCCUAAGGUAGGAUGAUAUAUUUACAGAAGAUAUUUAUGAAAAAUAAUUCAACAGCUAAACAUUUUAUAUUAUGAUUUCAAAAGUUAAUAUUAAAAAUGUAAAUAAAGUUUAUAUUUAUAACAAUUAACUGUUUUAAAAUACAAAUUGUAAGAUUCAUAUCAACUUCGAAUUUGAAUUUAACUUGUUAGUUAUAAAUUAAUUUGAAUAAAACAAUAAAUUACUUCUAUCAAUUUUUUUCCCUUUAGAUUGGAGAUUUUGGAAUUUCCAAAGAAUUUGCGGAUUCAAAAACUCACGUUUCCACUAUCCCAAAGGGAACUCCAGAGUAAGAUUCGUUCUUAUUUGCUUGCUAAAUUUUCUUUUUCAAAGAAAAUUCGUUGAAUUGGUAGUUCUCAUCUGAUGAACGCUUUCUUUAAGUGCAGUUAUCUCGCCCCCGAGCAUUGCACCGAAGAUGGCCAAAAUAAGAGGCUCACCGAUAAGUCUGAUGUAUUUUCUUUCGGUGUCGUGCUUCUAGAACUAAUUACGGGAAAAUUAGCCGUUUUUGAGAAGGAACGCAGGGAAUAUAUUUUCUUAACUAUUUGGGUACUUAAAAAUAAAUAAUAUGAUAUUUUGUAUUUUCAAUAUUCAAGGUUUUUUGUUUUUUAUUAUUUUUUUCCCUGAUGGAAUGCUUAACUGACCUUUGUACAUCUAUUUUCAUUAUUCACAGGCCGUGCCUCUACUGAAACAAAUUUUGGAUGCAGAGUAUCAAGAUUUGGAUGCUGAAAAUUGUAAAGAGCUUUUUGAUUCCAAAUUACCGAAUAAUUUUGAGAAAAAUGAUAUGAAACGACUCAUUUAUUGUGCUGUUGCUUGUGUAUAUAAACCUGCGAAUUUACGCCCACAUAUGUGCAAGGUAAAUUCACAAAACCAAACCAGUUAUUUUUGGAUUAUGCUUUGCAUGUGAUUAUCAGUAAAAAUAUAUGAAAUAUAAUUUAAAAAGUACGUGAAAAUUAUUUGAUAAUUUUGCUGUUGAUUAAAAAUUGGGAGAGUGAUUGCAUGUGAUUUUGUGAUGCAGAUAGUUAAAGUACUAAAUGGAGAUCUGGAACCCAAAACUAUAUGGGUGAGAAGUGAUUGCAAGUACCUAUACAGAGGGUCACCUUACACUCCAUUUCCUCAAGCUCAGGGAACCUCCAGCUCUUGAGCUCUAUCCAAUACAUGAAUUAUCCUGGCCUUGUAACAAAAAAGUAUGUGUUCUUGCUAAAUGCACGUGCUUUUCUAAGGGAUCAAUUAGUUAAUAAGAAUGUGUUGAACUUUUUUUAAAUAUUAAUAAUGAUUGAUAUUGAAUAAUUUUUCAUAUAUAUAUAUAUAUAUAUUGGCAAAAUACAUAAUAUCCAUUAAGUAUUAUUUUAAAACAAAGAGAUAAUAAUUUCUUUUAGUGAGGGUCCCUUCGAGGUGCAACAUAUCGAUGUAUAUAUAUAUAUAUAUAUAUACAUAGGUAUGAUUGGUAAAUGUAUGGAAAAUUUUUUUGGAUAAAUCAUAAGCCGAAUCCAACAAAAUAAUUAACAAUUUAAUAGCUUUUGAUAAUUUCAAAUUGAACAUUUAUAUUUAAAUAUAUAUAUAUAUAAAAACACGUAAAUAUUAAUAUAAAAUUAUUCAAUUAAUAUCAAGAUUGAAGCAAUAAAAAAUAAUCUAUUCUAAUUCAAUAAAUAUAAAUUGUGUAUAGAGUGAAUAUGAUCAAAUUCAAAAAAAUUAACACUAAAAACCUUCGAUCAAUAAGUAGAAAAAAAAUAAACAAUAAAAGUAAAUUCGAGAUUUUGAUGAAAAUUUAUUUAAAAUAAUAAAUUAAGAUAAUUUAAUAAAGUAAUAAUAAAAAAAAUUAAAUCAAUACAGAUAAAUUCUAGUCGAAUAUUAAAAUUGAUUUCAAUUCUGAAAAUUGAUUAUAGAAAUAAUAAAUUAGUUCUAAUUAUAGAAUACGCUCUAUAUAACAAAUUUAUCAUUAGGUGUAAAUUAAUUAGAAAACGUUCGCUAAUUAAACCUAGUUAACAAACAACCCAAAGAACAUAUGUUGAAUUUAAUUUAUCAACCCUUUUAAGAAUUAGAGAGACUCAAUUGUAACCAACAAAUCAAACCGUUUGAUGAGUUCAAGCUACAUCAUGUAAUUUUUUAAUGAAUUACACUAAUUGUUACUUGUUGUUAAAUAAAAGCAAUUAUGAAAUUCAAACAUUUAAACUAACAACAUAUCACUUUGAAAAUAUAAACAAUGGGCUCUAUUGGUCAAAUAACAAAACAAUAAUAAUAACAACCGAAAUUGUAUAUAUAAAUAUUGGAAUAAUAAAAUAUGAACAAUAAUUGUCACACCCAUUCUUUAAUCUGUAGAGAUGGAUAUGACUCGAAAAGCUGACAGAGUUCCCCCUAAUAUUAUGCAUAUAAAUGUAUAUAACCUGCUAUAAGUUUUAAAAUAUUAAAUAUAUAAGAGAAAACUGAUGGUUGUUCUAGUCAAUUCAUAAUAUAUUUACAUUAAACAAAAUAUGUUCCUCACUGGAAUGUACAAUCUAUACAUGAUCUUUCAAAAUUACAAAAAGAUAUGACAAAAGACCUAGGAUUGGUCCGACCUCCUCUAGACUCUGAGUGGACGAUGUGCAAGGAAAGUCAAACUAGGAGAUGCGGACUGCUGACCGGAUCACCGAAAAGAAACUGAAAUAAUAAAAGUAUAAGGGUGAGUACAAAAUACUCAGUGAGCGGAUAAAUAAAUAACAAAGGGGAAAAGAUAAAGUUUAGGUACUUAAUAGUACCAAAUAUUUAGCUAAAAUAAGUCAGCUGAAUAAAUACAAUUUAAUUCAAUUAAUACAAAUAAACUGUGAAAAAUAGAGUCCGCAUACACUCAUAAUAUGUUCCCUGUAGAUAAUGCUGACAUCUCAGGUGUGAUAAAAUAAUGACAGCCUGAGAGCAAUGCUGGCAUCUUAGGCUCUAUGAUGACAAUUUUGGCCCAAAAACAGUACAUAUAUAUAUAUUUGGUGCAUAUACAGAGUGUAAUCGGCUAUUUAUUCAGUUGUGCUUUAAAUUCAAUUUCAUUCAUUAAAGAAAUAUAAAUUAUCUUUAUCCUUUCCCAACUUAAAUAAACAAAUAAUAUAUAUAAAUAUAUAUAUUUAAGAAAAAUAUCAAUGUUAUAUAUAUAUAUAUUUUUUUUGAAAUAGGGAGUCGAACCUUAGACCUUUCAAGGCUACAGGAUGCACUUUCCACCAGGCUAAGCCUUGGAGUGCAUCAAUGUUAUAUAUUUAUCCACUCAUCAGUACUGAUGAUAAAAAUAAUCUAGAUUGCACGAGUACCCCUAUUAUCUAUCCCGGAAGCUGGAUCCUCUCCUAGAAUUAAAAAGAAAAAAAUAAUAUAUCAAAUAAUAAAUAAAUAUUUUAGAAUGAAAAUAUAAAACGUAAAAUACAAAAUUUUAAAUAUAUUUAUAUAUAUAAUUUUAAGAAAAAUUCGGCAGUAUUUUGGCAUAGCUAGACCUCCCAAAAUACACAAUCUCAAUAAAAAUACACAAUAAACUAUAAAUAUUAUAUAGAACAAUCUAUGAAAAAUCAUCAAUCUAAAAAGAAAUAUAGAAUUCCAUUAAUUGGGUCUAACUAAAACUUAUUCCCUUUUUAUUCUCAAAUCACCAAAAAUCACUAUUUAAUGGUAGAGAAAAUAAAUUAUACCAUAAUAAUUCGAAUAAAAGGGAUAAAACUCACCUACCCAAUUUUGGAGCCUCUGGAAGAAAUUAUUGAAUUCAUGAGCAGGAUAUUGGUUUAAAAUAGGAUCUAGCCGAGAAUUUUAGAAGUUUAUGGGUUGAUUGGGUUGAACAGAAGGAGAUUUGGGUUAAAAGAGGAAUUUUUUUUUUAAUAACAGAGGUUGUUCUGUUUCUGCUUUCUUCGGGAGGAAGAGAGCUCGCUCUGGUUUCGGGACGGAACUUUCCCAAAACCAGAGCUUUUAAUGCUCUCUUUUCUUUUUUUUUUUAAUUUUAUUUUAUUAAUUAUUCUUAUUAUUUUAUUAAUAAUAAUUUUAUAUAUAUAUAUUUGUAAAUUAUGGGCCUUUCUCUUUAUUCAUUUUUUUUUCUUUUUAAUUUUUAUGGGCUGGGCGUGAUAAUUCUCUUCUGCUAAAAGAAAUUUCGUUCUCGAAAUUUUACAUAUCUGGUGAAGGGAAUAAAUGUGGGAAUUGAAUUCACAUACUCUCUUCUUUUUCCCAAGUAACUUCUUUAGCAGAGUGAUUACUCCAUCGAACUUUAACCAGGGGUAUUAUUUUGCUCCUUAGAACCUUCUCUUCUUUCGCAAUGAUCUCAACUGGCUCUUCUUCGUAUGUUAAAUCUUCCCUCAACUCGAUAGGCUAUUUUUGGAGGAUGUGGGAAGGGUCACUUCUGUAUCUCCUUAACAUAGAUACAUGAAAGACAUCAUGAAUCUGAGAUAGCUCUGGAGGUAGUGCUAAACGAUAAGCAACUGGUUCAAUUCUCUCUAAAAUCUCAUAUGGUCCUAUGAAUCGCGGACUCAAUUUUCCACGUUUGCCAAAACGUACAACCCCUUUCCAAGGAGAGAUCUUUAGGAAUACCUUGUCGCCAACAUUAUAUUCAAUAUCCCUUCUCUUCAGAUCUGCAUAACUCUUCUGUCUGUCUUGUGCUGCUUUUAAUCUACUUUUGAUCAUCUGAAUUUUAUCUGUAGUGUGUUGUACUAGUUCUGGACCUUCUAAUUGUCUUUCCCCUACCUCAUUCCAACACAAUGGUGUUCUGCAUCUCCUCCCAUACAAAGUUUCAUAAGGAACCAUGCCGAUACUCGAAUGAUAACUAUUAUUAUAAGAAAACUCCAUUAAAUGCACAUACUUAUCCCAGCUUCCUUUAAACUCCAUCACACAAGCUCUCAGCAUAUCCUCCAAGGUCUGAAUAGUUCUUUCUGAUUGACCAUCAGUUUGAGGGUGAAAGGAAGUGCUAAACUUCAACUUGGUGCCUAAAGCAUUUUUCAAGCUAGGCCAAAAACGAGAAGUGAAUCUUGGAUCUCUAUCUGAAACAAUAGAAAUUGAAGCACCAUGGAGUCUUACAAUUUCAUGGACAUAGAUCUCUGCUAAUUUGUCUAAAGAAUAAUCCAUCCUGACAGGCAAAAAGUGUGCUGACCUGGUUAAUCUAUCAACUAUCACCCAUACUGCAUUAUAUCCGUGCGAAGUACGAGGUAACCCAGAAACAAAAUCCAUAGUAAUGUGUUCCCACUUCCAUUCCGGAAUAGAGAGCGGUUGCAGGUUUCCUGUUGGAUGUUGAUGUUCUGCUUUAAUCUGUUGGCAAACUAAGCAUAUGGACACAAAGUCAGCUAUUUCUUUCUUCAUGCCUGGCCACCAAUAAUUUUCCUUAAGAUCUCUAUACAUUUUUGUACUGCCUGGAUGCAUAGAGUAAGCAGAACAAUGAGCUUCCUCCAUAAUCUCUUUCUUCAAACUUUCCACUCUGGGUACACAUAGUCUAUCACCAAACAUUAAAGUCUCAUCCUCCCUUAGGGAAAAGUCAGUACGGGUGCCAUCUCUUACCUCAUUACUGAUCUUACUCAACUGCUCAUCUUGAUUUUGACUUUCCUUGACUUUUUCUAUCAAAACUGGUUGAACUUUGAGAGUUGCCAACAAUGCUCCUGCAUCAUCCACUGCUAGUUCUACCCUUAAGGAUCUGAUCUCUAGUAACAAGGGAAGCCGAACUGUUUUGAGAUAAGCCAAAUUACUAAAGGACUUGCGACUAAGGGCAUCAGCUACCACAUUAGCUUUACCUGGAUGAUAUUCAAUAGUACAGUCGUAGUCCUUAAGUAACUCAAUCCACCGUCUCUGCCUUAAAUUCAACUCCUUCUGUGUGAGAAGAUACUUCAAACUCUUGUGAUCUGUAAAAAUCUGGCAAGUCACGCCAUAAAGAUAAUACCUCUAUGUCUUUAAUGCAAACACAACUGCAGCUAAUUCCAGAUCAUGGGUGGGAUAAUUUAAUUCAUGUGGUCUAAGCUGUCUAGAAGCAUAAGCUAUCACCUUCCCAUGUUGCAUGAGUACACAGCCUAAACCCUUAUGAGAAGCAUCACUAUACACCAUAAAUCCAUCUGUACCUGAGGGUAGGGUAAGAACUGGGGCUGAUGUGAGACAUGUUUUAAGCUUCUCAAAACUCUCUUGACAUUCAUCUGUCCAUUCAAAUUUUGCAUUCUUUCGAAGGAGUUUAGUCAAUGGUGCUGCAAUGAUGGAGAAAUCCUGAACAAAGCGACGAUAAUACCCUGCUAAGCCCAGAAAACUUCUAACCUCUGUAACAUUAGUUGGAGGGUCCCAAUUGACUACUGCUUCAAUCUUCUUAGGAUCAACCAAAACUCCAUCUACUGAGAUAACAUGUCCCAAGAAAACCACCCGAUCAAGCCAGAACUCACAUUUGCUCAAUUUAGCAUAUUGUUGCUUAUUCCUUAAAAUUUGCAGUACUAUCCGUAAAUGCAUCUCAUGCUCUUCCUUGCUACGGGAAUAUACUAAGAUGUCAUCAAUAAACACAAUAACAAAGCUAUCCAAGUAGGGCUUAAACACCCUAUUCAUGAGAUCCAUAAAAGCAGCGGAUGCAUUAGUUAACCCAAAAGACAUAACGAGGAACUCAUAAUGCCCGUAACGAGUUCUAAAGGCUGUCUUGGGUAUUUCAGACUCCUUGAUCUUCAAUUGAUGAUACCCAGACCGCAAAUCAACCUUAGAGAAUACUUUAGCACCUUGGAGCUGAUCAAAAAGAUCAUCAAUGCGGGGUAAAGGAUACUUAUUUCGCACAGUGACUCGAUUCAAUUGUCUGUAGUCAAUACACAACCUUAAGGAACCAUCCUUCUUCUUCACAAAUAGCACCGGGGCUCCCCAAGGUGAAACACUGGGUCUUAUGAAACCUUUAUCAAGUAACUCUUGCAAUUGUGCUUUUAACUCUUUUAAUUCUACUGGGGCCAUUCUGUAUGGUGCCAUAGAAAUAGGAGUUGUACCUAGAUUUAAAUCAAUAGAGAAUUCAAUCUCUCUAUCUAGAGGCAACCCAGGAAGUUCUUCAGGAAAUACAUCAGGAAACUCACUCACUAUUGGUAUAUCCUCCAAUUUAGGUCCUUCAAGGUUACUGUCCACCACAUAGGCUAAAUGCGCUUGACAACCCUUCCGAAGCAUCUUCCUAGUGGUCAUGGUGGAAAUCACAUAAGAAGGAAGUAAACGCCUCUCCCCAAAGAAAGUGAACUUGGACCCUUCUGGACUAUUAAAUACCACUAAUUUCUCAAAGCAAUCUACUGUGGCAUGAUGACGGGAUAACCAAUCCAUACCUAGGAUAACAUCCAGAUCUUGUAGACACAAAGGCAUCAGAUCCACUAACAGCUCAUGGUUGCCCAACUUAACAACACAAUCCCUAUACACAUAUUCACAUACAACAGAAUCCCCAACUGGAGUACUCACAUCUAAUCCACCAUCUAAAGGUUUUAAUUCUCUAUCAGCAUACUCAGAGAAUGAUUGAGAUAUGAAAGAGUGAGUAGAACCAGGAUCUAUAAGAAUGUGUAUCUUUAUUAAAAAUGGUUAACAUACCAGUCACCACCUCUGGAGAUGCUCGUGCCUCCUGCUGUGUCAUAGCAAAGACUCUGGCUUGAGUGCGAGGUCUACCAGGUUGCAUCAUUGGUCUAGUCUGAGAAGAUGAAGUAGCACCACUGGCUCUGCUUGAGCUAGGCCCAACUUGUGCCGUAGGUACACCCUGUGAUUGUGUCCUACCAUACUUUAGCUUCUGAGGCGCCACUGAUCCUUGCUGAGAACCACUGUCUUUAGUUAUCAGCAAUGGAUAAUCUUUCUUAAAAUGCCCCGAAGAACCACAUUCAAAACAACCCCUAUCAAAUUUUCUGCACUCCCCAGCAUGAUAUUUACCACAGGUGAUACAUUGAGGAAAAUGUCUCUUCCUUUGUUCAAACCCAAAAUUAUAUCCUUAUCCUUGUCCACGUUUAUGUGCCCCAAAGGAACUACCCACCGGUUGUGCUACUGAACUCUGACUAAACUGUGGUCGAGUAACUUGCUACUAUGUAUUGACAAAAGAACCUCUACCACUACCACUGUAUUCAGUUUUGGACUGAAAUGAACUGUUCCCUCUCUUAGCUGGUCUCUCUCUGAACCCCUGUGAACCCUGCAUAUGCUUCCUACUCAUCCUCUGCUCAUACUCUCUCUUUUUGCUUAACUUUCUCAACGUUCAAGGUUGCUUCCACCAAUUCUCUAAAAUUAUUUCCUCUGAACCAAGUCAUAGAUGAUCUAAUAUUGACAUGUAGACCCUGUCUGAAUCUGUCACAUUUAGCUUCCUCAGAAGGCAGUAUGUCUGAAACGAAGCAAUAGAGGUCUUCAAACUUGUCAACAUACUCUCUUAUUGAGAGGCUUCCUUGAAACAACCUGAAAAAUGCAUCCUGUUUUCCCUUUCUGUAACUUUCUGAUAAAUACUCCUGGCAAAAUUCAUAUAUAAAUUGAUCCCAAGUCAGUCUAACUCCAUGUCUGCGACGAAUGCCAUUAAACCAACCAUCAGCCUUACCUUGAAGCAAUCCAUGUACAUUAUCUACCUUAUCUGGAUCAGUCAACUUCAUUAAUUCAAACACUUUUAUCACUUUCUUUAACCAUUUAUCUGCAAUGUCAGCAUCAGAAGAACCCUCAAAAUCAUAAGCCCCCAAAUGUCUAGCACGAUCCACUAUCUCCCACGGAUCUCUAGGUUUAGCUAUAAUAACUGCUGUAACUACUUGUGCCACAAAAGCACCCAGGUCUGCAUUGAUCUGAAAAGGAUUGGCUGGUGCUACAGGUGAAACAAAAGGUGGAACUGCAGGUGCAACACGAGGUGCAACUGUAGGUGCUGAAGGGGGUGAUGGUGAUGUUGGAUAUGUUCUUGAUUCAACACCAUGAGAAGCAAAAUCUCCAUGCCCUUCUCCGCUCUCAAGUAAAAUAUGAUCUGCCACCCCUUCUAGAGGUGGAGGUGUAACUGUAGGAUCCCUAUGAGGUCGACCAAUAUCAGCUAAUCUAGCUGUACGAACACCACGGCCCCGAUUUCUAUUACCUACUCUGGGCGGCAUUGUCCUACAAACGAAAAAUACGAAAAGAAUUAUCAGGAUAUAAUUAAGAAUACUGACUCGAGAAAAGUCUACAGAAUCUAUAACCUAAGCUCUGAUACCAAAAAUUUUCACACCCAUUCUCUAAUCUGUAGAAAUGAAUAUGACUCAAAAAACUGACAGAGUUCCCUCUAAUAUUAGGCAUAUAAAUAUAUAUAACCUGCUAUAAGUUUUAAAAUAUUAAACAUAUAAGAGAAAACUGAUGGUUGUUCUAGUCAAUUCAUAAUAUAUUUACAUUAAACAAAAUACGUUCCUCACUAGAAUGUACAAUCUAUACAUGAUCUUUCAAAAUUACAAAAAGAUAUGACAAAAGACCUAGGAUUGGUCCGACCUCCUCUAGACUCUGAGUGGACGAUGUGCAAGGAAAGUCAAACUAGGAGAUGCGGACUGCUGACCGGAUCACCGAAAAGAAACUGAAAUAAUAAAAGUAUAAGGGUGAGUACAAAAUACUCAGUGAGCGGAUAAAUAAAGAACAAAGGGGAAAAGAUAAAGUUUAGGUACUUAAUAGUACCAAAUAUUUAGCUAAAAUAAGUCAGCUGAAUAAAUACAGUUUAAUCCAAUUAAUAUAAAAUGAACUGUGAAAAAUAGAAUCUGCAUACACUCAUAAUAUGUUCCCUAUAGAUAAUGCUAGCAUCUCAAGUGUGAUAAAAUAAUGACAGCCUGAAAGCAAUGCUGGCAUCUUAGGCUCUAUGAUGACAAAUUUGGCCUAAAAGCUAAUAAAAUACUGGUCAUACACAUGUGCAGAGCUACCCCAAAGGGUGACCACCUGACAUACGCCCCAAAGGCUGUCUGUAUAUCAAGCGCUGUCCCAAAGACAGUACAAAUAUAUAUAUUAUGCUGAAAAUAAAUCACCUGUCAUCAAGGUGUUAUCUAUUCGGUGCAUAUACAGAGUGUAAUCGGCUAUUUAUUCAGCUGUGCUUUAAAUUCAAUUUUCAUUUAUUCAAGAAAUAUAAAUUAUAAUAGAUUCUAGUCCUAUUGGAAUUAACUCCAAAAGCCUUGUCAACCCGACUAUGAGGAGCAUAUAAAUACUUUAAAAUAUUACAUUCUAAGAGCAUAUUUUAAAAUAUUUAGGGCGCAUUUGGGAGAUAGAUGCUAAAAGUGAAAUAAAUCAUUUUAUCUAUUAAUAGUAGACAAAUUGCAUACUACUAAACCAUGCAUCUAUUGCCACAGUUGUUCAUAUCAGUAUUUUGAGAAUAUACCUUAAUGACCAAUAGUUAACAAUGACUGACCAAUAGUUAACAAUGACUCUGAUGGGUGGUUUUGCUAGAUUAAGCAAUAAUGAGUCUACGUAAAUACAUUGCUCCCGACUCUUCAAUCAUUUGAUAACCAGAGUUAUUCUUUAAUAAAUGAUCAUUAUGAGUCGAGCUCAAUAGAAUUUGAUUAAUCCUUGGAGUAUCUUAGUUGCACGCAAUUCUAAUAAGCUAGUUCAGCUAAAACAGCUAAGUUAUCACUGUUGUUGCAGCUUGCACAAAGAUGACUAACAAGAAAGGAGAAGAUAAGCUUUGCUUCAUAUUAUUUUCAUAUGUACAACAUACAUUCAAGCUCAGUAUAAAUAGACUUUUGAGCAAGUAACUGCCUUAACAGUCUUGGUUAUAGAAUACCACGUGAAACUAAUAUAAAUGCCAGCCCAACUUUUGUUUAACUAACUGGAACUAAUUUUGGUGCAAUUUUCCUCUAUAUGAUUUGAUAUCCCCCCGCAAGCUGGAGAGUAGAUAUUGACAAGACCCAGCUUGAGCAGAAUGUCUAGAAAAGGAGCAGUAGCUAAGGGCUUAUUACAAAUAUCAGCUAACUAAGAAGAGGAAGGAACAGGAAGUAGCUUGAUCAGUCCAGCAUGUAUCUUUUCUCGUACAAUAUGGCAAUCAAUCUCUAUGUGUUUGGUACGUUCAUGAAAAGUCGGGUUGGCAGUUAUCUGAAGAGUAGAUUUGUUAUCACAGUAUAAUAAUGCAGGGUGAUAAUGAGGCACACACAUAUCUUUUAAUAGAUAGGACAACCAUUGCAGCUCACAAGUAGUGCUAGCCAAAGCUCUGUAUUCAGUUUUUGAGGAAAAAUGAGAUACAGCAGUUUGCUUCUUAGCUUUCUAACUAAUUAAGGAAGAACUAAGAUAAAUGCAAAAGCCAAUUACAGAUUUGUGAGAAUCCACACAGCCUGCCCAGUCUGAAUCACUGAAAAGCUUUAAACUGAGCAGUGGAGUUGGCUGGAAAGAAGACACUAGUUCCAGGAGAUCCUUUGAUGUAUCGAAGGACUCUGUGUGCAACCUGAAGAUGUACAGAAAAGGGCUUAUCCAUGAAUUGACUAAGUUGUUGUAUGGCAAAGGAAAUAUCAGGCCUAGUUGAAGUUAAAUAUAACAAUCUACCAAUGAGUUGUCUGUACUGUGAGCAUCAGUUAAGACAUCUCCUGUGUCUUUACUUAACUUGGCUUUAUGAUCCAUAGGAGUUGUAACAGGUUUGGCCUCCAAAUAUCCAGUAUCAACGAGAAUAUCUAGAGCAUAUUUCAUUUCAUUAAGUAUAAUGCCUACUGGAGUUCUAGAAACUUCAAGCCCCAAGAAAAACUUAAGUUCCCCCAAGUCCUUGAUCUUGAAUUUGGUGUCAAGGAAGGACUUAACAAAUUGAAUUUCUGUGGGAUUGGUUCCAGCAAGGAUGAGAUUACCUACAUAUACUAAGAUGACAGUGACUUAAGAACCAGAUUGUUUCACAAAUAGAGAAUGAUCUAAAGUAGAUUGCUUAUAACUAAAAGACAUGAGAGCAUGAGAUAAUUUGGAGAACUAUUGUCUAUUGGCUUGUUUGAGUCCAUAUAGGGACUUUUGGAGCUUACAUACCUUAUUUGGAUUGGCUGUUUUGAAUCUUGGGAGAAGAAGCAUGUAGACUUCUUCGUUGAGGUCUUCAUGAAGAAAUGCAUUAUUGGCAUCAAGCUAUUCUAAAGUCCAAUUAUGAAUGGCAGCCAGGGCUAAAAGUAUUCUAACAGUUGUCAUUUUUGCCACAGGUGAGAAGGUAUCAAAGUAAUCCCCUCCUUACUGAGUGUAUCCCCUAGCAACCAAACGUGUUUUAUACCUUUCAAUAGUCAUCAAUUUUAUAUUUCACUUUAAAGACCCAUUUGUAGCCAAUAGGAGUCUUUCCAAGUGGUAAGUCAGUGAUCUACCAUGUAGAAUUCUCCUCAAGAGCUUGGAUUUAGGCCUGCAUUGCUAAUUUCCAACAGUCAUGUUUCACAGCUUGAUGAUAGGUUUUGGGUUCAGAAGAAGCAGAGAUGGUAAGAGAAAAAUGUUCAUGAGAAGAAGGUAAAUGAGCAUAGGAUAUGAAAGAACUUAAAGGAUAAGGAGUAUCUGAAAUUGGAGAUUUAGUAACAGUUAUGGUCGAUAAAUAAAUUGCAAUGAUAAUCUUGCAAAUAAGUUGGAGACUUUCUAAGUCUUGUAGACUGCCUAGGUAAAGAAGUCGAUUCUAUUGGAGGAGUAGAGGUGGGAAGGGUGGAAGGAUAAGUAUCUACAUUUGGAAUAGAAGUGUCCUGAGGAAGAAAGAGAGAGAGUGGGAAAAGACUGGGAAUGAACAUGAAGAGGGAAAAUAUUCUCAUAAAAGACUACAUUUCUGGAAAGAAAAAUGUUUCUGUUAAGAACAUCCAACAAUAUAUACCCGUUAGUGCCUUGCUUCAAGCCUAGGAAGAUGCACUUCCUAGCUCUAAGAUCAAAUUUAGUUCUUUGAGCAGUGAUUGUGGUGGCAAAGCAAAAAGAGUCAAAGACUCUAAACAACAUUUCAUAAGGUGUCUUAUUAUAAAUGAUAGGGGAAGGUAAUCUAUUGAUGAGAUGAACUGCAUAUACAACAGUAUAACACCAGUAGGACUUACAAAGAUUAGAUUGGAAGAGAAGAGCUCUUGCAAUAUUUAGGAUAUAUUGAUGAUUCCUUUCAACAAUGGCAUUUUGCUUAGGAAUUUCAAUGCAAGAAGUCUGAUGAAUAGUGCUUUUAGCUGCAUAGAAAGUGGGCAUAUCAAACUCAGGUACGUUAUCACUUCUCACAAUUUUGACAGUAAUGAGAACUGAGUUUCAACCAUAGAAAAAAAAAUCCUUGCAGAGACUGCCUUACUUGGGAUUUAGCUUGUAACAAAUGCAACCAAGUGUACCUUGUAUAGUCAUCCACUAUUGUUAAGAAAUAUUUGUGAUUGUGAAUGGAUGAAAUAGAAAAGGGCCCUUAAAUGUCAACAUGAAUUAGUUCGAAUGGCUUCGAAGUUUUACUGGUGCUAAUAGGAAAUGAGAGUUUCUUUGUUUGGCAAAAUGACAUACAUCACAGUGAUUAUUUCUUAUAACAAAAAAACCACGUAAGUGCUUUUGCAGAGUUUGAAGUCUGACAGUGGAAGGAUAACCAAAUCUUUGAUGCUAAAUGUCAAAGGUAGAUAAAGAUGACAUAAAAGUUGCAUGUUAACCUGAUGUUGCAGUGUAUAAAGCACAUUGUUUACCUCAGCUGUACCAAUUAUCUUCCAUGCGUGCAGAUUCUAUAUAAAGCAAGUAUGUUUAUGAAAGAUGAAACAACAGGGAGAAGAUCUUGUGAGCUUUGUGAUUGACAAAAGAUUAAAUUGAAAUGUUGGAAUAUAAAGAACAUCAUCAAGACUGAGAUCUAUUAAGAACUCCACUGUGCCUAAUAUGGUAGAUGAAACUUUAGUACCAUUUGACAAAGUAACAAAGAUAGGAUAAAUAGUCUUGUAGGAUUUGAAGCUAGUCAAUGAAAAGGUAGUAUGAUCUGUAGCCCAAGUGUCCAGAAUCCACUCAUUAUGUCCAUGAGUACAGGCCAAAGAGAAAUGAGUACCUGUUGAUGGAGAAUCAAAUGAAGAAACCAGAUUGGUGGAGGCAGGCUGUGACUGAGAAGGUGAUGAGCUUGAUGAAGCUACAUAAGUAUUGAGUUGUGAGACCUUAAAUAGGUUCAUUAAGCUAUGGUACUGAUCUUGAGAAAGAAUAAAAUUUGGAGUAUUUGGACCACUUUGAACAGAUUCAAUGGCUGCAUUCAAUAGAUCUUCAAAAACAACAUUAUUUGCAAUAGGAGAAUCGGUUCUGAAUUUAAAACCUAGUGGAUAACCAUGCUUUUUGUAGCAAGUGUCAAUUGUGUGUUUUUUCUUACCACAGAAGGUGCAAAACUCGGUAUCAAUAGAUCUUUAUCCUCCUUGAACUAGAUUAGGCUUUGAACGGUUAAAUGACUUGAUUCUUGAGUCUGAUUGAUCAGAUCUAAAAGCUCUACUAGCAAGUAAGCUAGAAAUGGUGCACUUCACUGACAACAAUUUAAUAUGUCAAGCAUGCAAGAAUGAUUCACGAGGGUUGUUGCAAGGUUAUUAUAUCGGUCAACCACAGGUGGUUAAGAUUGUGGGAAAGAGCAAAUAAGCUAGAAAUGGAUCAUUUGGGAGCCUUUCUCUUGUAUAUAUAUGUGAAUAGUUAGUGAUAGAGAAUAUGUACUCUGUAUGAUUUUCCUCAGUUUUACUCAAUCAAUGAAAUCCUCUCGCUCUAAGCAAACGAUCACAUAGAAUGGCUGGAUAAAGUAGUAGUCAAGCGGACAAGGAGAGAAAUCAAACUAACCUUCCAAAGUUCUAAUAAUCUUGGUAUGAAUUUGAUGAGUGCUCACUUAACAGUUGACAACUAUUUAGCUUGGAGUAGAUUAAUGUUAAUUACUUUGAAAGCCAAAGACAAGUUAGGUUUCAUAACUGAAAAGUGUAAAAUACCCAAUGGAUAUUCACUUAAAUUUAAGAAAUAAGCCAAAGUUAAUAGUAUGGUAACCUCAUGCAUUCUUAACUCAAUUUCCAAAGAAAUUAUGGAGGCUUUUCUAUGCGCAUAGUGCCAAGGAUCUACGGAAUAAAUUGGCACAUCGGCUUUGUAAAAGCAAUGGACUACUGAUGUACUAAAUCAAGAGGAAAUGAACACGCUUAAUCAAGGAAAUAUGAUUGUUAUGGUGAAUUUUAUAAAACUAAAGAAAUUAUGAGACGAAAUGUCACGUUUAUGGCUAUGUCCUACAUGCAAUGGUGGAGCUGCAAAGGAAUAAGUAGAAAUUGACAAAGGGGACAAGGUGAUUCAGUUCUUAAUGGGACCCGACAACAUCUAUGAUGAGUUGCAAAACUCACUAUUUUUUUUAUAUUAAAUUUCAUAAUUUUGCUAUAAUUUUAAUAUAAACAAUUGAUUUUUUACUUUGAUUUUGAUUUUGCACAGAUUUUGAGCUGAAAGUGUAAAAAAGAACUAAAAGAUACUGUUUUCGAGCUAUUUUUAUCUGGAAGGUACAGUCUUAUCCAAUGCUGUGACCUAAACUUAACGAAUAAAUUGCAAGAUUUCUAUUUUGCCAGCUAUACAGAGUUCAAACCUAUUUGAGAUGGUUACAAAUAUAAUCAGAUCGGGAUUAGGAUAAUAAUUAUAGGAGUAGUAGAUUUAUUUUACCUUUUUCUUUUUAAAUUUUGAAUAAUUAUUUUUUUUUGUUUAGAAAAAUCCUAUAAAAAGACUGUUUUAGAAGUGGAAAAUAUAUCUCAUCUCUCAUUCUCUCCUUUCGGUUCUUCUUCUAGCCGAAUCCUUUCUUUAUUUUCUUUUAUUUAUUUUUUAAUUUUGUUAUGAUUCUUACUGACUAAACAUAUUUUUUCAAUUGAAAGUUAAUCAAGUUGAGAUUUAUUUAUAUUGUGAGAUUUUGUUUUUAAUUUAUAUUCAUAUUAAUUUUUAUUUUCAUUUUUUUUUCUGUUUAUAAAGAACACCACCUCUGGUUUGUCUUUUAGGAAUUCAAAAGAUCUAUUGAAUUUUUUAAAAAGACAAUAUAUUGCUAAUUAAUCUAAAUAAAUACGUAAUUAUUUAAUUGGAUUAACACAAGUAGUAAUUAGCAUAUUUAUUUAUAUUAAGAAAUUAAUUGAUUUGGUUUAAAUAAUUCGCUUGCAAUUAUUGAUUAUGUUUCACGCUUGACAGACUUAUUAAUUAAUUAGGAAUUAAUUUAAGCACUGGAUAGACUUAUUAAUUAAUUAGAAAUUAAUUUAAGCAAAUUAAUUUAAUUUUGAGAAAGAAUUGGUGGGAUUGCUUGUAUAAACACUAUAACCAAAUACUAAACAAUUAAAUGAAUCAUCUUUUUAAUCAGUGAUCAACUGCAAACUUCUAACUCUGACUACUUUUGUCUGAAUUUUUUAAAAUUAUUUAUUUAUUUUAUCAUUCCAAUUUCAUUAUUUUCUUUAAUUUUUCUUAAAAUUAAUUUCUCUAAUAGAAAACUUUCUUCUUUUUUCACUUUUAAACAAUUCUUUCUUUCUUUUUUUACUUGGCAUUUAAAUUAAACAAUUUUAAGAUUUCGAUAGAAUCGAUACUCAUUCGUUCUAUCUAUAAAUUCUAUUAAAUCAAUAAAAGGAGAAUCCGUUUUAAUUGAUGGAUUCGACAUCCAUCAAUCUAUGAUCAUGUGAAGAACCAGAUUCUCUUACUUCUAUUAAUAAAACUUAUUCUAGAGCAUUCGAUCGGUUCGGUUUAAAAUCGAAUCAAAUCGAAUAAAUCAAAAAUUAAAAUUUUAGUAUUUAUAAAAAUCAAACCGAAUCAAUUUUGAUCAGAAAUUAAAUCAAACCGACCGGUCUGAUUUGAUUUGAUUCGGUCAGUUUUAUUGAUUUCAAUUUUUAAUAAUUUUUUUAUUUUUUACACUUUACUUUUAAUAUUUUAAAAUUUAAUUAAAAUAUUUUAAUUUUAAUAUGAUCUAAUUUCUCUAUAUUAUUGAAAAUAACAUAUUAUUAUCGUUAAUCGGUUCAGUUUAAUUUUUUCAAUUUUUUUUUAUCAAAACUGAAUCGAACUGAAGUAAUCGAAAUUUUUAAAAUUAAAAAUCGAACUAAACCGAAAUGAAUAAAAGACCGAACUGAAUUUUUAAAUUAAUUCGAUUUAAUCAAUUUUUUUUAGUUGAAUCGAAUACUGCUCACUCCUGGUGCCGAGAGUUGAAAAAUAAAGGGAAAUUCACAGCUUGAUAGGAGGAGUGAAUAAUGGCUAGACAAUAUUGGCAAAUGCUCAGAUCACAAAGAAGGAGAAUGGAAAUGAAAGUGCAAUACCUAUCUUCAAUAACAAUAGCCAGGUUAGGGAGUCAUGCUUCAAGUUGAUCUGCUAUCCUGAAUGGUUCAAACAGAAGAAGAAUAUGCAAGCUGCAAAUGCCCUAACUCACAAUGAUGAUGGAUCUGAAGUAAAAGCAAGUGAAGUUGUUAAAAGACCUAAAACCAAUAAUGCACAACUGACAAGCUUAAUCCAACAGAAGCUAAUAAGUAUUCUGAAAGGCAAGUCCGUGAAUGGGGCUAAUCGUGUAGAAUUCUCUAGAUUCGCAAGUAAUAUCUCUUAUUAUAAUGGUUCUUGCAAGAAUAAUAUAGAAUAAGAACUUGACUUAUUGAUAUAGGUGCAACAUUUUCAUAUGUUCCAAUCACACACUUUUCACCUCUUUAAAAUCUUUACUCAAACCUUGUUCUAUCCAACUACCUAGUGGAUCAAGUCAAUUGGCAAGCAAGACCGGAGAUAGUCAUCUAAGUCCUUCACUAACACUGCACAAGGUAUUGUUUGUUCCUACCUUCAACCAUAACCUUCUCUCUGAAUUAAUUAGCUUACAAGUGAAUCUGAGAUCAAUGUGCAUUUCUUUUCUAAUGAGUGUCAUCUACGGUUCUAGGGGUGCGCAUUUGAACCGAACCGAACUAAAUAAACCGAAAAUUAAAAUUUUGGUAUUUAUAAAAAUCAAACCGAACUGAUUUUGAUUAAAAACUGAAUUGAAUUGAAUCUGUCUGAUUCGGUUUAAUCGGUUUGAAUUUUUAAUAAAUUUUUUAUUUUUUACACUUUAUUUUUAGUAUUUUAAAAUUUAAUUAGAAUAUUUUAAUAUUAAUAUGAUCUAAUCUCUCUAUAUAUUAUUAAAAAUAAUAUACUAUUAUCACUAAUCGGUUUAAUUUAAUUUUUUUAAUUUUUUUUAAUCAAAACCGAACCAAACUGAAAUAAUUGAAAUUUUUAAAAUUAAAAACCAAAUCGAAAUAAAAUAUAUAAAAAAAUCAAAUUAAUUUUUUAAAUUAAUUCAGUUUGAUCAAUUUUUUUAGUUUAAAUUUGCUCACCCCUAAUUCCAUACCUUGUGAUACAUGUGAUUUAGCUAAUUCUAUACCUUGUGAUACAUGUGAUUUAGCAAAACAUCGUUUACCAUUUCUUAAAAGUUAAUCGAAAUCUUGUUUGCGUUACUAUAAAUUUUUUAAAUGACAAAAUUAUCAUCAAUUAAAUGAGAAUAGAUUUAUUAUUUUAUGAAAAUUUAGAAUAAAAUUAAAAAUUUAGAGUAUAACCACUAAUAAACAAAAUCAAUUUUAAUAAAAUAAAUUAAUUAAGAGUUAACUGCUGCUAUUAGAAUUGAGUAAAAUUAUAGAAUUAAAAAUUCAACAGAUGAUCUUGGUCAAUUUUAUAUGAAUUUUACUAUGAAAUUAUAUUUAUUAUAUCUGUAAAACAGUUAUAUUAAAAUUUUUUUUUCUUUCUCUUAUAAAUUUUUCACCAAUAAAUUAUUUUAAUUAUUUCUACGCGUUUUCUAUAUUAAAUAUGACCAAGAUUUUAAAAAUUGACCCUCGUAUUAUUGGUUAACAAAGUCAGACUAACUACUUCGUAGUUUCUUCAUUUAUUAAUCUGUAAUUGGAACUCAUCAUCGAUUAAUUAAUUUUGAUACGUCGAUUUUAUAAUACACAGACCAAGACUAAAACUUCCUCAAUGGAUUAAUAAUUCAACCUUCUUAAUAAUGCCAUGACAGCCUGGGUGCUGUCUGGAGAUUGCUUGCUCAAGUUUUCUUCUCUAUUUUAUUCAGUUAAUUUUGGCUAAAAUAAUUCAACUAGAAAUAAUUAAUUUUAAUUUUUAUAGUAGGAUGAAACUAAUUAAUUAGUUUCCUUUAAUAUUUUCUUAUAUAUAUAUAUAUAUAUAUUCCGACCUUCUAAUGACACCAAAGACCCCUGGCUUUUCAUUUUCCAGCUUGACUCUGUCUCUCUCUCUCUCUCUCAUCCGAGGGCUGUGUAUCAGAAUUCAGAAAGAAACCUAGUGGGCAGCCAUGUUUGGAUCUUACUUUUGCGGGUUAUGGAAUAAGAAAGGAAACGCUAAUGGCCAAAACAGUGGAGGUAUUUCUUUUCUUCUCAUAUCUAUAUAUGAAUGAUUGUUAGAUAAACAGCAAGCUUUAAUUUGGGUGUCACCGUUAUAUGAUUAAGAUUUGUUUGUUAUGGGAAAGAACUCAAAGGACUUCUCAUUUGAUUCUCUUUUGUUUUCAAUUAGCAAAACCGGAGGAAAAACCAAUUCCAGUACCAGAAACUGAUGAUGACGGCAGAGGGGAAGGUAUGUAACAAGGGAAUUGCUUAACAUCUUAUUUUUGCUUGACUUUUAGUGGCAAAUUAUUGACUUAAAAGUAUUAAAAGAAAAAAGACAAGAGUUCUUAUUGAUUCUCUUUUAUUUCCUAUUAGUUAAAACAGAGGAAACAGCUAUUCCAAUACAAGCAACUGAUGAUGACAGCAGAGAGAAAGGUAUGCAACAAGUUAAUUGCUAAACAUAUUAUAUCAAAUUUCAAACAUCUCGCUUAUGUGUGGAAUUUACGUUUGAUAUGUCUUCUGUUAAUUUCUGAUAUUGUGCAUCUAUCUAAAUAAUUUCUAAUUCACUAAAUUGCACAGCAACAAAAUCAACAAACAAACCUUAUAAUACUAAAAAUAAUUCAUGUGUGUACUUGGGUAAGCAUUUGAUCCAGGUGUUCCCAAGUAUAGCUUUGAAGAGCUAGCAAAAGCAACAGGUGAUUUCUCCAACAACAACCGUGUUGGGCAGGGUGGUUCUGGUCAAGUUUAUAAAGGAACACUUCCUAAUGGUAAACAAGUUGCAGUUAAGAGGCUUAAACAUCAUUCAGAUCCUGAGAUAGAGCAAAUGGCUCAACUUCACUUCGAGGAUGAGGUUAAAACCAUUGGCCGCAUUCGUCACCGGAAUAUUGUCGAGAUCGUCGGAUACUGCAGCGAAAAAGCUGAUCGAUUGCUUGUUUAUGAGUUCGUUUCCAACAAUUCUUUGAAAUCUCAUCUGUACGGUGAGUACUUUUCAAACUAUCACACGCUUUCUCCUUGGAUUUAUAAUUUAUUUAUCAUGAGAAUUAAAUGAUUAAGCCAUCUUGUUUGGUUACACAAGUGGGAAGAAGACAGCAGGAAACGGUGAGCGUCCCGAUUGAUUGGCCAACCAGAAUGAAAAUUGCUUUGGAUACUGCAAAAGGAUUGGCAUAUUUGCAUGAAGACUGUAAGUUUUAACUUCAUUUUUUUUAUAUAUUGAAUUUUAUGCUCUUUAUUUUUUACACACUUUAAUUUUAUAUCUUAGGUACGCCUAGAAUCAUUCACCGAAAUAUUAAAAGUGAAAAUAUUCUCAUUGAUGAUAAAUUUAAUCCUAAGGUAUGAUAAUAUAAUUAUUUUUACUAUAUAUCAUAUUAUAUAUUUAUAAAAAUUGUUAAUUUAUGUUAUAUUAAUUUGAAUGACAAAAUAAAUUACUUCCAUCGACUUUUUACUCUUCAGAUUGGAGAUUUUGGAAUUUCCAAAGAUUUUACAGAUUCAGCAACUCCCGUUUCCACUGAUCCAAGGGGAACUCCGUAAGAUUCGUAUCAUAUUUGUUCGCUAAAUUUUCUUUGUCAGAGAAAAUUCAUCAAAUAGGUUGUCCUCAUCUGAUGAAUACUUUCUCUAAGUGCAGUUAUGUCCCCCCUGAGUAUUACAACAAAGAUGGCCAAAAUAGAAAGCUCACCGACAAGUCCGAUGUCUUCUCCUUCGGUCUUGUGCUUCUUGAGCUAAUUACUGGGAAAUUAGCCGUUUUUGAAAAGCAACGCAAGGAAUAUAUUCGCUUAGCUAUUUGGGUACUUAAUUUUUUUUUUUUAAUUAACAAAAAUUUCCUUUACGAAUUCAAUAUUAUUUGAAUACCAUUUAAAUUUUUAUAUCUUUUCAACAAUCGAAAAUCAAAAAUUUUAAUUUUUAUAAAAACUGAAGUGAGAAUUUAAUAUUUUGUAUUGACAACUGACCUUCGUACAUCUAUUUGGAUUAUUCACAGGCCAUGCCUCUAGUGAAACAAAUAUUGGAUGCAGACAACCAAGAUUUGGAUUCAGAAAAUUGCAAAGAUCUUUUUGAUUCCAAAUUACAGAACAAUUAUGAGAAAGAUGAUAUGAUCCGAAUGAUUUAUUGUGUUGUUGCUUGUGUAUAUAAACCAGUAAAGUUACGGCCACAAAUGAGUCAGGUAAAUUCACAAAAAUAAAUCAGUUAUUUUUGGAUGUUUUCGUGAAUAAAAUAUUUACAUAUAAUUUAAAAAUUUAGUGUAUAUAUAUAAAAAUAUUUGAUAAUUUUGUAUGUGUUGAUUAAUAAUUGGGUGAUGAUUUUGUGAUGCAGAUAGUUGAAGUACUAAAAGGAAAUAUGGAACCCAAAACUAUAUGGGUCAGAAGUGACUGCAAGUACUUGUACGAAGGGUCACCUUAUGCUCCAUUGCCACAGGCGCAUGGAACCUCCUCCGACUCUUGUGCUCUAUCCAAUACAUGAAAACCUCGCCUUGUAAAAAAAGA